rnacentral:lncRNA from 1 species
UUUAGCUCUCGUAACCCGGAACCACUGCCUUUUCCCACAACAAAAUUACACAACGUCUGAAGACUAGUCAACCUACCAAUUCCUACUGGCAUUUCCUCCAACGACUUCGUAUUUGAAUUCUUAAGAUGAUGCAAUUUGGCGAGGUUUCCCAUGUCUGCACACAACUUCUUCAGCCGAUCACAAUCUUCCAACAAAAGACUAUGCAAAUUGUAAAGCUUGUUGACUGAUUCAGGCAGAGUUCUAAUCUCAGUUGUAGACAGGUUAAGGUACCUUAAAUACCUCAAAUCACCAAUUGAAUCAGGCAGCUCAGGGAUGCAGUAUCCACGCAAAGAGAAGACCCUCAAGCGUCGGAGUUUGAGCAACUUAGGAAGAAUGCUAGGAGCCAAGAAGCCAGGCGAACUUUUUGUCAACAUUACUGGUAAAAAAGUUCUCAAAUGCUGGAUAUCAUACAAGUCCCCAAACCUUUUACCGCCAUCAAAAUAUUCAGGAAUGUAUGAUAGAUGACGAAGAUUUUCGGAAAAACUUUGCUGCUUGUAAAUUUCUGAGGUAUACUCCAUUGUGAAGUAUAUCUCCCCCGCAGCCCAACGGGCAAGGUCAUUGAUAAGAUCGUGCAUCACAAAUCGUGAUGUAUUGUUGCUUAAUUGCUGGAAAAAAGAUCUUGAACGUAGCUCUUGAAAGAACUUUCGACCUAGAACUUCGUUAGGAUUCCCACUCUCUUUAUGAACCAAGAAACCCGAAGCACUCCAUAAUAAAAUUAUCUCCUCCUCUUCAAAUUCAUAAUCCUUCGGAAACAACGAGCAGUAUGCAAAGCAUUGUUUCAAAAUUGGAGGAAGAUAAUAAUAGCUCACUGCAAGAGCUGGUAUAAUGGGACAUCUAUCUUCUGGUAAUUCCCAUAUCUUGCUACUGAGCACAUCUUCCCACACACCUCUGUCAUGUUCUCCACAUAAAAGUCCUCCCAGUGUUUUUGCUGCCAAGGGCAAGCCAUUGCAUUUGAUCACUAUCUUCUUACCAAUGUCCUCCAAUGACUUGUGUGAACUGAAAUCUCUUGUCCCCAAAGAGUGCUGAGCAAACACAGACAGACAAUCCUCAGUUGACAAGUUUUUCAAUUCAUAAGCUUGAUCCGGCCUCAUGAUUUUUGCAACCUGUUGAUUGCGAGUAGUGACAACAAUCUUACUUCCCUGUGCGCCAGCUUCAAACGGACGGCUCAUGUCAACCCAGUCAUUGUAAUUCUCAUUCCAAACGUCGUCUAAAACGAGCAAAAAUUUCUUUUGAGAUAACUUCUUCUUCAGCUCCUCUUGAAGCAAAUUUAAAUCACUGUCAUCAAUAGUCUGCUUGGUAAUGGAUCUUAGAAUUGUUUUUGUUAGCCCCUUAACGUCGAAAUCCUCAGAGACACAAGUCCAUGCCUUGAGAUCAAAAUGAUCCUGCACUCGCUUAUCAUUGUAGACAAGCUGAGCAAGAGUGGUUUUGCCCAGGCCGCCCAUACCUAUAAUAGGAAUAACAGAGAAUCCACCAUCGUUGCUUAAAUCAUCCCUCAACAGCAGUUCAACAACAUCCUUCUUUUCUGUUUCCCUGCCAUAUACUUUGGCUUCAGUCACUAAAGAGGUUGUCUCCAGCCUUUGACUGGCUUUGUUGGACCCUCCAGCUGAACUUUCUUUCAAAUCUAGCAAGUUUUUCUGUGUCACAAUUUCUUGAAAUCUGCUGUUGAUCUCUUUGAUUUUGGACAUCAAGCCAUAAUCGAACUGAAUCGAUUGUGGAGUAAAAGUGGUGCAGCAAGCAGGAAUGAGCUUCCGAAACUUACUUGUUCUGGCACGACUGCUACUGGGUUGAUCAUGAGCAGCAGCUGGUUCUCCAUUUCCAAGCAGCAACAUCCUCCGGAAAGCCUCAGUUUGAAACUCAUCCAACAAGUCUUCAACAUCAUAAGCCAAGUUCUGAAGCUUGCCAAGCCACUUCUUCACAGACCGAUUAGUUGUCUUCUUCUCCUCAGCAUCAUCAAGCACCGCCUUGAUCAUCUCCAACAUAUUCUCCCACUUCAUUAGAUAGUCUUGGAUCUUCUCUUGGCGUGCAAAAAACAGAAUCCCCUCUGAAGCUAACUUAUUGACCAGCAAAUCAACAGAUGCCGUAAGGAUUGCCUCUCCGAUGAUCGACAUUUUUUUUCUUUUUUUUGGGCAAAGGAAGAAAGGAGCAGAAUUAUGGGUUAUGGAAAGCAGAAUGAGAAUAUUGAACGGGUGAGAAAAUGGAUAAUUAAGCGGAAUGAGUUUGUGAUUGUGAAGGGUCUGGUACAGCAAGCUUAGUAGAAAUCACGCGUUUGUACUUUAUUGACCAAUGACUAAAUAAUUUGGCAAUGCACCCACCACCACCACUUGGUGAGCAAAAUGAAAAAGUUUAAUAAGUGGAGGGGUCCAGCAAAAUACGACGUAAAAUGUGGCAAGUCUCCCCACUUGUUGUUCGUUGCAGCUAAGAAAAGAAAAAACAGAGCCCACCACCCAUUAAUAAUUUAGCAAAUCACCAAUCAUCACAAAAUUCCAUUAGAUAUUCGUCGAUCAAGUAGUUAAUCCAGUGUCUGCUACGUAGAGCCUUCACUUUACAAAUCUUCAACUCAUAAACCAAGUUAAAUCAAGACGUUUCUCUCUCUGUAUAUAUUUUUUUUAACUCCUAAAACGUUUCUUUUUAGAAAUAUAUUACUUUAUUCAUCUAAUAUGUUAUCUAACAAAUAGACACAGAUGAAAUCACUCUAAAGUGAAGAUGAAAGGGGAAAAAAAAAACAUUCCAACCACCAAUAAUUUAGCAAGCGUCACUUUUAUUCCACCAAAGUGUAAAUAAAGCCAGCCCCCACCACCAUCGAUAAUUUUGCAAGCUUCACACGCUUGUUGUCUUCUCCUUGACGAACUGGACGGGGUGGACCAAGAAUCAAUGAAAGAAUUUUAAAAAUAAUAAUAAAAGAAAAACAUAAACAUUUUGGACUCAGAGUAGAACCGUAAUUAAUGCUAAAAUUUACUCCGCUAACGUUUUCAAAAUAUUGUUCUUUACAAUUGUACAGCAAAUAAGACUAAGUUUUGGACAUUUUCAUAUUCACUUACUUUCAAAAGCAGUAUUUCGAAACAUUUUACAGAAUCAAGUAACAGUUAUAUAACGAGAAAAGUGCAAAGUUGUGUAAUUCUAAUGUUUAUUUUAUCACUGACACUCAGAUCAUUUUUUAUUUGGGUCGCCAACUCGCCAAUGAACCCAUGAUUGAAUAAGUGUUUAGAAAGAAAAUCAAUAAAAAACAGUUUUUUUUUUGUCGUCGAAAUAUAGUAAGUGAGAAAGAUUAUUCUGUUUUUUUUGUUAAUUAGGUUAGUAAUUAUGAUUGAGUGACUCAGAACUAUAUUCUAGAUUGAGAAUCAAUGGUUCUCCCACACUGAGAGGCUGUAAGUUUAAGAUUGUCGUUUGCUAUUUCAUCAACAAGAGAACACUUGAAUUUAUUAAAAAGAGAAGGCCAUAAAAGUUUUCUUUUAUGAGAAAUGUAUCUGAUCAUUCCUUUUUACUUGAAAAUUUCAUAUAUAAAAACUCAUUAAUAAAUGACAGAAUAUACAUAAAUUAUUAAUUCAUUUGAUAGUUGAUUAUCGAAGGACAUGUGACCCAUGGGAGCAUGCAGACUAUAAAAUAAUUCUUUUUUUUAUUAAACAAAAAAUCGGUGAUGUUGAAAAGCAAUAUUAAUUCGACUGAUAAUUGGGGUGAACAUUCAUAAAAAGAAUGCCGUAUGAAACUAAAUUAUUAAUUCGUUUGACAUGUGACCCACAAUAAAUAGUUAAAUUUGGCGGCAACAAUAAUUACAAGACGAACUUAAAGCAGCGCAUAGGUUUUUCUUAAAAAUACAUAAACAAUUCGAUAUUUGAAAUUCUAAUAUCUCAAUAAUCUAGUUAUCCUGUAUUUAGAUCCACAUACAAUUUCUUUUUUUCUUUUUUCUGAUUUCCAAUCGUUACCAAAAGAAAAUAUUUAGUGAUCCCUUUUAUCAACUUGGUUUUAUUGACUUUCUUCCAAUCAUAGAAGUGAAAAGAGAAACAGAGGCCAGCACCAAUAAGUGUUGUGUUACCAGAUUCUGUAAAGACAAAAUCAGUGCCCAGCAAAAAGAAGCAAUGUUUUCGUUAUAUGCUGCUUCCUAUUUAGUACAUGCAUAUAAAGAUAUGCACGUGCACAUGCAGCACAUCUAUCUAAAAUUUAAAAAAAGUAAUUAGAAAUACAGGAAUUAUGGUAGAAAUAUAACAGGAAUAAGAGUGAAAUUACAAUUUUAAAAUUUGGGAGAAAUGAAAUGCGAUAUUUUUUUUAUGAAUAAAAUAAUUUAAUUUUUUUUAAUUCUACCAGCAAAAACCAUUAACUUAUCAAGUUAUUGGUUUCAUUCACAGUUAACAGUCGGUUUCUUAGUUUCAUUCCUUAAUUCUACAAGAAAAAAACAGAAUACUUGACAUUUACUAUUUGACAAUUUUUAAGAAAUGUCAAGCAUAUAUGACAUUUUGUGAAAAACUGAGUAAUUGUGAAAUAUAAAUGACAAUUUAUUUAAACGUCAAAUAAUUGUGACGUUUUAUCAAAUAAAUGAUAAAUAUAUUACAUAUUUAUUAAAUAAUUAUCAUUUACCUUUUCCUUUUAUUGACUUGAGAAAAAAACAAAAACAUUGACUAUACUGCUUUUGUUUUCGUUCUUAGAACAGAUUUUAGUUUCUUUUGAGAAAAUUCAAACUCAUUCCCAUUACUUUCUUUUCAAUAAUCACCUCUCAGUUUUUCAUCAAUCACUCAAUACCGAAUUACAUCUCCAUUCUCUUUCGAAGAAGAACGCACGAAGAAUUUUAGCUUGCUUUCGCUGCUUCUCGAAUAUUGGGUAUUGUUUCCUUUAAUUUAGAUAAUUUUUUUUUUUAUAUCUCUCUUUCUAGUUUGAUAAUUUAUGGUUAUACUUGAAUUAAUUGUAUUUUUAAUCAACCAAGGUUGAUUUAAUUGAUUCCAAGUCUCAAUUUCCUGUUCAACAAACAAGGAACGCACAAAUAAUUUUCAUUUUCAUACUCAAUUUUGAAAGAAUCAAUUUAUUUUAUCUUUGGUUAGUACACUUCUGUUCAAUUUUUGUUUAUUUAACUUAAGAUAUCUUUUUCUUUCUUUUCUUCAAGCAGAUUAUAGAUUAUAUUGAGAACAGAGCUUUCUCCUUAAUUCCGCCAAGAGCAACGUUGAUUUCAGGUGAUAAUUGAAUGUGUAAUAUUUUCAAUUGAAAUUAAUUGAGUCUCGUAAUAAUAAUAGGGAUUUGAGAUUUACAUCCUGUUGAAAUGAUUUUAGAGUGUUUUGCUAUUUGAAUGCGUAUUAAUUGUUCCUCUGUUUCAAAUCCAAAUCCACUGGUCUACUAUUCAUUAUGACAAUGCAUAUGCCGAUAUUGUCUUCCAUCCUUUGUGUACCUUUCAAUUUAGUGAGGUUUAGACAGGGGUUCCAGAUUUGGUAAAUCAACAAUCACCAGAUAUGUAGAGCGGCCGGAAGAGGAAGCAUGGUUCCUAAUCCUAAUCUUGAUUUAGAGCAGAUUAGGUAACAUGUGACAUUCUACAUUCUUGCAAUGCCAUUUCUUGUUAUGGCAGCGGCAUUCUUGGUCAUGGCAUCACAAGCAAAUGCUUUGAUUUGAAGACUUGCUUGGCUAUGAAAAAUAAGGAGAGCAAAGGUAAUUAAUCUUGGUGUGAUCAACAUUUUUAUGGGGGUACUAAGAAAAAUAAAGAUAAUAUAAGGAAUGUUGUUGAGGAGUAUUUUCAUAUUUACACAAGUAUUCAAAGUAAAAAUUGAUUUCUUAAAACCCAUUAGCUAGCGCACAUAAUAAUGGGGAGAAAAUUUUAGACUACGAAUGGUCCCGCCCAUUUAAUAAUAUUCUUCAAUCAAUUAUGUUUACUUCAAAAAAAAAAAAACCUAUCUCUUUAUUACUUUCUAACUAUUCAUAUUAAUGUGUUAAUAAUUAUGAAGAACCGGUGUAAUUUAUAUGAUGUAGGAAGCACUUUAGGCAAAAUCAUUUGAAUCUCAAAAUUUCGUGAUAUUGUGCCAAAUAUCGAAAACAGAGCUUCCUAUCACAGAAAUUAGGAAUCACUGGAGAGUAGAGUUACGUGACUGAAUAGUAUCAUAUCACAGAAACUCAAAACUCAAAAGUGCAAUAACAUUGAACAUUCAGCUGGCUAGCUUAUAUUGAUUAAUUAAUACUACUACUAGUUCUUUAUGAUUAAUUAAAAGAUAAAAUAUUUGACAAUCACGAAACAUUAUUCCAUCACUGAAGAGUAGAGCUUCCUACAUUGUUACCCAAGCUCUUUUAUAUCUCCCAAACAUUAUUAGAGUCCCACAUUUGUGGGCACAUCAUUAAGUAAAAUGUGCCAAUUAGGAAGAACUGGCUUCUUUGUUUUGUUUUCUGGGAUGUGUUGCAAUUUUCAAGUAUCAUUCAAAAUUUUACACCAUCAACACAGGAAAAUUAUAUAUAUUCUGUCAGCACUUGCAUAUGUUGCAAGUGCUGACAGAACUUUUCAUUUGAUUUGAUAAUUGGCUAAGGGUGAUUUCGAUAACGUUUCCAAAGAAGACAUAGAACAAAGAUCAAAAAGAAAAAUAAGUAAUUUGAUCAGUCGAUGCAAAAAAUGAGCGAGCUUCGUAGUCUGACUAACAGGAAAUGGCUUGGAGCAAGGAUCAAUGGACAAGUUUGAGGUUUAUGAAUAAACAGAACAGAGGAAAUAAGUGAUCAAUUUAUUACUUCGUGCAAUGGCCACAGCAACAGCGAAAAUAUGUCUACAUGACUACAUUAUCCGACUGGCAUGGUACUAUAACCGUGCAGCAUUACACUAACAUUUCCUUAUCAAUCAAUUUUGAUGGUAUGAUAUUAAAAACAUAGAUUUCAUAAUUUUAUGUAAUUCAAAGAAAAGAUAUAAUUGAUUUGAGUUAGUUUAACAUAUAAGGAAAGAGUAAUGGGGAAUGAUGUUGAUGUGGCAUGUGAUGAGUAAAGAUAGACAACAAAUAUUGAUCGUGUAAUAAUGAAAUAUGUAUUUAUUGAAAAUAAAUUGACAAUUAAAAUUAAUAGAUAUAUAUCCAAUGCAUCGAGUUUAUUUUAUCACUUCGCUAACCAUUUUGUAACUACAUGUUAAUUAGAAGUUCAAUUAAUUUUGACCAAAGACUCUAGAGAAUGUCGAAAAGAGAUUUGAUUUUUGUCUUAAAAAAAAUUAGAAAUGAAAUAAGUCAAAAUCAAUCACAAGAACAACAACAAGAGCAUAUUUUAUAAAACCACAAAUACAUAAUAUAAAUUUAGUUUCGAAUUAGAUAAUUAUUAAUUUGUAUUGUAAGAGAGUCUUAUAGAAAAAUAGGAAUUUUUUAAAAGGAGAUUUGCUUAAGGAACAACUUUAGUUAAUGGAAGGAAAUACAAGUUUGAUUUUGACAAAGUAAUCACUAAAAUAUUUGACAAGUUUGAGAUGUUAAAAAACUGGAAAAAUAGACAAAUAAUGAAAACCCUACAAGUUGGCAAAGCGAAUAAACAGAGGAAAACAGAGCAAAUAUUUACCGUUAUACAUAUAUUUUUUUAUUUUUUUCCGAAAAAGAAUGUUGCGAUAUUUUUUCCCAAAAAGAAGCACAGUUUGAUAUUACUACCAAAGAACUUUAGCUACCAUAUAUAAGCACGUGUCUAAUUACCAAAUGAAUUCCGCUAUAACAAAGAAUAAAAGCUAAUUUCAUUGAUGGCAUAUGUCGUGCUUUCUUUUCUUUUAUUUUAUUGAAGUUACUUUGUAAACUGCUCCAAGCUAAAUACAAAAUUUACUCUUACACUAGGAUCUUUGCAAUGGUCCAGCAAUUUGUAUUUCCAUUCGGUGAGGUUGGUUUUUUUCUUUAAAGUUGGGAAGUCCAUGUUUGCCAUCAAGAGUACGAUUAAAGAAGAGAUGUUACAAUACACAAAAAGGAAAAAAAAUGCCCAAGGAAGCUUGGGACACUUUUGCAAUGAUUUUUUUUCAAUGAAGAAUAACACACAACUACAACUUUUGGACAAUGAGUUACAGUCAAUUUCACAGCAAAGCAACUUCAAUAACCGCAAAAUUUUUGGGUUAGAUCCUACUGUUGCAAUUUCUGAAUCCAGAAUGAAGAGAAUUAUUAUCCAUAGCUUGGUCAUAUACAAUAUGUGUGUGCGUGUGUGUAUGUGUGUGUAUUGGGAUGUCACAGGCCCUAAAAGAUACAGCUGAACAUCAAUCCUAAAUCUAAAGUGAAAAACAGUAGCUAGAACAUAAUCUUUGUUUUGAUGUCUUUGUUUAUAAGCUCAAACAAUUGACAGUAUAGAAAAUGCAUGAUAGAACAUAGAACUCAUAUUUUAGCAAUAAUCCUAAGCUCACUGGCCCUUAGUUCAAACUGGCAGUUCUUAUUAGUCAAAGAAUCAAAUUGACUUUUAGUUGUAUAUAAGUAGAGCACUAGAUCAACAAAUAAUUGAAGACUUGCUUGGCUGUGGAACCAUAGGAAGGCAAUUCGUGAACAGCCUUGAUAUUUCAUUUGGUUUUAUUUAAUUCUUUGUAAAGUCGUAUUGUAUGUAAAAUUUUUGUUAAAUGAAAUCGGUAUGUGAAGAGAAUUUUUAAAAGCAACCAUCAAAGUCACGAUCAAAGGGACGAAAUCAGUAUAAAUAUUGAUUGUCUCAAGUUAGAUUAUACAAAGAUGAAAUAAUUCUAAUCUAGAAAAUUCGAUCAUUAUAAUUUGAUUUCCAUUAUAUUAAUUAUGUUCAAUCUUGCUAUUUUAAUGAAGAACACUCGAGGAUUUAUAUACACUCAGCUUAUGAAAUUAAUUACAAAACGAUCUUUGACCAAGUCUGAUGAAAAGAUCAUAUUAUAAGUGCAAAGUUACACUUCCCGAUCAUGCAACUAUCCAUCGAAUUGUGUAUUGUGUUAUCGUUGAGCUCUUAGGAAGAUUCAGCUGCUGAGGAGAAGAUGUAAUCUGUUUUUAUGUGACAAGCCAUGUACUCUGCUUUUAUGGUGUUUCUCUUGGUAGUUUUGGACAAAACUGUAAUGUAAAUUUCUAUCUUAAGGGAUUCCUAAUCCUUUUAGUUAGUUUGGGAUUGUUGAUUUAUCUAUGAUGUUUGGUAUCCAAAAUUCAGGUGAUGAUAAUCUUCGCAGUACUUUUGUCAAAUUUUCUUUUAUGUUGGUGUUGUUUUAAUUAAAUAUCACAAAGGUGCAAAAUGCGGUAAAAUUAACAUUGAGCUCAUGAGAUUGCCAUUAGAUAUAUUGAAAAAGAAAUUGAUACAAGAAACUGAAAAUUAGUUGUUAAUUAUGAUGGGAAUAUAAUCUUUGAAUUAUAAUUAUAUCUAUCUAACGCAUGUGCACUAAUCUUAUUUAUCUCUAUCACUGAAAAAGCAGAGUGGCCUGAUUGAAUAGUAUCAUAUUAUGUCACAGCAAUCACAAAAACUCACUCAACAUUAUGCUAAUUUAUACUAAUUAAUUAAUACGACUAACAGGAAAAGUUGGAUCUCGCCUUGCUAAAAAUCAGGUGAUUGUUUUUCAUUUUUGCGGCUACUUGACUCAAUUAUGUUAUUGCAAGAGGAGAUUUCUAUUUUGUCCGGUUUAAGCCAUAAGAUGGGUUUUAAGAUUCAUUCUGAUUGGUUAUCUGUUAGCUUUUUGUUUUAAGAACUUCUUAUUUACGAAAGCCAAAUUCUUCUUUCUAGGUUUAUUCAUAUUCAGAAGUUGCUUUUGUCAUAUCAGAAGAAGAGGCUAAGACUGUUGAAGUACUAGAAGGGACUACUGCGCUGAUUGCCUUUUUCAUGGGCUUCUAAUAUCCAAUGUUGAUUAUCUCUUCCAUUUGAACAUGAGAGUAAAAAGAUAGUUGAUAUUUAUGUUACAAAAGUUGGAAGCGACUUAAGCAAUUCAGUAUCAUGCGAGGACUAUAAUAAUAACCCCGAUUAUUUUGCCUCUUGGAUUUUUUUGUUAAUUCACUUGCUUUAUGCUUAUCCGACCUCUGAUUUUUUCUUAAUAUUUCUUUGUAGUUCACUUCACAGCACUUAUAGCCGCUGCAUUGGCAUUUUCUGCUAUUUGUUAUUGUUCAUUGAAGCUAGUUAGUUUACGAAAUUUCUUUUUGAUAAAUCUUCUUCAGAGGGUUGUGAGAGGCCAAAUCAAUUGAGAUGACCGGGUUUUCUAGAUCAGCCAUCUUUGUCGUCAACAGUGCUAAACUGUCAAUUACUGAGACACCAAACUCUAACCCGAUUCAUAUGGAUGUAGACUAAAGCUUCUUGCCGAUACCAUCCCAGUCAAAGCUGCUAUCUUUGAAAGUUUCGCAAGACAAAACAACGUUGGUUUCCCAGUCGACACAAAUACAGAUUUCAUAUGUGCAGAUUGCUCUCAAUCUCUGUUUAAUAAGCUAGUCCUCUGCUGUAUCCUAGAAGGUGGAACAAUACAUUAUGCUUCCCAGCAGGCUCCAAUGGGAUCUAUAUAUGUUUCUGCUGCCAAAUUUUUGAAAGCGAUCAUUGUGAAUAUCGCUGCCCAGUCUGAAGUGGGCUUUGAUACUUGUGACAAUACUCCAUCGAGGCUGUAAAGAAGCCGUGGGUGUACAUUUCUGGUCCAACAAUCAAUCUAACUGGCUUACUUUACAGCAACAAAGAGAUAGAAAAUAUAUUAACUGCUUGUGCAGAAUAUGGAGCAAGAGCUUAUUUAGUGUCGUGUCAAAAUAAAUAUAACAAAGUUUAAGCUGAAUAUAAAUUGUUAAUUACAGGCAGAGCAAGUUGAGUUUAAAAAAUGCGAAGCACCCAGUCCCAAAACAGAGAAGCUUGACGUUGGCCGGCAGGAUUAAUAUUAUUUUUUUUAACAACAAUCAAAGCCAGUCGGGAAUUUAUUAAGAGGUUAAUUAGUUGAAGUAUAAAAAAGGAAUUAGCAGGAUUCACGCCCGACCAAAUCCACAUGGCCAAAGCAAAGGAUUAAGUUUGAGAGAUUAUAAUGAAAUAUAAGUAAGCUUCGCACAUGCAUGCGUCUGACUGACAGAACAAAUGAAGGAAACAUAAACUUAUCAUUUUUAAGAUGUAAGCAUCAAAACAUUCGACAAGUUUGAGGUUCGUGAGAUAUUGGGAAAAUAUACAAAUAAUAAAGCCACUACAAGUUAAGCAGAGCAAAUAAACAGAGGAAAUAACUGAUCAAUUUAGUUCUUUGUGCAAUGGCCACAGCAACAGAGAAAAUAUGCCUACACGACUACAUUAAUCCUACUGGCGUGGUACUAUCACCAUGCAAAUUAACAUUAACAUUUCAUCAUCAAUCAGUUCUGAUGACAUGAUAUCAAAAACAUUGAUUUCAUAAUUUUAUGUAAUUUCAUAUAAAAGAUAUAUAUAGUUUAUUUGAGUUAGUUUAAAAUAUGAAGAAAGAGUAAUGGGGAAUGAUAUCGCUGUAGCGUGUGAUGAGUAAUGAUAGACACCAAAUAUGGAUCAUGUAAUUAUGAUAUAUGUAUUUACUGAAACAUAUUUGGCAAUAAAAUGAUGCUUUAAAAAUUUAAUAUUGUUUGCUUGAAAAUAAUUUGACAAUUAAAAGUAAAAGAUGUAUAUGCAAAACUUUGACCUUAUUUUAUCACUUCACUAACCAUUUUGUAAGUACAUCUUAAAUCGAAGUUCAAUUAAUGCUGACGAAAGACUCCAGAGAAUGUCGAGAAGAGAUUUGAUUUUGGUAUACCAAAAAAUUACAGAUGAGAUAAGUUAAAAUCAAUUACAAGAACAACAAAAAGAAUAUAUUUUAUAAAAGCCACAAAUACAUAUAAUAUAUAAUCAGUUUCGAAUUAAGUAAUUAUUAACUUAUAUAGUGAGAAAGUGUUAUAGGAAAGUUGGAAUUUUUUAAAAGAGAUUUGCAAAGGAAAAAGUUUAGUUUAGUUUAGUUUGCGAAGGCUCAAGUAAUUCAAAGCAAUUAGCAAUGCAAUUGAAGGAAAUAUAAACUUCUAAUUUUUACAAAGUAAUCGCUAAAAUAUUUGACAAGUUUGAGAUUUUCAAAAAGCUGAAAAAAAUAGACAAAUAAUGGAGACCCUACAGAUUGGUAGCGCAAAUAAACGGAGGAAAAUAUGGCAAACAUUUAUUUUUUCCAAAAAGAAUAAAAGCACGUGUCUAAUUACCAAAUAACUUCACUUUAAAAAAUAAUAAAUGCUAAUAUCAUUGUUAGCACAUGUUGUGCAUUUUUCAUUUAUUUAUUUGCUAUUACUUAUUGAAGUUACUUUGCAAACUGCUCCAAGCAAACUACAAAAUUUCUUAUCACUCUAGGAUCUUUGCAAUGGUCCUGCAAUUUGCCUUCCUUUCUAUUAGGUUAGCUGUUUAUUCAAAAGAAAAAAAAUUGGGGAAAUGGAAACCUCACCCUCUUAAUACAGAUUUUGAAUUUUAUUAUUAUUAUUCAAAAUUAGAUAACUAUGCAAAUAAUGGGCGGUUAUAACCAGUGAAACUGUGUCUAGCUACGACGCAGGUUUAAUUUUCUCUUGAUUAAAUAUAUAAACAAAACUAAAUCACCUGAGCCUCUGGUUUCACUAUUUUUCAACUUGAAAUUAAAACGCAAAAAUUGAUGGUAUUGGAGUUCGUUGUUUAGUUUUGCUGUAGGUCAUGGGGAAUCAAAUAGCCAUCCAUUUUUAAGUCUAUUUUAUGUACUAUUGGUCACUAAGUAUUGGGAUGUCAUAGGCCCUAAAAGAAAAAGCUGAAAAUCAAUCCCCUAUCUAAAGUGGAAAACAGUAGCUAGAACAGAAUCUAUGGUUUGAUGUCUUAGUGUAUAGGCUUAAACAAUUAAUAGUAUAGAAAAUGCAUGAUAGAAUUCAUAUUUUAGCAAUAAUCCUCACCUCACUGGCCGUUAGUUCAGAAUGACAAUUCUUAUUAGUCAAAGAAUCAAGAUGAUUUUUAGUUGUAUAUGAAUAGCGCAGUAGAUCAACAAAUAAUUGAAGACUUGCUUUUGCUAUUGAACCACGCGAUGGCAAUUCGAAGACUACAGCUUAGCUCUGCCAUUCGAAGUAAGCAAAUCAGCUGCCCAAAGACUGCCAAGCCAUCAAGACAAUACCAAGAUACAACAUCAAGAAUUACAUACAGGCCGUCACAUAUUACAUUUCUCCUCUGUUUUAAGAGAGAUUUACGAGCCCAUGCAGUAGAAGUAAUUAAUUAAUUUAUACAGUUCAGUACUCAUUCCUCCUCUGUUUCAAAUCCAAAUCCACUGCUCUGCCAUUUAUUAUGACGCAGGGUAUAUGGGUUAGCAAGUGUCGAUAUUGUCCUUCAUCCUUUGUGUACCUUUCUUCUAACAAGGGACAGCACGAGAUCUCUAAUCACAAAAGAGAGGCAGGCAGGCCGUUCGCUGGAAAGUACUUGAGCUUGGGACAAUUACAGAGUUUCAAUGAAAUGAGGUUUUGAUGAUCAACAAUUGAAGAAGACAGGCGUUCCAAAUUUGGUAAAUCAACAAUCACCAAAUAUGCUAGAGUGGCAGGAAGAGGAAGCGUGGCUCCUAAUCCUAAUCUUGAUUUAGUAUUGCGUAUGUAACAUGUGGCAUUCUACAUUCUUGCAAUGCCAUUUCUUGUUAUGGCAGUAGCGUUCUUUCACCAUGGCAUCGCAAGCAAAUAUUUGACUUGAAGACUUGCUUUGCCAAGAAAAAUAAGGAGAGCAAAGGUAAUUGAUUUUGGUGUGAUGAAUAUUUUUAUGGGUGUUCUAAGAAAAAUAAAGAUAAUAGAAGUAAUGUUAUCGAGGAGUAUUUUGAUAUUUACAAAAGUGUUCAAAGAAAAAAGUGAUUUUUUGAAAUCUAUUUGCUGGUGAACAUAAUAAAAUGGCAUUCCGACUUCUGCGUAAAUUUAAAACUACAAAUAGUUUUACUCUUUUAAUAAUAUUCUUCAAUUAAUUCUGUUUCUUUCACAAUAAAAAAUCCAUCUCUUUAUUACUUUCUAACUAGUCAUACUAAUGUGUUAAUAAUGAAGAACCAGCGUAAUUUAUAUGAUAUAAGAAGCCCUUUAGCACAUUAACCCGAAUUUAGCUAAUGCAUGUGCCUAAUAUAGCGAAAUCAACAUUCGGCUCAUUAGAAUGCCAUUAUAUAUACUGAAAAAGAAAUUAAUACAAAAAAAAACUGAAUAUUAAUUGACACUGGAUCAUGUUGGAUUGUUAGUUGUUAAUUAUGAUGGGAAUACAAUUUUCAUCUUUUGAUUAUCCGCUAACUAAUGCAUGUGCACUUUCAUUUGUGUCUAUAUAUACAAAAACUUGUAUCCCAUGGUUUACAUAUGUAUGAAGAUAAUGUAAUAAAGUGCUUUUGAUAAAUUCCCCUGGUCUGUUUACUUCACUAAUUCAUUAAUGUGCAAGUCCUCUAUAGAGCUGUGUUGUGCGUACAAGUUUUGCUACAUGAAAUCGUUAGGUGAGGAGAAUUUUUAAAAGCAUACAUCAAAGUAAUGAUUAAAGGGACAAAAUCAACAUAAAUAUUGAUUAUCUUGAGUUAGAUUACACAAAGAUGAUAAUGUAGUAAAUUUAUCAUAAUACACUACUAAAAAAUGCAUUUUAAUGACACAAAUUUUAUGACAUACAUCUUUAUGUCAUGAAAAUACUUGCAUGAUGUAUAAUGCUUCUGUGAUUAUUUGAUGAUAAAUUCAUAAUUGAUGCAGAUACAAAAUGAAGUGAUGAUAGGUAAAUAUCAUGUGAUUUUUUUUAUGGGUAAGAAUAUUUGAACCCACCAAAUUACUCUUUAAACUUACUUUUUUAUUGAUAAUUUUAUUACAAAAUUACUGANNNNNNNNNNNNNNNNNNNNNNNNNNNNNNNNNNNNNNNNNNNNNNNNNNNNNNNNNNNNNNNNNNNNNNNNNNNNNNNNNNNNNNNNNNNNNNNNNNNNNNNNNNNNNNNNNNNNNNNNNNCCGCAAAACUCAAUCAAAGUAUGCUUAUUUUCUUCUUCUGCACAAGUGUAGCAAAGUUUUUAAUAAGUUCCUCCUUCAUCCACAGUUGAGAACUUUCUAACUUUUGUUUCUUGUUCUAGUAAUUUGGAUAUGCUGUGUUAGAUACUGAAUUUAUUAAAUUUCUUCUUCUCUUUUGAAUAAAAUCUCUUUAAAAUUCAAUCCAUAAAAAAAAAAUUAAUCUCCUUAUAAUUUAAUAUGUUUCGGCUGUCUUAGUGGAAUGAUGCAAUUUGUGUCAAUCAAAGUUUUGAAGCAUCCUAAAUUAUAUAUUUUUUUGUUUAAUUUGUUUAGAGUUCAAUUGUUUAGAUCUAGGCUAAUUUUUAUUGAUAAUAUUUAUGAUUAAAUUAUAUGAGUAUGCUUAAAUUUUUUUUUCCUUCAAAUUUAUUUUCUGAUGUUGCAUUUGGUUAGCAAAAAGAUAAAAAUAGUAGAAAAUGUCCGAAUUAUUGUUAUGAAAAUGUUGUUUUAGUCUGAUAUUGGGAAAAUAUCCUUAUACAUAUCGGCAUGAUAUUCAUGGGAGACCAAAUUGAGAAUGAUGGCAGACUAUGCAUUGCUCACAACUAAUUUAAAACUCACUAUUUCUAUUGUUUGUGUUUUAGUAACUUUGGGGGAAUUCCAACUAUAGUUAAUAAGCUAUAAACUUGUUUAGGAUUACUAAUCAACUUGCUAGAAAGAGUUGCAAACUAAUUAGCUUUCUCUUAUAACUUUUACAGAUCAUCUGUGGAGGAGAACUGCAAGGAGUUGAAGACUCUAGACCCUAAACUUCAUAUCUUGAUUUAUAAGUGCAAUGGCCAUAAGUCCGAAUUAUGGGCUGGAGAUGGUAUAUGUAAUCUUUCUGCUCUUGGUGUUUUUUUUUUUUUCCCCUCUAGUUAUUUUUUGCUCUCUACUCCAUUGUAUAUUUGUAUUCAAAAGUAUUUUUUUCUUUGUUUUAAGCUUUCAAAUUUAUGGAGAUGAUCUUAUUAGGUGUUAAAAAAAUAGUUGUAGAGCUUUACUAAAACUAUGUAAACUCUUAUUGAGAUUUGGGUUUGAUUUUGUAAGAUUGCUAAAAAUUUCAUAUUUUAUACUUGUUUUAUACUUUUCUAGUCGAAUUUCUUGCUUGUGGAAGAUAAAAUAAAAGUCCAAUUCAUGUUGUAAAAUUUUUUUUUCCUCCCUUUUUUCUUCCCUUAUAAUCUGGCUCUGGUUUUGGUGCAGUUUAUGGUUUCAAUGCAGGGAACCAAUUUCAUCAGAAUCAUCUUAAAGGAUCAAAGUGGCUUCCUUUUGUAACUGGGUAAGUCAAUGCUACUUCCUGAAUUCGAUUUGGAGUUCUUUCGGAAUAGAUUUCCUUCCCUUACAUCACUUGGCUUCUAGUUGCAUCUUCUUGGCUUUCUCCAACGGACUUUUUUAUUGGCAAAUUCGUUUGUUUCUAUUGUUUUCAAGUGCUAGUGCUGGAUUUGGAGGUAUGAAUGGUGCCUUCAUUUUUAUUUUUUUAAUUUUCUUUUGGGUGUAUAGUACUGUAAUAUACUUCUUUGUAUAGCUAGUACAAAAUAGUUCUUUAAUUUUAUUUGUCAUGAUUUAUUUCUAUUGCCUGGUGAUGACACCCAUCACGACUUAGUAGUCGUGAAUAAAUCGAAAAUCAAAUUGCACUGGUUUUUACCGGUUAUCAACAAUUGUGAUGUUUUGAGAUUAUAACAUACUUGACAACGCCGACUAGCGUUCUCUCCUAUGUGAAUUGGGACAAAAAUUAUUUUCCCAAUCACGCUUUCGUUUGAACAAUUCCACUUCAGAUAUAUAAAAUAAUGAUGAAAUUGUGUUUUAAAAUUAGUUACGAGUAAUUGGUUCAAUAUUAAUACAAAACUAUUUUAAGUAACACGUGGCAUAUUCUAAUUCCAGUGAGCUUCUAACUCAGAUUCCCAAAUCAAAAGAAACGUUUCAAUUUUCUCCAGAACGUUCUGCAAAACAUUUCUUCGAGUCUCUACGUUGUGCUAGAAUUUUCUCUCAGUUUCUUUUCCAUAGACUUCUAAAAAACUGUCCAGAUACCGAGAUAUAAUCCAAUCUAAGUGUACAUAUUGUAAGAAAAACGAUACACAGUGAGAUAACAAUUUAAAUAGUAGCUAAUUUAAACAACAAUGUAAACUAGCAAUGGGAAACAACAAAUGAAGAACUGAAGAGAAAGGAGACCAAAACAGAAAUAUAAACCCGAGGCCUGCGGACAGUUUCCUUAAACAUAUUUACCCCCUCUUGGAGUGCUUUAGGUCAGCUGGUAUCUGUUUCCCAGGAUACAACAGGCACGAAUUUUCGGCUAAGCACAGGCUAGAAAUUCUGGCGAACCACAACAACGAGCUCGAUCAGAGAAAACAGACGACGAAGAUGGAGGAAGGAAAAUAAGUGUGCUGGUUUUUUCAGUGUGCAAAAAAACAGAAGAGGAGAUGCCUUUUUAUAGUCAUAUGAGGAUGUAACAGCUACUUUGUAUUGAAUUUCUGAAUUCAAUAUAUUUUAUUUAAUUGUUAUAACAGCCAAAUCAAUUCAAUGAAUUGAUUUCAAAAUUGAAUUAAAAAAAACGUGAAUUAUAUAACAGCUAAAAAUAAUUGUUGAAGCUGUUACAAAUCCUUUGAAUUCAAACGUGAAACUGUUACAAUAAAAAAAAUUUUAAAAGGAAAUUAAAAACAUGCCAAGCUUGCAUGGAUGAUUUUGGGCUGACAUUCGCGUACGCAGACGAGUUCAACCAAAUUGGUCAUGGAUUUGCACCCCCCUGCACACGCGCACGUGGAGAGAGCCUCUAUCCUUAUAAUUCUUGAACAAGCAUGGUUAAGUGUUUAUAUAUAAACACUAAUCCCUAGGCUUCUUUUUCCCAUGUGGGAUAAGCCUAAUUUCUUUUCAAAUUUCCAACUUCAAAGGUGAACUUUGAGAGACAAUUUCUCAUUCACCCAAGCACCAUUUUGAGAAAAUAAGAUUAUACUUUUGAAGUAUCAAAGGAGUAGAAUCCGAACCUCACAAGAUUUUCCACUUUCGUUAAGUGGGACCCACUCAAAAUAUGCCCUCAAAAUAGCAUCUAUAUAUGCUAUUUUUUCAACAAUCCCCCACAUGAAUGAAAAUUGGCAGUAAAACAAAAAACCGCUAUAUUUUUUUUACAUCAAAACCAUUUUUGACCUUAAUGAUUGAGUUUAUUGGAUUGAUACCUAGCACAUGAUAGGUUGGUGUUAUCCUUUUAACCUUCCCUUGUAAUAGUAUAAUUACUUUACUGGCUGAUCAGUAGACGCGAUGUCUUUGAACUGUGCGGCCGUUAGUGUAAACGAUCAUAUACUACACAUAGGUAUUUCUCCUAACACUGUUGAGUUCUCAUGGUUAUGUUCGUUUUGGCCUUGAACAUCUACCUGGUUCUGCAAGAGUUUCUAAGAGCUAAACCCAUCAUAGCUCCCUUUGAAGCGGCCCCACUUCUCUCUCACAUAGGUGAUAUCUUAAUUAAAAGUAACCCGCAUUACUCCGCUCGAAUUUUCCGACGCAUAAGAAUCAUUAAGAGCCUAGCUCAACCUUAUUCCCCACGAGCAUCAUUGUUUCAUAAUAUGAAUGGUCAAUGAGGUAAUCUUCUCAAGAGAAUAAACCCCACAAUAAUCCAACUUUAGUCUUUAACAAAUAGGUUGUUCAAUUGAACCUAGAUCUUGGGAUCUCCAGUCUACUAGGUUGGGUUUUCCUUCGUUAUUGACUAAUCAAUCUAUGAGUUUUAAUCCCAUUCCCCUCGAUGAUUUUUCUACUAGCUCUCUAUUUAACCCUUUGGUUAGCGAAUCCGCAAUGUUAUCCUUUGACCUCACAUAGUCAAUAGAAAUAACUCCAGUAGAAAUAAGUUGUCUAAUGGUAUUAUGUCUAUGACGUAUGUGUCUAGACUUACCAUUAUACAUAUUGCUUUGUGCCCUACCGAUAGCUGAUUGACUAUCACAAUGUAUACAAAUCGAAGGCACAUGCUUUGGCCACUUUGGAAUACCUUUUAAAAAAUUGCGUAGCCAUUCUGCUUCUUCACCACAUUUAUCUAAUGCAAUGAAUUCAGAUUCCAUUGUAGAUCUAGCAAUUACUGUCUGUUUAGAAGAUCUCCAUGAUACAGCUGCACCUGCUAGUGUAAAUACAUAGCCGCUAGUGGAUUUUGAAUCUUUUACAUCUGAUAUCCAGUUAGCAUCACUAAAUCCUUCUAAUACUUCUGGAUACCUAGUAUAGUGCAGUCCAUAAUUACGAGUGUAUCGAAGAUACCUAAGUACUCUUACGAUAGCUUUCCAGUGAUCAGUUCCUGGAUUACUCGUAUAUCUACUAAGUUUACUUACCGUAUAGGCUAGAUCUGGUCUGGUACAACUUGUUAAGUACAUCGGACUGUCUAUUAUUCUAGCAUAUUCUACUUGAGAAAAACCCUCUUCUCUAUUUUUCGAUAAAUGGAUACUAGUAUCUAAUGGAGUUUUAGACAUAAUAUUAUCAUUUUUAUUAAAUUUUCCAAGAAUUUUAUCUACAUAAUGAUUUUGACUUAGAAUAAGUCCAUUAGAAGCCCUUCAGAUUUUAAUUUCCAAAAUGACAUUUGCAAGACUCAUGUCUUUCAUGUCAAACUUAGACUUCAACAUAUUCUUGGUAGAUUUAAUCAUGUCAUCAUCACUUCCAACAAUGAGCAUGUCAUCAACAUAUAAACAUAAAAUGACAUAGCCAUUUUCCGUUUCUUUGACAUAAACACAUUUGUCACACUCGUUGAUUUUAAAACCACUUGUGAUCAUCAUAUGAUCAAAUUUCUCAUGCCACUGUUUCGGUGCUUGCUGCAAGCCAUAUAAUGACUUUACCAAUUUACAAACUUUCUUUUCUUGUCCUGGAGCUAUAAAACCUUCAAGUUGCUCCAUAUAGAUUUCUUCAUCUAAAUCUCCAUUUAGAAAAGCCGUCUUUACAUCUAUUUGAUGUAUCUCGAGAUUGCGCAAAGCUGCAAUUGCUAUUAUCAUCCGUAUGGAAUUUAUUCUCAUAACAGGAGAAUAAGUAUCAAAGUAAUCAAGGCCUUCUCGUUGCCUAUUACCUUUAAUUACAAGCCUAUCCUUGUAUUUAUUGAUUUAUCCAUCAGCUUUCAUUUUCCUUUUGAAAAUUCACUUAUACCCCAAAGGUUUACAUUCUGGAGGAAGAUCUGCUAGCUCCCAAGUAUGAUUUUGUAAAAUGGAUUCAACUUCACUGUUAAUGGCUUCUUUCCAUAAAGUGCCUUCAGCUGAAGUUACAACCUCUUUGAAGCUUUGAGGUUCACUUUCUAGCAAAUACGUCAGAAAGUCUAGACCAAAAGACUUUUCUAUCCUAGCUGUUUUGCUACGUCUAACCUCAAUUUCUUGUUCUUGAUCUUCUUCUUCUUCUUCUUCUGGUGCUUCAUCAUUUUCUUCAUUUCCAAGUGUUGUUUCAUGAAAUUGUCGCAAUUCUCUCGAUUCCACUCUAGAAUUGCAAGGAAACACAUGUUCGAAUGAUGCAUUUCUUGAUUCUAUUAUCAUAUUUUUGUGGACAUCUGGAACUUUAGACUUAUGUAACAAAAAUCGAUAAGCACUACUGUUUUGUACAUAACCAAUGAAAAUGCAGUCAACAGUUUUUGGUCCUAUUUUCACUUUUUUAUUGAAGGAACCACUACUUUAGUAAGACACCCCCACACUCGUAAGAAUUUAUAUGAAGGUGAUCUAUUUUUCUAUAGCUCAUACAGGGUUUUAUCUUCUUGCUUUCAGGGUAUCUUAUUUAAUAAAUAAUUAGCUGACAAAACAGCUUCUCCCCACAUAUUCUGGGGUAACCCAGAACUUAUCAACAUUGCAUUCAUCAUUUCCUUUAAAGUUCGAUUCUUUCGUUCUGCAAUCCCAUUAGAUUGAGGUGAAUAUGGAGUCGUGACUUGAUGUAUGAUUCCAUUUUGUUCACAUAGUGACAUAAACAUAACAACAUACUCACCACCACGGUCACUCCUUAAUUCUUUGAUUUUUCUAUUAAGUUGAUUCUCAACUUCAUUUUUGUCGAGAAUAAACUUUUUCAAAGCUUUAUCUUUACUUUUCAAUAAAUAUACAUAGCAAUAUUUUGUGCAAUCAUCUAUAAAGGUAAUAAAAUAUUUAUUAUCACCUCUUGUUUGAAUGGAUUUAAAGUGACAAAUAUCAAUAUGUAUUAAAUCAAGUGGUUCGGUGUUUCUGUUAAUUAUUUGGAAAGAUGACCUAGUUAGUUUUGCCUCAACACAAGUUUCACACUUAUGUUUCAAAUCAAUUUGGAAAUUGGGAAUAUGCUUCAUGUUAAUUAAUUUACGCAAAGAUUUAAAAUUAACAUGUCCUAAUCUACCAUGCCAAAGAUUAGAAGACUCAAGCAAAUAAGCAGAAGAAGUAGCUUUAUUAUUAAUUAUUGGUUUCAGAGUCAUUACAUUGAGCUUAAAUAGCCCAUCAUUAACAUAACUCUUUCCCACAUACAUCCCAUUUUUAGACAAAACUACCCUAUCUGACUCAAACACCAUUUGGAAGCCAUGUUUGUUCAACAGCGAUCCAGACACCAAGUUCUUCUGAAUUUCUGGCACAUAAAACACAUUGUUCAGAGUCAGUUCUUUCCCAGACGUCAUCUUCAAAAUCACCUUCCCUUGACCAUCAAUCUCAGACGUAGCCGAAUUCCCCAUGAAUAGCUUCUCUCCAUUGCUAACUGCUUCAACUGAAGUGAACAAUCCUUUGUCCGAGCAAACAUGUCUGGUUGCUCCCGUAUCAAUCCAUCAUUCUCUCGGAUUAUAGCCAACCAGAUUCACUUCUGAAACCACUGUAGAGAGGUUUAUGUCUGAAACAUGUUGAGUGAUGUUUUCCAUCACAUUCUCCUCUCGCUUCUUUUUAGGCAACCUGCAAUAUGAAGCAUUGUGACCCAUCUUAUCACAAUUAAAACAUUUUCCUUGAAACUUUGUUUACUUCUUGGAAAUUCCUCCUUUCGGACCCAUUUUUUUAUUUUUAUUUUUAGGUCCAUGUUCGACAAAAUUUGCCUUUGCCAUAGAAAUAACUCCUUUUCUUUUUGCAUUUCUGUUAUCUCCCUCAAUUCUGAACUUAACAACCAGCCCUUCAAUAUUCAUCUCCUUUCAUUUGUGCUUCAAAUAGCUCUUGAAAUCUUUCUAAGCAGGAGGCAAUUUUUCAAUAAUUGCGGCAACUUGAAAAGUUUCACUUAGAUGCAUCCUUUCUGCAAGGAUUUCAGAUAAUAUAAUUUGAAGCUCUUGUACUUGACUUAUUAUAGUUUUAGAAUCCACCAUUUUAUAAUCUAGGAAGCGACCAACAACAAACUUUUUGGUUCCCGCAUCCUCGGUUUUAUAUUUCCGGUCAAAGGAUACCCAUAACUCCUUGGCUGUUUUCUUUCCUAUGUAUACAUUAUACAAGGAAUCACUAAGGCCAUUCAUUACAUAAUUUUUACAUAAAAAAUCUUAAUGAUGCCAUGCAUCAAUUGCACUUGCAACUUGAAUAUCCGUUUCACCCUCUUUAGGUUUAGGAGCAUUCUCGAUUAAGAAACUUGCAAGGUUCAACAUGGUCAAGUAAAAGAAUAUCUUUUGCUGCCAACGUUUGAAAUUCUGGCCAUUGAAUUUUUCAGGCCCUUCCGCAUGAUUGACAGGAAUUGCCACAGAGGCUGGUUCCUUUACAACAGUUGGUGCAGCAACAGAAGAUGAAACUGGGACAUACGGAAUAUCAUCAAUGGUUUCAGUUGCCAUCUCAAUGAUAAUUGAUUCUGUUUUAAGAUUGUAAAAAAAAUGAUACACAGUGAGAUAAUAAUUUAAAUAGUAGCUAAUUUAAACAACAAUGUAAACUAGCAAUGGGAAACAACAAAUGAAGAACAGAAGAGAAAGGAAACCGAAACAGAAACAGAAACAUAAACCUGAGCCCUGCAGACAGUUUCCUUAAAACAGAUUUACCACUCUUGGAGUGCUUUAGGUCAGCUGGUAUCUGUUUCCCAGAAUACAACGGGCACGAAUUUCCGGCUAAGCACAGGCUGAAAAUUCCGGCGAACCACAACAGCGAGCUCAAUCAGAGAAAACAGACGAUGAAGAUAGAGGAAGGAAAACAAGUGUGCUGGUUUUUUCAGUGUGCAAAAAACAGAAGAGGAGGUGCCUUUUUAUAGUCAUAUGAGGAUGUAACAGCUGCUUUGUAUUAGAUUUCCGAAUUCAAUAUGUUUUACUUAAUUGUUAUAACAACCAAAUCAAUUCAUUGAAUUGAUUUUAAAAUUGAAUUAAAAAAACAUGAAUUAUAUAACAGCUAAAAAUAAUUGUUGAAGCUGUUACAAAUCCUUUGAAUUCAAAACGUGAAUCUAUUACAAUAAAAAAAUUCAAAAGGAAAUUAAAAACGUGCCAAGCUUGCAUGGAUGAUUUUGGGCUGACAUUCGCGUACGCAGACGAGUUCAACCAAAUCGGUCUUGGACUUGCACCCCCCCUGCACACGCACGUGUGGAGAGAGCCUCUAUCCUUAUAAUUCUUGAACAAGCAUGGUUAAGUGUUUAUAUAUAAAUACUAAUCCCUAGGCUUCUUUUUCCCAUGUGGGAUAGGCCUCAUUUCCCUUCAAAUUUCCAACUUCAAAGGUGAACUUUGAGAGACAAUUUCUCAUUCACCCAAGCACCAUUUUGAGAAAAUAAGAUUAUACUUUUGAAGUAUCAAUGGAGUAGAAUCCGAACCUCACAAGAUUUUCCACUUUCGUUAAGUGGGACCCACUCAAAAUAUGCCCUCAAAAUAGCAUAUAUACAUGCUAUUUUCCACUUUCGUUAAGUGGGACCCACUCAAAAUGUGCCCUCAAAAUAGCAUAUAUACAUGCUAUUUUUUCAACACAUAUCUCUCUAUGUCACCUCCCUCCAUUUCACCAGAAAAUCAACAAACACUUAGCUUCAAAACAAACACUCUAAAAAAGCUAGCUAGUUGAUGGCAAAAUCAAGAAUUCUUGCAAUGGCAAUGUUGUUUCUUGUUAUGGCAGCAACAUUGAUGAACAUGGCAUCAAAGCAAAUGCUCUGAUGCUGUACACACGAUCACCUUUCUUUGACGUAAUGUUCCCAAUGACGGAAGAUCCUUUCAGGGUUCUUGGACAAACCCUGUUAACAAUCCCAAAAGGAGCUGAACAUCAUCAAACUCUAGCACUGGCGAGAGCAAACUGAAAUGAGACACCAACAUCACACGUGAUCACACUCGACAUUCCAAGGAUGAAGAAAGACGAUGCGAAGAUAGCAGUUGAAGAGAACAGGGUACUGAGGGUGAGUGGGGAGAGGAAGAGCGAUGAUUAUUAUAAGGAGGAAGUUGAAGGAGAAAAAUGGCACAGAGUUGAGAGACCAUUUGGCAAGGUUUGGAGGCAGUUCAGGAUGCCUAUGAGUGCUGACUUGGAUCAUGUUAAGGCUCAUUUGGAAAAUGGUGUUCUAAGGAUCACAGUGCCAAAACUUGUUGAGGAGAAGAAGAGGCCGCCUAAGGUUAUUAACAUUGAUGAAGAGCCUGGUAAUUCUUCCGAUGAAGAUGUUAAGGCCGCCAAGGCUCAAAUGUAAUUGAUUAAAGAAAGAAGUGUUUGAUUUGCUUGAUGUGCUAUUUGUUUUGUGAUCUUUUCUUGGUUUUGUUGUGGGAUGUUUUUCUUUGGAUGUUCUGUUUAUUGUAUUUUGAUGGAUUUUUAAAGAUGGCUUUUAUGUAUUAACAACAAUAAAGUGUUUUUUAUAAAUCCGGGUCCUAAAUUUGUAAAAGAAAUUAAUAAUACUCUUGGUUUAUUGUUAAUAAAAAUAAAAAAGAAGAAUCUUUUUCUUUAGCAUAUAUUAUGCAUUUUAAGGAAAAAAAAAAUUAUCACAUUCUAAUACAUAAAGAUAUUCCUCUUCUGUCAUAUUAAUGUGUUAAUACGAAGGUCUAUUGGAAUUAUAAUAGUUUAGAUGAAUCCAAAAUAUUCAAUAAUUGAUAAAUAGUAUAUUGACACACAGAAAAUGUGCGUGUGUAUGUAUAUAAAUGAGGUUUCAACAGCUGAGAAAGAGAUAGCCAUUAUACAUUACACAUUUGCACUCAAUAAGAAAUCAAUUCAUUAAUAUAGCCAUUAAUACGCCUGGUUUAUUGUUAAUGAAAAUUAAAAAAGAAAAAAAGUCUUUUCUUUGGCCUUUAUUAUGCAUUUUAAGAGGAAAAAAAAUUUAUCCCACUCCAAUUCAUGAAGAUAUUCUCUUUUCUGUCAUAUUGAUGUGUUAAUAUGAAGAUCCAUUGCAGUUGGUGAAUUCAAAUAUUCAGUAACUGAUGAAAUUGUAUUUAUAAAUUCAUACUAAUAGCAAUUGAAGAUUAUAAUUAAUUUUGUAAUAUGGUCUAGCCCUCCUGUGUUUAAUUAGCACUCAAAAACCACUUUACAAUAGGGCAUUAAAAGAACAUUAUAACGUCAUUGCUGAUGAGUUCUGGCGAAGACAUUAAGUUAAGGCCACAAAAAUCGAAAUGCACGUAGCUUCGUUUGUUUUUUAUUUUUGAUUCUCUUUGGGGGCAAAUGCUUGGCUUCGUUUGCUUUUUCGUUUUUGAUAUUUUAUUGGGCUUUAUUGUGUGGCAUCUUCUUGUUUUCUUUUGAUUUUCUGUUUUGGUUGUUAUGGGAUUUGAUGACGACGUACAUGUACGAAGAUUAUAUAAUAAAAUGUUUUUGAUAAAUUAUGGUCGGUUUAGAAUUAAUUAACUAAAUUUAAUUUACUUGAUCAAUUGAUAUUUGUAAGCAUUGUUGUUAUACAAACACAACAAAAGAAGAACAUUAAUGUACUAAUUAAUUACUAAUAAGAACAUUAAUAACUUUUGCCGAAGAAGAGAAAUAUUACACAUAUGUAACCGUGCAGCAUAUGUAACCGUGCAGCUAAAUAAAAGAAACUGAAGUUUAUUUCAACAGCUAAAGAAUGAGAUACGCAUAAGAAAUUAAUCCAUUAAUUAAUUAAUUAAUUCAUAGUCCCCCGCUGCUAAAAUAAAGCGAGCGUCUUACUCUACCUAACAUUUUUCCUUUUAUUAAUUUAAAAUAGUUUUCAACUGAGAUUUGAAUUUUAAAAUUACACGCUUGAUUUAGAAGAAAAAAAAGUCAAAUAUAUGUAACCGUACCGCGGAAAAGACAAAUAUAAGAAACUGAAGUUUCAACAGCUGAGAAUGAGAAAUUAAUUCAUUAAUUAAUUAAUAGAGUCCUCCUUUGCUAAAUAAUGCGAACCCAUUGUUCUUUUUAUUUCCAAAACCCAUUAAUCACCAACACAUAAUACACGCCCAAUUUAAAAAAAAAACUAAUAAUAAAAUAUUUCAGUCUUCCUUUGUUGAGUCGUCAUUAAAAACCCAUUUACCAGCUAUUCGAGCAUAAGGUAUAUGGGUUAACAAGUCCCAAUAUUGUCCUCCAUCCUUUCUGCACUUCUCUUCUAUCAACGGACAGCGAUAGAUUCUUAAUUGCAAAAGUGAGGAAGGCAGGCCCUUCUCCGGAAAGUAUUUGAGCUUGGGACAAUCAUAGAGUGUCAAUUUAGUGAGGUUUUGAAGAUCAACAAUUGAAGAAGAUAGGCUUUCCAGAUUUGGAAAAAAGGCAAUGCUCAGAGAUGUUAGAGAGGCAGGAAGAGGAAGCGUGGUCCCCAGUCUUCUGUCCUCUGGCUCUGGUGGAAAUGACACCAUGUCGUCAUCGCAUCCUCUGAUUAAAAGAUAUCGCAGAGAGGAGAAUCUGUGAAAUCCCCGGCCCCGCUCAAUCAUUGACUUCCAAAUCCCCAUAUUACCCUCAAUCCUCAGUGAAUGAAGGUUGGUGGGAAGGCCAUCUUCUUCAAGGCUUGGAAGCUCACCUCCUAUUAUUGUUAAUUGUUGAAGAGAGGUCAGAUUGUGCAAUCCCUUGGGUAAGGCCUCUAGUCUCUUACAAUCAUAUAUCUCCAGCCUCCUGAGUUUCGCACAAGGCAAUCCCCCUUUGGGAAAGGACUCCAGAUUUCCACAACCCCCAAUACCAAUCUGUUGAAGCUGGCACAGAUUAUGUAAACCACUCGAUAAAAUUUUCAGAUUUUCACAGUUAGAAAUGUUGAUUGUUUCAAGAGAUGUGUUGUUGUCCAACCUUUCUGCUAUUGACUGCAGCUUUGGACAUCCAUAAACAUCAAGUACCUUAACGGACGGAGGUAGAUUGCCAACUUCAAGGGACUCAAGCGUGGCAGGUAACUCGUUUUUUGAAAAUAUACAUGUCAGAGACGGACAACUGGAAAUUGCUAAGUUCUCAAGAAGAGAUGAGGUGUACCUUCUGCUGCUGCUACUCUGGAUGCCCUCUUCCACUGUCAAAGUCCUUAUUUUAUUGCACCUCUGGAUGUCCAACCUCUUAAGGCUCAGUGGUAGCUGGACUUCAGCAAUAUAUGUCAACGAAUGGCAAUCCCAAAUUUUCAAGAUCUCGAGAGAUGAACUAGUGUCGCACAUCCAUGGCUCUGGUAACGAUUUCAGUGCAUCACAUUCUCUAAUCUCAAUUUUCUUCAACUUGGAAGGCAGAGCAACCUCAGGAAAGGAAACAAGGGAACUGCACUUGUAGAUUUCUAUCUCUUUCAAGGAACUAAGGCUGAGAGAUGAUUGUGGCAGCUUCACAAGGCCUUCGCAAUAUCUCAAUCUUAGAUAUUCGAGUCUGCAUGACAACUCGCAGAGCUGCUGUUGUUGGUCUUUCUCUUCCUCCGCCACCAAGGAUUGAAGUUUGGGACACCCUCUUAUCUCCAGACUUUUGAGAGAGCAAAUGUCUUGUAGUAAUCCGUCAUGACUCUUCCAUAUAUAUGUUUGCUCUUUUGUCGACAAAAUUAAUUCUUCCAAUUUCGGUAGUUGUGGCUUCAACGGCCCCGCAAGAAACACUUGAUUUGAUGUAUCUCUACAAACCACUGAAUUCUGUGAUCCGAGAUGACCAGUUGCACUUUCCCACACAACCUUUUUGCAUCCACCAAUUAAGAAUUUGCAAAGAGUUGGAAGACUCAAAACUGAAACUAACAAUUCUUCACAUCCUUCAAUAACAAGCAUCUCUAAUACAGGAAGGUGUUCUGGAAAUGUUCCUCGCAGUUUAGGACAUUCUAAAAUGUGAAGCUCUCUCAAUUUAGGAAACCCUUCAACCCCUUGACCGGAUCCAUGAGAAAUCCAGACUUCCCAUUCUUGCAGGUCUUCAAAACGAAGAGUCUCCAAGCAUGGAAAUGGAAUUGGAGAGUCAUCCCCAUAGAACUCUGAACCCAAUCUCUUUACUCUACUCACUCCACGCACUGUAAGAUGCUUUAGAGAGGGCAGUUGCCCGACAGACGGCAGGGCAGUACACAUGCCGCAAUCUUCAAAUUCAAGUGUUACUAAAUUUGAGAAUAAGGAAUCUCCUAACCAUGUUGGAAAUUUUGUACCUCCAUAGCCACAGAUACCAAAUUGUUCCAGAUUUUUAUGGGGUUUGAGCAUGUCAAGCACACCCAUUUCAGUUUCUGCCUCCCUUGAAGAUGAACCAUCGGUACUGCGUGUCCAUCGAAGCAAUAAUUCUUUAAGAUUCUUCUUUCCAUCCAACCGAGCCUCCUUCGCAUUACCAACGUCUUUUACGUUCUCCAAUUUUGAAAUUUCAAGUGCCCCACGAAGAUGCAUCAACAACUUUAGCUCUGAUAACCCCGAACCACUGUCUUUUCCCACAACAAAAUUACACAACGUCUGAAGACAAGUCAACUUGCCAAUUCCUAGUGGCGUUUCCUCCAACGAAUCUGUAUUUGAAUUAUUGAGAUGAUGCAAUUUGAUGAGAUUUCCCAUGUCUGCACACAACUUCUUCAGCCGAUCACAAUCUUCCAACAAAAGACUAUGCAAAUUGUAAAGCUUGUUGACUGAUUCAGGCAGAGUUCUAAUAUUAGUUCCAGACAGGUUAAGGUACCUUCAAUACCUCAAAUCACCAACUGAAUCUGGUAGCUCGGAGAUGUGAUAUCCACGCAAAGAGAAGACCCUCAAGCGUUGGAGUUUGAGCAACUUAGGAAGAAUGCUAGGAGCCAAGUAGCCAGGCGAACUCUCUGUCAACAUUACUGGUAAAAAAGUUCUCAAAUGUUGGAUAUCAUACAAGUCCCCAAACCUUUUACCGCCAACAUAAUAUUCAGGAAUAUAUGACAGAUGACGAAGAUAUCGGGAAAAACUUUGUUGCUUGUUAACCUCAGAGGUAUACUCCAUUGUGAAGUAUAUUUCCCCUGCAGCCCAAUGCGCAAGGUCGUUGAUAAGAUCGUGCAUCACAAAUCGUGAUGCAUCGUUGCUUGAUUGCUGGAAAAAGGAUCUUGAAUGUAGCUCCUUAAAGAUUUCAAGACCUAAAUCUUCACCAGUUUUCUCACGCUCUUUGCGAUCCAAGAAGCCCGAGGCACACCAUAACAAAAUUAUCUCCCCCUCUUCAAAUUCAUAAUCCUUUGGAAACAAUGAGCAAUACGCAAAGCAUUGUUUCAAAGGUGCCGAAAGAUAAUAGUAGCUCACUCUAAGCGCCGGCAUAAUGUCACAUCUCUCUUCUUGCAAUUCCCAUAUCUUGGUACUGAGCACUCUCUCCCAAUCACAUCUGUCAUCUUUUCCUCGCAAAAGUCCUCCAAGUGUUUGCGCUGCCAAGGGCAAGCCAUCGCAUUUGGCCACUAUCUUCUUGCCAAUUUCCUCCAAUAAGUUAUCUGACCCCAAAGAAUGUUGAGCAAAUACAGCUAGACAAUCAUCAAUUGACAACUUUUUUAAUUGAUAAGCUGAGGCAGUUCCCAUGAUGUCUGCAACCUCUUGAUUACGAGUUGUGACAAUAAUCUUACUUCCCUUCGCUCCAGCUUCAAACGGACGGCUGAGGCGAACCCAAUCAUUGUAAUUCUCAUUCCAAACGUCGUCUAAAACAAGCAAAAAUUUCUUUUGAGAUAACUUCUUCUUCAGCUCCUCUUGAAGCAAAUUUAAAUCACUGUCAUCAAUAGUCUGCUUGGUAACGGAUCUUAGAAUUGUUUUUGUUAGCCCCUUAACGUCGAAAUCCUCAGAGACACAAGUCCAUGCCUUGAGAUCAAAAUGAUCCCGCACUUGCUUAUCAUUGUAGACAAGCUGAGCAAGAGUAGUUUUGCCCAGCCCGCCCAUACCUAUAAUAGGAAUAACUGCGAAUCCACCAUCGUUGCUUAAAUCAUCCCUCAACAGCAGUUCAACAACAUCCUUCUUUUCUGUUUCCCUGCCAUAUACUUUGGCUUCAGUCACUAAAGAGGUUGUCUCUAGCCUUUGACUGGCUUUUUUGGACCCUCCAGCUGAACUUUCUUUCAAAUCUAGCAAGUUUUUCUGUGUCACAAUUUCUUGAAAUCUGCUGUUGAUCUCUUUGAUUUUGGACAUCAAGCCAUAAUCGAACUGAAUCGAUUGUGGAGUAAAAGUGGUGCAGCAAGUAGGAAUGAGCUUCCGAAACUUACUUGUUCUUGUACGACUGCUACUGGGUUGAUCAUGAGCAGCAGCUGGUUCUCCAUUCCCAAGCAGCAACCUCCUCCGGAAAGCCUCAGUUUGAAACUCAUCCAACAAGUCUUCAACAUCGUAAGCCAAGUUCUGAAGCUUGCCAAGCCACUUCUUCACAAACUGAUUAGUCGUCUUCUUCUCCUCAGCAUCAUCAAGCACCGCCUUGAUCAUCUCCAACAUAUUCUCCCACUUCAUUAGAUCGUCUUGGAUCUUCUCUUGGCGUGCAAAAAACAGAAUCCCCUCUGAAGCUAACUUAUUGACCAGCAAAUCAACGGACGCCGUAAGGAUUGCCUCUCCGAUGAUCGACAUUUUUUUUUCUUUUUUUGGGCAAAGGAAGAAAGGAGCAGAAUUAUGGGUUAUGGAAAGCAGAAUGAGAAUAUUGAACGGGUGAGAAAAUGGAUAAUUAAGCGGAAUGAGUUUGUGAUUGUGAAGGGUCUGGUUCAGCAAGCUUAGUAGAAAUCACGCGUUUGUACUUUAUUGACCAAUGACUAAAUAAUUUGGCAAUGCACCCACCACCACCAGUUGGCGAGCAAAAUGAAAAAGUUUAAUAAGUGCAGGGGUCGAGCAAAAUACGACGUAAAAUGUGGCAAGUCUCCCCACUUGUUGUUCCUUGCAGCUAAGAAAAGAAAAAACAGAGCCCACCACCCAUUAAUAAUUUAGCAAUUCACCAAUCAUCACAAAAUUCCAUUAGAUAUUCGUCGAUCAAGUAGUUAAGUAUUUUUGCUAGAAUGAAUGCAACCAAGAUUCUAUGGGAUAUGUAUGAAGAUGAUGUAAUAAAGUGCUUUUGAUAUAUUCCCCUAGUCGGUUUACUUCACUAACCAUUAACGAGCAAAUCCUCCCAAUGACCCUCAAUACUCUUGUGCACAAUUAAAAUAAUUUCAAUUAUAUAUAUAUAUAAAUAAAAAAACUCUCAAAUAUAUUAUUUGAUAAUCACCAAAAAAAAAAAAAUUCACCCCAAUAAAUCACAUUACAGUCUAUGUUGCAAGUGUUUUUAGGACUAAUUCAAAGAGAAAAUGCGAAGGACAUGUAAUUGAAUUUGGGACACUGAAUAUAUUCCCAAUUACCCUUUAGUGUAAAUAGUUCCACUUCAGAUAUAUAUAAUGAUGAUGAAAUUUUGUUUUCUCAUAGCAAUCAUUCUAGUGUUUUACAAUGAGUAAUUGAUUCAAUAUUAACACAACACUAUUUUAACAUGUGACAUAUUCUAUCAUAGUGUGCUUCAACUCAGACUUCUAAGUUUCCAUUUUAGAACAAGUUAAAACAGUUCCAACUCAAAAUCAGUAGUGCGCAAUUGGGUUGUUAUAAAUAUUUCUAAAUUUUAGUCUAAUUUGAAUUAUUUAAUUGUGUUUGUACAAACUAGCUUUAUCACUUCUUUUAUAUUGAUACCCUUAAAUUUCAACCUUAUUUUAUGUUGAUGCACAAUCUAACUUAACAAAAAUAAUAUUCAAAUUGUCACAAUUUUUUUUUUUAAAAAAAAUAUACAAAGUUAAUUUUUCUUCUUCUUUACUCUAGGAUCCAGCUCCAUACCCCUCUUUUUUGUCGUUAUGCUACUCAGCCGUUAGAUUUUAAUUACGUUAAUCUAAUGGUUGGGAUUUGCAAAUGAAUAAUGAAGUGGUGUUCGGCUACUAUCCGAGGCCAUUGCAUCUAAUUGGUUUUGUGAUUUUUCACUUUCUUCCCUGUAACACUUGACUAGUUCUGGAAAUUGCUUUUUGGCAUGCUAAUUGUUGUGAAAAUUUUAAUAUACUCGCAAGCGCACGAAUCUAGAAAUAAAAUAGUGGUAACGAGGUCGAUCCCACAGGGAUUGGCACCCAUCACGCCUUUAGUUGUCGUGAAUAAAUCGAAAAUCAAAUUGAACUGGUUUUUACCGGGUAGCAACAAUCGUGACGUUUUGAGAUUAUAAUAUAUGACAACACUGAUUAGUGUUGUCUCCCAUGUGAAUUGAGACAAAAAUGAUUUUCCCAAUUGCGCUUUCAUUUGAACAAUUCCACUGUAGAUUUAUAAAAUAAUCACGAAAUUGUGUUUUAUAAUAAGUUACGAGUAAUUGGUUCAAUAUUAAUACAAAACUACUUUAAGUAACACGUGGCAUAUUCUAAUUCUAGCAAAGUUUCCAACUAAGAUUCCCAAAUCAAAAGAAUUUCAAUCUCCAGAACAUUCUACAAAAUGUUUCUUCUAGCCUCUACGUUGUGCUAGAAUUUUCUCUUGAGUUUUUUAGCAAAGACUUCUAAAGAACUAUCCAGAUAUCGAGCUAUAAUCCAGUCAAAGUGUAUAUAUUUCUCUAAUUCACCUCCCUCCAUUUCACCAGAAAACCAACAAACACUUAGCUUCAAACAAACACUUUCAAAUAGCUAGCUAGCUACCCAGAUGGCAAAAUCAAGAAUUCUUGCAAUGACAAUGUUGUUUCUUGUUGUGGCGGCAACAUUGAUGAACAUGGCAUCACAAGCAAAUGCUCUGAUGCCGUACACACGAUCACCUUUCUUUGACAUGAUGUUCCGAAUGACGAAAGAGCCUUUCAGGGUUCUUGAACAAACCCCUUUAACAAUCGCAAAAGGAGCUGAUCAUCAUCAAACUCUAGCCCUGGCGAGAGCAGACUAGAAGGAGAGUGGAUGGAGCCUUUACUUUCUAUUAUAUUUGUAAAGCGUGCCACAACACACGUGAUCACACUCGACAUUCUCGGAAUUAAGAAAGAUGAUGUGAAGAUUGAAGUUGAAUAGAACAGGGUAUUGAGAGUAAGUGGGCAGAGGAAGGCUGAUGAUUAUUAUAAGGAGAGGGUUGAAGGAGAGAAAUGGCACAGAGCUAAGAGAGCAUUUGGCAAGUUUUGGAGGCAGUUUAGGAUGCCAAUGAGUGCUUGACUUGGAUCAUAUUAAGGCUCACUGAGUGCCAAAGCUUGCUGAGGAGAUGAAGAGGCAGCCGAAGGCUAUUAACAUUGAUGAAGAGUCUGGUAAUUCUUCCAAUGAAGAUAUUAAGGCUACCAAGGCUCAAAUGUAAUUGAUUAAAGAAAGAAGUGAUUGCUUUGCUUGAUGUGCUAUUUGUUUAUGAUCUUUUUUUGGUUUUGUUGUGAGAUGUUUCUCUAUGGACGCUUUGUUUAAUGUAUUUUGAUGGGUUUUUUAGGAUGGCUUGUAUGUAUUGACAACAAUAAAGUGCUUUUUAUAAAUCCUAGUCCUACAACACUAAAAGAAAUUAAUACUCUUGGUUUAUAAUUAAUAAAAAUAUAUAUUUUUUUUAAAAGUCUUUUUCUUUGGCAUAUAGUAUGCGUUUUGAGGGGAAAAAAAUUUAUCCCACUCCUAAUUCGUCCUCUUCUGUGAUAUUAAUGUGUUAACACGAAGAUUCAUUGUAAUUGCAACAAUUUUGACGAAUCCAAACGUUCAAUAACUGUUAAAUUGUAUUUAUAAAUACUAAUAGCGAAGGUACAGAAACGAUUAAUUCAAGAAGUUGCUUAAAGUGCAUUAAAUUAGGGAGUAUAAAUAAUUGUGUGAUACAGUCCAGCCUUCAUCUGCUUAUAAUUAGCAACCAAAAACCACUUUGCAACACCAUUAAAAAAACAUUUUAACAUUAUUGCUGAGGGAAGAGGCAACUUAGGCUUAUUAACUCGUAUUAUUAAUGCUGAUGACGCAGCUGGUAAUCCUUUUGGUGAAUAUAUUAAGGCAGCUGAAGCUUAAAAUUAAUUAAGCCCACUAAAGCUUAAAACUAAUUCUUCUAGUGACGAUGCUUUGCUUAGUUCGCUUUUUGUUUUUAAUUUUUUUGGGGCUAACGUUUUGCUUAUUUUGCUUUUAAAAUUCUAUUGGCGUUGCUGUGGAAUAUUGUUUCUCCUUCGAUUUUCUGUUUUUGUUGUUAUCGGAUUUGAUGAUGGUUUAUAUGUACGAAGAUUAUGUAAUAAAGUGCUUUUGUAACAAUAUAUAUAUAUAUAUAUAUAUAGAUGUUUCAACAGCUAAGAAAGAGAUAGCCAUUAUACAUUACACAUUUGUACUCAAUAAGAAAUCAAUUCAUUAAUAUAGCCAUUAAUACGCCUGGUUUAUUGUUAAUGAAAAUUAAAAAAGAAAAAAAAAUCUUUUUCUUUGGCCUUUAGUAUGCAUUUUAAGAGGAAAAAAAAUUUAUCCCACUUCAAUUCAUGAAGAUAUUUUCAUUUCUGUCAUAUUGAUGUGUUAAUAUGAAGAUCCAUUGCAGUUGGUGAAUUCAAAUAUUCAGUAACUGAUGAAAUUAUAUUUAUAAAUUCAUACUAAUAACGAUUGAAGAUUAUAAUUAAUUUUUUAAUAUGGUCCAGCCCUCGUGUGUUUAAUUAGCUCUCAAAAACCACUAAGGUAAAGGCAAAAUCAUGAUAAAUUGUGGUCGGUUUAAUUUACUUGAUCAAUUGAUAUUGGGUAGCAUUGUUCUUAUACAAACACAAUAAAAGAAGAACACUAACGUACUAAUUAAUUACAAAUAAGAACAUUAACAAUUUUGCCGAAGUCUGAUGAAGAGAAAUAUUACACAUAUGUAACCGUACAACUAAAUAAAAGAAACUGAAGUUUAUUUCAACAGCUAAGAAUGAGAUACGCAUAAGAAAUUAAUCUAUUAAUUAAUUAAUUAAUUCAUACAAUUUUCAACUGAGAUUUGAAUUUUAAAAUUACAUACACAAACACACCUGAUUUAAAAGAAAAAAAUUUUAAUAAUAAAAUAUUUUACGUAUGUAACCAUACCGCGGAAAGAACAAAUGUAAGAAACUGAAGUUUCAACAGUUGAGAAUGAGAUAGGCAUAAGAAAUUAAUUAAUUAAUUAAUAGAGUCCUCCUCCUUUGCUAAAUAAUGCGAGCCCAUUGUUCCUUUUAUUUCGAAAACCCAUUAAUCAUCAACACAUACACGCCCAAUUUUAAAAAAAAAAAAUAAUAAUAAUAAAAUAUUUAAGUCGUCCUCUGUUCAAUAAUCAAAAACCCAUUUAAAAUCUAUUUUAACUUUAGGUAUAUGGGUUAACAAGUCCCAAUAUUGUCCUCCAUCUUUUCUGCACUUCUCUGCUAUCAACGGACAUCCCCCGAUGUAUAAUUGCAAAAGUGAGGAAGGCAGGCCCUUCUCCGGAAAGUAUUUGAGCUUGGGACAAUCCUCGAGUUCCAAGUGAGUGAGGUUUUGAAGAUCAACAAUUGAAGAAGAUAGGCGUUCCAGAUUUGGAAAAUUACCAAUCAUCAGGGAUGCUAGACAGGCAGGAAGAGGAAGCGUGGUCCUCAAUCUUAUGUCCUCCGGUGGGAAUGACACCAUGUCGUCAUCGCAUCCGCUGAUUGUAAGUUGUCGCAGAGAGGAGAAUCUGUGGAAUCCCCGACCCCACUCAAUCGUUGACUUCCAAAUCUUCUUAUUAUCAAUAAUCUCCAGCCUAUGAAGGUUGGUGGGAAGGCCAUCAUCUUCUUCAAGGCUUGGAAGCUCACCUCCUUCUCCUAUUGUUAAUUGUUGAAGAGAGGUCAGAUUGUGCAAUCCCUUGGGUAAGACCUGUAGUCUCUUACAAUAAGAUAUCUCUAGCCUCGUGAGUUUCGCACAAGGCAAUCCCCCUUGGGGAAAGGACACCAGAUUUUCACAUUCCCAUAUCCCUAUCUCUUGAAGCUGGCGGAGAUUAUGUAAACCACUCGGUAAAAUUUUCAGAUUUUCACACUCAGAAAUACUGAUUGUUUCAAGAGAUGUGUUGUUGUCCAACCUUUCUGCUAUUGACUCCAGCUCUGAACAACUCCAAACAUCAAGGGACUUAAGAGACGGAGGUAGAUUGCCAACUUCAAGGGACUCAAGCGUGGCAGGUAACUCGUUUUUUGAAAAUAUACACGUCAGUGACGGACACCUGCUAAUAUGCAAGCCCUCGAGAAGAGAUGAGGUGUACCUUCUGCUGCUGCUGCUGCUCUGGAUGCCCUCUUCCACCGUCAAAGUCCUUAUAUUAUCGCAAUGGCGGAUCUCCAACCACUUAAGGCUCGGUGGUAGUUGGACUCCAGCAAUAUAUGUCAACGAAUUGCAAAUCCAAAUCUCCAAGAUCUCGAGAGAUGAAUUGGUGUCGCACAUCCAUGCCUCUGGUAACGAUUUCAGUGCAUCACAUUCUCUAAUCUCAAUUUUCUUCAACUUGGAAGGCAGAGCAACCUCAGGAAAGGAAACAAGGGAACUGCAGCCGUAGAUUUCUAUCUCUCUCAAGGAGCUGAGGCUGAGAGGUGAUUGUGGCAGCUUCACAAGGUCUUGGCAAUCUCUCAAAUCUAUAUAUUCGAGUAUGCACGACAACUGGCAGAGCUGCUGUUGUUGGUCUUUCUCUUCCUCCGCCACCAAGGAUUGAAGUUUGGGACAACUUGUAAUCGUCAGUCUUUUGAGAGAGCAAAUGUCUUGCAGCAAUUCGUUAUGACUCUUCCAUAUAUAUGUCUGCUCUUUCAUAUCAUUUAUCUCCAAUUCUUCCAAUUUUGGUAUUCGCGGCUUCAAUGGCCCUGCGAGAAACACUUGAUUUGAUGUAUCUCUACAAACUACUGAAUUCUGCGAUCCGAGAUGACCAGUUGCACUUUCCCACACAAUCUUUUUGCAUCCACCAAUUAUGAAUUUGCAAAGAGAUGGAAGACUCGAAACUGAAACUAACAAUUCUUCACAUCCUUCAAUAACAAGCAUCUCCAAUGCAGGAAGGUGCUCUGGAAAUGUUCCUUUCAGUUUAGAACAUCUUAAAAUGUGAAGCUCUCUCAAUUUAGGAAACCGUUCAACUCCCUGACUGAAUCCAUGAGGAAUCCAGUCUUCCCAUCCUUGCAUGUCUUCAAAAUGAAGCGUCUCCAAGCAUGGAAAAGGAAUUGGAGUAUCAUUCCCAUAGAACUCUGAACCCAACCUCUUUACACUAGUCAUUCCACAUACUGCAAGAUGCUUUAGAGAGGGUAGUUGGCCGACUGACGGCAGGGUAGGACACAUGCCACAAUAUUCAAAUUUUAAGGUCACCAACUUUAAGAAUGAGGAAUCUCCGAACCAAGUUGGAAAUUUUGCGCCUCCAUAGCCGCUGAUACAAAAUUGUUCCAGAUUUUUAUGGGGUUCUAGCAUGUCAAGCACGUCCUUUUCAGUUUCCGCCUCCCUUGAAGACGAGCCAUCGGUACUGUUUGUCCACCGAAGCAUUAACACUUUAAGGUUCUUCUUUCCAUCCAAUUGAGCCUCCUUUGCAUCACCAACGUCUUUUACGUUCUCCAAUUUUGAAAUGCAAAGUGUCCCACGAAGGUGCGUCAACAACUUUAGCUCUCGUAACCCGGAACCACUGUCUUUUCCUACAACAAAAUUACACAACGUCUGAAGACAAGUCAACUUGCCAAUUCCUAGUGGCAUUUCCUCCAACGACUUCGUAUUUGAAUUCUUAAGAUGAUGCAAUUUGGCGAGGUUUCCCAUGUCUGCACACAACUUCUUCAGCCGAUCACAAUCUUCCAACAAAAGACUAUGCAAAUUGUAAAGCUUGUUGACUGAUUCAGGCAGAGUUCUAAUCUCAGUUCCAGACAGGUUAAGGUACCUUAAAUACCUCAAAGCACCAAUUGAAUCCGGCAGCUCAGGGAUGCGGUAUCCACGCAAAGAGAAGACCCUCAAGCGUUGGAGUUUGAGCAACUUAGGAAGAAUGCUAGGAGCCAAGUAUCCAGACAGUGAGCUAUUUGACAGCAUUACGGGUAAAAAUGUUCGCAAAUGUUGGAUAUCGUACAAGUCCUCAAACCUUUUAACACCAUCGUAAUCUCCACGAAUAUACGACAGAUGACGAAGAUUUCUUGAAAAACUUUGUUGCUUGUCAACCUCUGAGAUAUACUCCAUUCUGAAGUACAUUUCCCCAGCAGCCCAUUGAGCAAGGUCAUUGACGAGGUCGUGCAUCACAAAUCGUGAUAUACUGUUGCUUGAUUGCUGGAAAAAAGAUCUUGCACGUAGUUCUCGAAAGAACUUUCGACCUAGAUCUUCACUAGGAUUCCCGCUCUCUCCGUGAUCCAAGAGACCCACAGCACACCAUAAUAAAAUUAUCUCCUCCUCUUCAAAUUCAUAAUCCUUUGGAAACAAUGAGCAGUAUGCAAAGCAUUGUUUCAAAGGUGCCGAAAGAUAAUAGUAGCUCACUCUAAGCGCAGGUAUAAUGUCACAUCUCUCUUCUGGUAAAUCCCAUAUCUUGCAACUGAGCACAUCUUCCCAAUCACUUCGGUCACGUUUACCACGUAAGAGUCCACCAAGAGUUUUCGCAGCUAAGGGCAAGCCGUUGCAUUUGAUCACUAUAUUCUUGCCAAUGUCCUCCAAUGACUUAUGUGAACUGAAAUCUGUUGUCCCCAAAGAGUGCUGAGCGAACACAGACAGACAGUCCUCAGUUGACAAGCUUUUGAGUUCAUAAGCUUGAUCCAGGCUCAUGAUUUUGGCAACCUCUUCAUUGCGAGUGGUGACAACAAUCUUACUUCCCUGUGCGCCAGCUUGAAAUGAAAGGCUGAGGUGAACCCAAUCAGUGUAAUUCUCAUUCCAAACGUCAUCUAAAACAAGCAAAAAUUUCUUUCCAAAUAGUUGUUUCUUUAGCUCCUCUUGAAGCUUAUUCAAGUCGUGAUUAUCCACAUUCUGGCCAGGAGCAAUGGAAAUUAGGAUUGAUUUUGUAAGCCUGCUAACAUCAAAAUCAUCGGAGACGCAAGUCCAUGCCUUGAGAUUAAAAUGAUCCUCCACCUGCUUAUCAUUGUAGACAAGCUGAGCAAGAGUGGUUUUACCCAGCCCGCCCAUACCUAUAAUAGGAAUAACAGAGAAUCCACCAUCCUUUCUUGAAUCAUCCUUCAACAACAAUUCAACAAUUUCCUUCUUUUCUGUUUCCCUGCCAUAUACUUUGGCUUCCUCCACCAAAGAGGUUGUCUCUUGCCUUUGCCUGGCUUUUUUGGAUCCCCCAGCUGAACUUUUUAUCAAAUUCAGCGAGCCUAUUCUUUCUUCAAUAUCUUGAAAUCUAUCGUUGAUUUCUUUGAUUUUGGACAUCAUGGCGUAAUCGAACUGAAUCGAUUGUGGAGUAAAAGUGGUGCAGCAAGUAGGAAUGAGCUUCCGAAACUUACUUUUCGUGCUUGUACGACUGCUGCUGGGUUGAUCAUGAGCAGCAGCUGGUUCUCCAUUUCCAAGCAGCAACUUCCUCCGGAAAGCCUCAGUUUGGAACUCAUCCAACAAGUCUUCAACGUCAUAAGCCAAGUUCUGAAGCUCGCCAAGCCACAACUUCACAGAAUCAUCAGUCGUCUUCUUCUGCUCAGCAUCAUCAAGCACCGCCUUGAUCGUCACCAACUUCUUCUUCCACUUCACUAGAUCGUCUUUGAUUCGACCUUGGCGUUCAAAUAAACGAAGCCCCUCCGAAGAUAACUUAUUGACCAGCAUCUCAACGGACGCCUUCAGGAUUGCCUCUCCGAUGAUCGACAUAUAUUUUUUUUUUUUUGGGACAAAGAAUGAAACCAGAUUAUGAGCUUGUGGAAAGCAGAAUGAGAAAAGUGAAUAAGCAGCGUGAGUUUGUGAUUGUGUCUAGCAAGCCUAGAAAUCAAGAAAAACCCACCGUAAAAGUGAAAAGUAAAACGGAGCCAACCACAAAUAUAAAAUCAGAGGAUCACAGAAAUUAAAAAAAAAAAUCAAACACGUAAUGAUUUGUAAAGUUAUUAGCGAUUUGUAAAAAUCAAACAUGCGUCUUCUUCCUCUGAGUGUUUUUUUUUUUUUUUAACUUUAUUAAUUAAUUAGUGAAGUAAAUUUGUAAAGAUCACGGGCAUCAAAUUAUUGGGAGGUAUUAAUUGCGCUUAGUAUUUACAAUUUUUUGUAAAACUUUUUAAUUUCGUUGAAAAUGUAUCGUUAUUAAGUUAUUAUUGAUUUCACUCUCUUUUACUUUUUGACGUUGCGAAAAAGACAGUAAAAAACUUGCUAAAUGUCAUCAAAUACUUGUAUCUCAUCUCACAAAUUAGCAAUAUUUGUUUGGUAUUUCAUCUCAACGGGACGAAGGAACGAUAGAAAACGCGUUCCCUCAUCAAAAUUUUCUUUCGUGAGACCGAUAAUAAAUAAUAAAAUAUUCUUUUAUGGGAUCGAUUAUAAAUAGUAAAUUAAAGAAGGGUCGACAGAAAACGCGUUCCCUCAUCUAAUUUUUCUUUUGUGGGACCGAUAACAAAUAAUACAAUAUUCUUUUGUGGGACCGACUACAAGUACUAACAUAAAGAAUAAAAAAAUGAAAAAAAGGAUAGUGAAAUAACUCAACGGAGAAGUCUAUAAAUGCUUUUGUUUGGUAGCUGGCUAAAGCAGAAUCUGUAAGUUGCAGAGUCAAGUUACACUUAGCCUGCUCCAUAACUCUAAUGUGAAACAAAAAAAGUCCUGCCACCAAUAAUUCAGCAAGCUUCACUUUAUUACACGAAGGUGAAAGCAAAAAGCCAAAAACAGCCCCCACCACCAUCAAUAAUUUAGCAAGCUUCACGCGCUUGUGCUUGUCUUGUCUGCUUGACGAACUGGACAUGGGUGGACCAAGCAUCCAUUGAAUAACUGGAAAAAGUAAAAAAUAAAAAACAGUGUCCCGCAAAAAGAAUCCAUCUUUAUGUGUUGAUAUGCACAUCUACCGAACAUCUACAAAAUGGAAGUAGAAAUUGAAACUUACGUUUUUUAGUUAUGGCUCAUAUAUAAUACAAGUAUCAAUAUUUAAGUAGAAUAGAGUUCACAUAUACACAUGCGUCUAGUUUUAAGUUUUAACCGAGAGAUAAAUUAAUCAUUAAUACUCAGGUGUUUCUAAAUAAUUGAAUAAUGAUAUUAUACGAACCUUCCCUUUACAAGUCUUCAAACUCAUAAACCAAGUUAAAAUAAAAUUAAAAAAAACGUUUCUCUCUCUCUCUCCUUUUGCUAUAUGAUUACUUUAUUUAUUGAAUUAAUUUCCAUGCUAUAUCAAAGACUUAAAAGUACACUAUAAUUUUUUAUAAUCAUAAUGGUAAUUUCUAUCAUCAUAUUAAAUUAUUGUCGUGUCAAAAUAAAUUAUAACAAAAUUUUAGCUGAACAUAAGUUCGACUCAUUUAUUAAAUAUAUAUACUUAAUAAAAUAAUAAGACGAUUAAUAUGUUAUCAGUGAUAUAGACCCAACUGAAAUAACUCUAAUGUGAAAACAAAAAAAAUCCCGCCACCGAUAAUUGAGCAAAUUAACUUCACUUUAUUACACGAAAGUGGAAGCAAAAGCCAGAGGCAGUCCCCACCACCAUCGAUAAUUGUGCUUGUCUUGUCUGCUUGACGAACUGGACAUGGGGGGGGGGGGGGGGGGGGGGGGACCAACCAUCCAUUGAAUAACUGGAAAAAGUAGAAAAUAAAAAAAUCAGUGUCCAGCAAAAAGAAUCUACCUUUAGGUGUUGCUUCCUAUUCAGUACAUGCAUAGAUAAUGUACAUCGACCUGGAAUUAAAAAAAUGGAAGUAGAAAUUAAAACUUACUUUUUUAGAUAUGGCUCAUAUAUAUUACAAGUAUCAAGAUUUGAUUAGAGUUCACAUAUUUACAAUGUGCCUAGUUUUAAUUGAGAGACAAACUAAUCAUUAAUAAUCAGGUUUUUCUAAAUGAUUAAAUAAUGAUAUUAAUUAUUGAUAUUUAAAAAAUUUGUAAGAAGUAUAACUAAUAUGUUGGGAUAUGUAUUUGUGUAGAAUGGCAAAUAUAAAGAAUAGCAAUAAAAAUAGUGGAACUUUAAUAUGAUGAAAAAAGGUAAACUGUAGAAAAUUAAUAUAUAAUUCAAGGUACGUUACAAAUAUCACUUUCCUUCAGACAUUAUUUACCCCACCAAUUGAGUGAAUGCACAUGAGUUAAGCAAAUAUGUCUCUAGGAUAUAAUGAAACGCUUCUUUGUUUGCUUGUAUUGUGCAUCGACAAAAGUAAAUCUGAAUAUUCCUUAAUGUUGCAAGCUUGCCACGAAUUAAUAUAUUGUUAUUGUAAAAAAAUAAAAAAAAUAAUGUAUUGGAUAUUUGAUGCAUAAAAGAAAUAGAUAUUAUUAGAUGAAAUUCAUUUUGAGAAAUAGGGCUACAAAAAGAGUGGUGUAAUGUCGUUUUAUUAAUGUCUAAAUGGCAUAAAUAUGACAUCUAUUUACAAAUAUAUUUAUGCUCUUUUAUUUAAGUUAUCGUCUUUAGUAAUGCCCUUGAUUCAUAUCCAUUAGAUCAAGCAACCUAAUCCCCACUAAAACUAACUUAUUGAACAGUAACUCAACGGAUGCUGUAAAGAUUGCUCUUGGAUGAUUGACAUUUUUUUUAAAAAAAAUUUGGGCAAAGAAAGAAACUGAAUUAUGAGUUUAUGGAAAUUAAAGCAAAUGAGAAAGUGAAUUAGCACAAUGAGUUUGUGAUUGCGAAGGAACCAGCAAAUCAAAAAACAAUUAAGCAAGAGAAAAGGACAAUGAACACUUUAAUAUUCUAGAAAAGGGAUAUGAAACCUCUAAACAUUUUAAAAAAGAUAUAUAAUCUCCUUUUUAUUAGUAAAAUCUGUUUAUUUCAGUAGUAACAUAAUCUUUAAUUUACAUUUACUAUCAUGUCCCUAUAAUAAAUAAAUUAAUAUAUUUAAUUUAAAAGAGUGAGCCCUCCAAUUUUACUUCCCAUUUGCUCAAUUGCCUUUCAUUCAUAUACAAGCAUGUUUAACAUCUCAUUUUGCCUAAUUUGCCUUGGAAGAAAAUAAAUUUGAUUUUAUUUUUAUCUAUUAUUCAUCAUUUUUUAUCAUCUUAACAUUGGGAAGGAUAUAUUCAUAAUUUAAAGUGAAUAAUUUGGAUAAAAGAUAAUUAUAUCUUAAUUUUAAGUUUUAAAUAAAAAGUUGUUGGUUUUAUUAUACAUGUCAUUGAUGACAUGUCUUAAAUUAAUAUAUUUAUUUAUUUAUUAUCGGGAUAUAAUAAUAAUUAUAAAUUAAAAAUAAAUUUAUUAUUAAAAUAAAUGGAAUUUAUUAACAAAAAUAGGAAUUAUAUAUCUUUUUUAAAAUAUUAAAACAUUAUUUUUUUUUAGGGUAUCACUAUCCAUUUCCCAUUAAGCAAAACAAAAGUGAAAAGAAAAAUCAGAGCCCACUAUAAAUAUAAAAUUAGUGGAGCUCAUGAUGAUGCAUUUGCUUUACAUACUAAAUUAAAUAAAAGCCGAACCAAGAAUCUUUGCCUUAGCUUAACAUGAUUAAUUAGGCACUACUUCAUAGAAAACGCGAAAGCAAUGAACCCUUUUUUUAAUCUUAAAUGUCAUGAAUAUAAUUCUUCUGCGUUAAUUAAUCAUUCUUCUCUGACCGUCUCUUCAGGUUCAUUUCAAAAGUUUGAAGAUAGUUUAUCAAUUCUUCUACUUAUAAAAGCAAGUUAAAUUAAAAGAUUUUAAUCUCUCUUCUUAUUACUAUAAGUGCACUGUGCACGACAUUUUUUUACAAUAAACAAUGCCAAUUUGUAAUGUAAUGUUAUAUUCAUAUUCCCAUCGCGUCGAACUCUUUUUUUCCCUCUUUUUUAAAAGGAGACGGUGCGGUUUGGUUGUUCGCAAAAUUAGUGGUGUGGGGCUCUAUUUGCUUUUGUUUUCACUUUAUUAAUUAACUAGCGAAGCAAACAUGUAAUCAUUUGUAAAGGAGUCACUAGCACCGGAUUAUGUAAGAUGAAUUCGUAAGACUUAUUAAUUUCAAUUGAAAAUGUAGCGUUAUUAGGUUAUUAAUUCACUAAGUUAACUUGAGGUUCUAAUAUUUACUAAUUGUGGUGAUUAAUUUAUUUAACUUGUCAUAAUUUUCAUUUGAGAAUGAAAUUCAAUCAAUGUAUGAAAAAAGAUAAUUUUUUAAAAUUUUUAAUUCCUAUGAUUUGAUUUCACUUUUUUCCGGAUAUUGACGCUGUAAAAGCUUGCCCAAUGUCAUCAAAUGCUUGUAUCCCAUCUCACAAAUUAGCAAAUAUCAUUUGGUUUCUUUAUACGUGGCCAUCACAAAUUAAAAGUAACAACAUCCACCAUAUAUCGAAAAUUAAUUUUGAGAAUACUUUUGACUUUUAAAAGAAAAAUGCGAGUACAAUUUAAUAAGAGAGAACAAGAAUUGAUCAUGUCCCAAGAGACUGAAAAUAAGAUUAUAUAAACUUGAAUGCAGGCAUAUCAUAUGUUAAUCUUAAUUUUUUUUUGUUGCUGAAAAUUAAUUAAUUUGUUCCACUAUUCCUUUUUUAAUUGUAUGGUGAGAAACACAUUGGCCACUUCUGAAUCAUGUUGCAUAUUUGUUAACUCAAAGAAACAGUACACUUUUGUAUCAAUCAAACUCACUUUGUUAAUAUUCUUCAUUAUUAUGGUUAAUGGCUUAGCAAAUGUAGAAGGAGGAGUCAACCAAAAUGUAGCACUUUCUCUUGUAUUAACCUUUUAUUAAUUGUUGAAGUUAAAAAAAAUGUUAAAACAAGUUAAAAUAGUUCCAUCUCAAAAUCAGUAGGGUGUAAGUAGGUUGUUAUAAAUAUUUUUAAAUUUUAGUCUAAUUUAAUUGUGUGAUGCACAAACUUUCUCACUUCUUUCAUAUAAAUAAAGGGGAGAACUAUUUGAACUCAUUAAAUCACUUUUUAAAUUCCUCUACUUAUUAAGGCCAUCAUAAAAAUUCAAAAAUCCUUUUUAUACUCACUACAUCUCUUAAAAAUAUCGCAAAUAUGACACAUUUGUCUUCACCUUCUAUUUAUCUUCAACAUUCACAAUUUUUAUUUGAAUCUGUAAUAUGUUUAACACUGUUCAUUCACUCAUUAGAGUUCCAAUAAUAGAAUAUAGAGAUUAAAAAUAUCAUUAGCAAAUUAUUUGUUUGUGUUCUAUAUGAUAUUCUUGGUUUGGAAAAAGCUUCAUCGGCAAUAUAUGUAAAUAAAAGACUAAGAACUUCCAAUAAUUCAGAUUUGAUCGAAACUUCACAAACUUAUUUUCACUUAAAAAAAUAAAAUAAAGUAAAAGAAAUUCUCGUGUUUUAAAAGAAAAACUGCCAGACAUGUUUCUAAAACAACUAGAAACCAAACUAGGCUUGAAGCAGUGAGUUUUGAAUUAUAAAAAAUACAUAAUUGUAAUUUCACCUAAAUCAAAUGAUGAAUUUCAUGACAACGGAUUUAGACUAUAGACCAAUACACAAAGAAUUGGAUGUUCAUCGCAUUUGUUCUUGAAAUUGUUUUGCGCAAAAAAGUUAACUAUUGUAUUAUGUUGUAUUGCAUUAUUUUAAUAUAAGUGUAUUAUAUUAUGCUGUAUUGCAUUAACACUGUAUUAUAUUAAUACUAUACAACGUUUGGUUCUACAUUGUACUAUAUUAAUUUUUAAUUAUACAUACACUAUAUUAUGCUAUACUAUAUUAUUUUUUUGGUGGUUAAUUUCAAUUAUAUGUUUGGAAAUAAUAUUUAUUAGUACUUAGCAAAAUAUAAAAUAUAGAACCUUAAAUUUUAGAAUAUUUACAUCAAUUUUUUUUAGUAUAAAUGUAAAUAAUUAUAAUAAUUCUUCAUUAAACUUAUGUAAAAAUAACAAAUUCUGAAUUUUUGCUAUCGUAACAUUUUUUUUUUAACGGCGUUUUUCAAAUGUAUACCUUAUUGAUGAUGCACCAUAAAAAUAAAUAUCAAAUUUUGCGAUCAUGAUCAAGUCGAGUUUUACAUUAUGAAAGCAUGACACAAAAAUUGAAAAAAAUAAUGGCCGGCAAAAAGUUAUACAAGCAACAACAAAAGUGCUAAUUACUCGGAAAAUAAACAAUCAAGAGCCGCUGAUAGAUAUGAGUCAUAUGACAAGGUAGAGGAAUACAGAUAUCUGCAUACAUUUUUAACAAAGAUCAUCUUUGUAACCAAUUGUUGGCUUUGGCAUUAAAAGAUCAUCUUUGUAACCAACUGGGUAGCUAUAAAAUGAAUACUAAGUCAAUCAAACGGGAAAGCUUGCUACAAGACUUUGAAGCAUUAUUCUGUUGCAUCACCUUCCUCCUCUGCCUCACUUCCUGCAUCCCAAAUUAAAGAACAACAAAUAUUAAAUAACAAAAACAAAAUCUUCAAUAGACUUUUCAUACUCCAUGGAGCAAAUCUAUGGGAAUCCACAAAAUAAUUGAAAUAUAUCAAUGCUGCAGGUCAUAGUAACAAAUUACAGAUACACAAUCAUGCAUAUGCAACUAAAAAAUGCUUAUUUAUUACAGCCGCUUUUUGGCAUGACUACUUCAUAAGUUAUAUAUGAUAGAUAACAUUAUUAUUCUAAUCACAUGGUUAUGAUUUUAGUUGGACAUACAAAAGCUACGUGCAUGAAUCUGUAUCAUGCCACCUUUCAUGAGUCAAAAAUUUAAAUCAAAUCAAUUUGGUUGAGCCUUCAAAUUCCUAUUCCAGUCAAAGGAGAUGAUUUUUCCAAAGGUAAAGAAUGAGUCCGGUUACUUAAGCAUGUCAACCUUUUUUCUAGGCUAAGGUUUAUCCCUUUCCAUUUCACUAACUCUCCUCUCACUACCUUGCGUCAACAUUUGCAUACUUGAUAUACUUUCACAACCUUAAUCUAAUACUUUCAUUUAUGCUGAUAUAAAGAAGAAGUUUGAUUUAAAUCUGGACAGGUAACAAGAUUAAAAAACUGCCUUGUAGUAGAGCCAAUUCUUCCAACAAACAUUUCUUGAACCAAUAUCUAAGAUUAAGCUGGAUCACGUAAGACAAAUAUGCCAAGAAGAUUUUUAACUCACCUGACACUAUGGAUCUCCAAAUGUACUCAAUUAGCUUAGGUAAGCCAUACUUCUUCUCAAUUAUGAGCCCAGUAAAUAGGACCCGAAAAACUUGCAUUCCUCUGCUGACAUUCAUUUCAGUGUUGCAAGAAUUACAGAUUCCAUGACCAUGGACUGAAGUUCUUUUGUUAAGACAGGCGCAAGAGAGUACGCCCCUAUCCCACUAGUAUUUGGCCCGGUGUCACCAUCACCAACUUGUUUAUGGUCCUGACAAGACAUUAGAGGUAUGGGCGUAUGGCAUUCUCCCCAUCCACGAAGUCCUUUAGAACCAAAAGCAUUGUUUACAAGCAUCGAAUCAACAACUUCUAUGAAUCAUCCAAUGUCAUAGUUAGAGCUGGUAAAAUUUGACACGAUCCAAUUAUUCGACACGAACACGACACUAAUAAAUGGGUAUGGGUCGUCAAAUUUAACACGAUUAUUAAAUCGGUCGGGUCCGGGUCAACACGAUUUUUUUCCGUGUCGGGUUAGGGUUAAAAUUCUUGACCCAUUUACCCGAUCAAUGACUCGAUUAUAUUUUUUAUUUUAAAAUAAUUUAUAGAUUCUUGUCAUCAAAACUUAAAUAUUAGAGAAUUUUUUUUUAUUCUUUAAAAAGAUGAAUAUAGACACAAUAUUUUAUUUAUAAAAUUUUAAAUAUAUUUAGAGCUUUAAUAAUGUAAAUGUAUAAAAUAUUGGUAGAUACGUAUAUUUUAUAAUAUUGAUAUAUAAUAUUAUUUACAUAUAUAUAAUUAAAACCUCAAUAAUGUGUGUAAUAUUUUAGUAGAUAUGAAAAUUUUAUAAUACUGAUAAAUUAUGUAUGUAUGGAUGGAUGUUGAGACAAGCUAGAGAAGCCAUGAAUGAGAUUUUUCCUUUGACUCCUGCUAUGUGGCAAGAAUUUGCGAGAGAUGAAGCCUCUAUUUCAACCGGGUAUCUGUCAUUUCCUUUUUACAGUGGUUUUUGAUUUUGUGAACAAAUACUUUUUUUUUCGCUUAGAGAUAUAGAUGUUUAUGUUAGUUAUUUGCUAAUGUAAAAAGGAACAAAAACUGCUUAAAAGGUAUUAAAGAAAGAAAAAAGGAACCAAUUUGAAGAAGGGGAUACUCAUAGCGGGAGUUCUGCUUUGGGGUUUAAUUGAUGGGAAGAAGAAAUAGUUUAUAUGUUUACAGAAUUAAACAAUUGAUCACUGAGUUAGUUGAGGAAGAUAAUUAAUCACAAUGUCUGAAGCUGUUGCUGUUGGCGUCACCUAUUGUUAAGAUUUCAUCCUUUUUUAUGGUUUUACAUAGCUGUGACCUAAAGCUUAAUGUAUACGUUGAUAAUUACAUAAUUGGUUUCUUGCUGAUACUUGGCUUUAAUUUGUAAGCCUGAGGCUCUUUCGGGAAUUGAGAAGAUUUACGGAAGAGGAGUUUCUGAUUAUCUGGUUUGUUCUCUUUAUGCUUACAGAAUUUGAAUUAACGCUCUGCAUGAAUUUAUGAUUCAUUUUUUUUGGAGAAAUAUUUUAUGAAAUUGAAGCAUUGGAGUAAAGCGUACUAGUCGUAAGCUUGAUUCACUUUGUUUUGAUUUUAUUACCAAGAGGUGCUAACAGUUCAUGAUGCAUAAAAGAGGGGGAAAAAAACUCUUCUUGGUAGAUACAUAAAUUUUAGUUUCUGAAUCAUUUUCAACGAAAGAAAUAAUUUUACAGAGGCUGAAGAGCAGCAUUUUCAUUUAUAUGAAAGUUCAAUUGUUAUAUCAUCUGUUUCCAUAUCUUUUGUGGUAAAUAAAGUCCUUGAUGAUGGCAUAAGAGCACAGAAGAGUUGUUAGUUUCAUAUGUGGAGAUUUUCAUCAUAGUAGUUCAUUGAAAGUGAAGGCAGCUGAAUACCCUUUUUUCUGAUGCAGUCUGUCCCUCUUUGGUGUGAUUAUUUAAAAUUUGUGCAAGAAUAUGAUCCAUCUAUACGCGAAUGUUUACCCAAUGGCACUUCAAAGGCAAGGAAUCUAUUUGAGCGGCUAUUACUGCUGCUGGUCUGCAUGUUUUAGAAGGCAGUGAAAUAUGGGAAUUGUACAGAGAAUUUGAGCUAGCUAUAUUUAGUAGGAUUGAUAAGAUUAACUUGAAUGUGAAAUAUUUUAAUUUAUUUUACUUUUUUUUGGGCUUAAAUAACGAGUUUAUUCCCAUCUAUAGAAAGAAAAAGGGAAGGUUUUUUUUUUUUUUGCUGGGGGGGGUGUUUCCAACCCUAGCACAUGACAAGCAUUCCAAGACCCUUGCUGCUUGUUUUGCAGGAAAAGGAAAAACAGGUUCUGCGGAUUCGAAGUAUAUUUCAUCGCCAGUUGUCUGUUCCCCUUGCUAACUCAAGUGCAACUCUUCUUGCCUACAAAUCUUGGGAGCUCAAACAGGGGGCUGUUCUUGAUGUUGAAUCUAGUAAUGUAGAUGGGAUUUCUUCUAAUGUUGCCGCAGCAUACCAAAAGGCAUUGGAGAUGUGUAAUGCACGAGCUCAUGUUGAAGAGCAGAUUUCUAGGCAGGAUUUAUCUGACUCAGAGAAAUUUCAACAAUACAUGGCAGAUGACUUUACUAUCGUCAUUUGAUAGCUUUUUAUAGUAAGUGAAAUCCAGCCCUAAAAAUUUUAUUAAUAUGAAUAUUUUUUUGGGGGGAUUUCUUCUUAUGGCAUUAUUAUUUUGCUUUUGUGUAGCUAACAAUUAAUAUGUGCACUUUAAAUAUUAUCUAUUGUUUCUUAGCAAAUAAUAGUAAUAAUAAUAAGUAAUAAAUAAUUAAUAUCUGCAUUGUCAAAUAAUAAUAAUAAUAAUGUCUGCUCUUUUUACUCUUGGGGGGGGGGGCAUGCAGUGUCAUUAUCUUCCUUCUUCUCCUUUUUCUAUUUUGUGCUUUCAAGUUUAAUAUUAUUAUAUUAAUCUGUUAUUGUUGUAGAUAUACUUGAAGUAUGAGCAAUCUUCUGGAGAUCCUGGUAGAGUUCAACUUCUUUAUGAACGGGCUAUUACCGACUUUCCUGUAUCAAGUGAUCUCUGGCUUGAUUAUACUCGUUAUCUUGACAAAACAUUAAAGGUUUAUCCUUCUAUUUUCUAUUUUACUUCUUCUGUUGCAGCUAUUUGUAUACUAAUCGACUCUCCUCUUCAGGUUGGUAAUGUUGUGAGAGAUGUUUAUUCCAGGGCUACAAAAAAUUGUCCCUGGGUAGGAAAACUUUGGGUACGAUCUUUGCUUUCUCUGGAACAUGGCCGUGUUUCUGAGGAGGAGAUAUCCACUGUAGGUUUAAUUGUUACCCUUCAUUCUGAGCUUAAUCAAUUUUCCUGAAUGUAUUCAUUCUGAGCUUAAUCAAGUUUCCUGAAUGUAAUUGAUUUUGAUUGUUUGAAGUUAAAGAAAUGAUCAGCUUCCUAGGCAAAUUUCUUGGCAAGCACUUGAUUGUGGGAGUAACUGAGGAGAAGCAUUCCCUAGUGUUUUUUUUUGUUUUUCUCCUCCCCUAAAAUUGCAAUAUACUUCCCUUGAAGAGUAUUUUUUGCUUUAGCAUUUACACAUCUGUACAGAAGCAAACAUGAAUCAGAGAGAUUUAGUGGGCAAAUUCACCUGUGCUGACAAAUUAAAGCAUAUUAAAUACCGCGGUGGUUGUUGGAAUGCUCCAAAAAGUGUUUUCUUGGUGCUCCUGCUCCUUUUGCACUUUCAUAGUGUUUUAAUAACUGGGUUGUUUAAAUGUCCUGUACUUAUUUUCUUUACAAAUGUCUUUGUAUUUUUUUAAAUUUAUAAAAGAUUGUUCUAAUUAUAUUAAUAGCAACAAAUUGCGCAAACUCAAAUCUUAAUUUCAUUCUGCCCCUAUUACAUAUAUACGGGAUUCUCCUAUUAUUUCAUCAAAUUUUCCAUUACUAAUUUCAGGUCUUUGAGAAGUCACUACUAUGUACUUUUUCAACCUUUGAGGAGGUAGAGAUAUAAUCUUAUGUCUUCUGUACAUACCUUGGUUUCUUGAGCUGUAUGAUUUGGUAUAUAUCUACUUCUGAUUCAUCAUGCAUUUUUUUGUUAACUGGUUCUUUUUUGUUUGAGUACCUAGAUCUAUUCCUUACUUGAAUAGAUGGUUUGAGGUGGAGAAUUUUAUUCUCCGGUGAAGUUGAGGGCGCCUUGGAUUAUUCAUUGAUAACGGAAACCCUUCAGGUUUGUAAACUUAUACUGUUGGCUAUUCAAUAUUAAAAUUGGUUAUACUCCUUAAUAUCAAGAAAUUGAAGCUUCCCAAAUCAUACCCAAGAAAUGCUCUAUUGUGGAUUACUGGAUGGAGCUAGUUGCUAGAUGAUACCUUUAAGAUUCAAGACAUAUGUUGUUUUGUGUAUGGCUAUCAAGUACUUUGGCCUGCAAUUGUGGCAUAUUGGUCUUACGCCAGCAUCAGGUAUAACAUUGUGUCUGGCAUAUAUACCAUUGGAAUUCUGGGUUUCUGUUGAGUGGGCUCCAACAGCUAUAUUUGUGUCCAAUGUUGUGGGGUCCUCUUCUUUGGUGCUUUUAAGUGAAGUUUUAACUUUCCUUGUCAAAAUUUUGUUACAAAUCAAGUAGAAGGCACUGCACUGAAGCAUUGGUACUUCUAGAUUGCUUGUUUUGCAUGGUAGAUUUCAAUCCAUUGCUUUUAUUUCUUGGAUCAUGUUUAUCAUUGAGGACUUUCUUGGCCAGUCAUAGAGCUGACUAGUGCUACCAUCAUCAUUGGUAGGGCAAAAAAGUCAAUUCCUAUGGGAUGCUUUCUGACUUAGAGAAGAUGUCUUCAAGAAUUUGUGGAUUUAAGUCUUCACACGAUGUUCAACUCUUGAUAGUCUAACCUUGGUACAGGAUUUAUAGCUGUCUUCCAAGUUUGUGCUCAUAAAUGAGUAACCUGUCUGUCUUUAUGAUACCAGUUAAAUUUGUUAGCUUUCCGGGAUUUGGAGGUUGUAAAUGUCCAUAAACAACAAUGUCUUCUCUUCCUUACAGCGUGCAUCAGAUUACUUGUCAGAACAGAUGAAAAAUAACAAUGGUUUGCUGCGUUUGUAUGCUUAUUGGGCACGUCUUGAACAAACUAUGGGAAAAGAUACGGUUUCAGCUCGUAGUGUCUGGGAGAGGCUACUUAAGAUCAGGUUCACCAAUUUUAAUUUUUGCCAGUGCAUACAUAGCAAAAUUUCUUUAUAUCUAUAUAUUUUCGGAUAACUUGUGCUUCUCUUAAUGCAGUGGUACAAUGUUGGAAGCCUGGCAAAGUUAUAUAUCUGUGGAAAUUGAAUUGGGUCAUAUUAAUGAAGCUAGAUCCAUCGACAAGAGAUGCUACAGUAAAAGAUUUACAAGGACAGGUUCAGAGGUAAAUUUCUUUCAUCCUGCUUCUUUAAUGAAUAUUAACUGCUUAACAACGUACCUUGUUGUUUCCAUCUUGUUUGUUUAACUGGUCUUAUUUGUAAACACCUGAAAUCAUACAUCUUAAUUUCUGAUAAUUAGAUGUUAUUUUAGAUAUCUGUAUCUGUUAAUGUUCUUUCAAGUCUGAUUCCAAUGCAUAUUUAGUUAAACUGCUCUUUACUGCAUUUUGGAUUAGUUGAUAUCUUCCUUUCCUAAAAACAGAAUCAUUCAGGACAUAUGCCAUGCUUGGCUGCAAUUUGAAUGGGAAUUUUGUAUAAAAUUUUUAAUGAAUUUAUGGGUUUGAUGAGUAAAAUUAGGGGUUCAUAUAGACUCACCCAUAAAUUGAACCCUUAUUUUAUGUUGAUGCACAACUUAACUUAACAAAAAUAAUGUUCAAAUUGUCACAAAAUUUGAAAAAAAAAUCAUACAGUUAAUUUUUCUUCUACUUUACUCCAUUAUUCAAUGGGCAUAUAAUAAAUUAGGAGAGGGGAGAAAUAAAGGGGAAAAUUAGAGUAUUGUCGCAAUGAUACACUGAUACAAAUGCCCAUUGAGUGAUUGUCAAUGGGCAUAUAAUAAAUUAGGAGAGGGGAGAAAUAAAGGGGAAAAUUAGAGUGAUUGUCACAAUGAUACACUGAUACAAAUGCUUAUGUAUGUGUAGUGUGUGUGUGGGGCGUUCUUUAAUUUGACCAAAAAUAAAUGCAUUUAUUUGUAUUUUUAAUCAAAAUCGAGGGAUAUAAACAAAAAUUUUACCACUCCAGAGUCCAGACAUGUAUCAUUGCCUCGUUAAAAAAAAUUGCAUAAAAUUAAAAAACCAUUAGUGGCUGAAAGAGAGAAACAAAUUAAGAAAGGGUUCAAAAGAUGGAACCCGAAGAGAAAACCCUAGCAACAAUCCCAGAAGAAGAAGAAGAAGAUGGAGACACGGCCAUGCCCGACGUCAAGAACAACCCUAAACCAACAACAACAGCCAACUCUUCGGACUCGAGCGAUGCCUCUGACUCAGACUCGGACUCUGACUCAGAAGAUGAAGCAAAACAGAACAUGGAGCUUCAAACCCUAGAGUAUCAGCUAUCCAAUGAACCCUCCAAUUACGACACCUAUGUUCAAGUAACUUCAAUACACAUAUUUAUUGAGUGAUUUUGUGGAUAACCGUUUGCUUGUUCUUUCUUGGGUUGUGAUAAAAAUGGUUUUUAUCUUUUUUUUUUCAGUAAAUAAAGGUUUUGAGAAAAAUGGGUGAGAUAGAGAAAUUGAGACAAGCUAGGGAAGCCAUGAAUGAGAUUUUUCCAUUGACUCCUGCUAUGUGACAAGAAUGGGUGAGAGAUGAAGCCUCUAUUUCAACUGGGCAUCUGUCAUUUCCUAUUGCAAUGGUUUUUUAUUUUGUGAGCAAAUGUUUUUUUUGCUUAGAGAUAUAGAUGUUUAUGUUAGUUAUUUGCUAAUGUAAGAAGGAACAAAACCUGCUUAAAAGGUAUUAAAGAAAGAAAAAAGGAACCAAUUUAAAGAAGGGGAUACUUAUAGUGGGAGUUCUACUUUGGGGUUUAAUUGAUGGAAAGAAGAAAUAGCUUAUAUGUUUACAGAAUUAGACAUUUGAUCGCUGAGUUAGUUGAGGAAGAUGGUUAAUCACAAUGUCUGAUGUUGUUUCUGUUGGCCUGAACUAGUUGUUAAGAUUUCAUACUUUCAUUCAACAAUACAAUAGACUUUGAUUGGGUCCACCGUAGUUGGGUGUUCUGAGGAAUCAAUGAGUGUCUUGAGAAAACUUGGGUGGAGUGCUGGUCAUUUUCAGGAUUCAGUUUCCAAGAAAACAAAAAUGAAGUCGUAGUUGUAGUUUAAAUUAAUUUAUGUUUUUAUCUUUUUCUGUGAGCCCAGUGAGCUUUUAUUUUCACUUUGUUCGCUUUUGUUUCUUUCCCUUCUUUUCCUACAGUUUCUUGAUAAUCAAACAGAUCAGGAUUAAGUGUUUACUUUUGGUUAGGGGUGGGCGUUCGGUUCGGGUUAACCCGAACUAAACCGAACCUGAAAUUUAUUUCGGGUUCGGUUCGGUUUGGGUUAACUCGUGCAACCCGAACGGAUUCAAAGCUUCAAUCUGUUCGGGUUAAAUUUCGGUUCGGGUUCAACCCGAACCGAAUUUUCAACCCGUUCGGGUUGAAGCUUUUUUUUUUUUAAAGAUUUAGCUUUUAAAUUAAAAAUAUAUAUACAUUAAUUAAACCAAAAAAUCCCUAAAAAUGAAAAAUCCCUAAACAAAAAUCUCUCCCUCUCGGCCUCCCCCUCCUUGCUCCCUCUUCUCACUUCUCAGUUCUCACUUUCUGUGAACUGUGGUUGAUGACAUCAGCACUUCAGCAGCAGCCACAGCAGCCCCGUUCAGCUCCAACAGACACCAGCCGGCCUCAUCGUCUCACUCCCUCCCCCUCCUUGCUCCAUCGUUUCACUCCCUCCCACGACGACAACACUCACAGGCCACAACAGCAGCCAGCAGCCCCGUUCACAGCAGCCCACUCGCGUCAGCCAGCACGCCUCGCCCGCAACUGCGCUGUGCGUUCAGCUCGCGUCCCACUCAGCCCAGGAAGUCUCGAUCUGCCAACGCUGUAGCUGCUCUGACCUCCGAGAUUAAGGUUUGUCUUGCCUUGCCGACGGCGACGCUGUAACUUGCUGACUUGCACGCAACUGAUGGCAACAACCCGAAUUGAAUUUUAAGUUUUUAACAGCCUGUUGCUAUUAAUUAAAUUGUAAAUUUUUAAUUAAUUGAUUGACAAUUAUUCAAUUAUUUGAAGUGGGUUUGUUGUUGUUGAUUGAUAAUUGAACCCGAACUAAUCCAAACUAACCCGAAUUAACCCGAACCGAAAUUGUAACCCGAAUUAUCAACCCAAUCCGAUCCGAAUUGUCAAUCCAAACCGAACCGAACCGAAUUGGUUCGGGUUGGCGUUUUCAACCCGAUUGGGUUCAAUUCUCCAACCCGAACGGGUUGAAACCCAAACCGAAACCCGAACAACCCGAACCGAAACCCGAAACGCCCACCCCUACUUUUGGUGUAAUUAUUCACUCUAACUCGAAUAGUACUUAGGUUUAGUGCUAACAAAAUAGGAAGUGAAUUAAUAUCUGAAGUUGACCUAGGAGUGGAAUGAAUGUUACCAAAAAUAUACUAUAUGGUAGAUAGAAUUUGCCUUUUAGGUAAGACAAAAAUAAUUACAGCUGUUAAUUUAUUUCAAUAAGUUCGUACAUCAUUGAAUAAUAAGUCCAAGAUUUUAAUGGUUUUGUUUCCUGAAAAUUUGUCACGAGUGCAUGAACAAAGUUCUAUGGAUGAACUUCUCUUAGUUAAUUUGAGUUCAAUGUCGCAGUUCCUCAUAUUAACUAUAUAAAACACUAAUCUUGCUCUUUACUUUGGAGCAUUUUAAUAAUUGAUGCUAAUUCCUUAGCCAUUUUAUUCAUCUUGUGCAUAAAUUAUGCAAUCAAUAAGCCAACUCCACUUUCAUCUUUAUUUAGUGAAAAAUUUGCAAGGUCACUAGGAGGUUUUUGUAUGUCUCAUGCUAACAUGGACGCCAUGGUUUCACUAUGUAAAUUUUCCCCACUGAAAUUCAUGAUCCCUCAUAUACCACUCAUCACUCAUGAAGCUGUUUCUGGGGCUUUAAAAGCGCCAAAUUUUAGUUUUAUCCUUUCUAGCUUAUUAACCUGUCCGCAUCUGCAUUAUUAUCUUUCCUGUCAUACGAAAGUUUCAUUUAUCAUCUUCCCAACAUAAACAUCCGUAGGUCAUUGUUGACUUUUUUGCUUUGACACUUAUUGUUUCUAAGUAUAGGCUACCAAGGGAGAAAAAAAUUGACAUUGAUGGUCAUCCCCAGCAUUUUUAUCCCAGGAGACUGGUCAUUCACUUUCUAUGAAGGACUAUAUAGACAUCCAGACUCUAUUUUGAAGGACAAAGCUGUGGCUGAGCUUGGUUGUGGAAAUGGAUGGAUAACCAUUGCCAUAGCUGAGAAGUGGUUGCCUUUGAAGUUUUGUUGGUUUGUCGUCCUUAUGCCAUGUGAGAGCUUUUAUUUCCUUCCCUACCAGUGCCUUCAGGGGCUCCAUCAUGAUUUCUCUCAUCAUUUUCUAUCUCUGUGUUUUGCAAGGCCAUUUGAUAUUUAUAACAGCAUUGGCACCAGGUUAUGGUGAUUUAAUGCACUCCUAUUAGGAAAAAUUACAUAAUUAUCAACUCUGUCCUUGUCCAAAAGUCUUUGUUGGAGUAUGUUGAAAAUAUAACCUUGUAGGAGUUCUUUUAUGCUGUCUGAAUAUCCUAUUGCAGGUCUAUGGCCUUGAUAUUAAUCCCAGAGCAAUAAAGAUCUCUUGGAUAAAAUUGUACUUAAAUGCAUUAGAUGAAUCUUUUUCUAAGCUUUUCUGUCACUGUCACUGCAAAAGGUCUUUUGUAUUGAGGGUUAUCUGUGGGGCUAGGAAAGGUCAGCCCAUCUAUGAUGCGGUGAAGAAAACCUUACUGGAUAGGGUGGAGUUUGAUGAAUCUAAUCUCCUAGCAUAUUGUAGACAUCAUGACAUUCAACUUGAAUGAAUAGUGGGGUGCAGACCUCAGGUACUCUCACUUUCUGCAACUCAUGAUAUUUCUAGGGGAUUAAAUUUUAGUGAAGUUUGUUUACCCAACAUCAAGUUGGAAUUUUAGUGUGCCCACAUGGAUUACUUUUAACUCCUAGUUUAACUUAUUCUGUUGUCUCCAUGCAGGUUCUCAACCCCAAUUCCAAUGCAAUGUCGAAAAUAAUCACUGAAAAUGCAAGCGAGGAAUUUCUGUAUUCAUUGAGUAACUAUUGUGGAUUGCAGGUUGGAAGAUAUUCUAAAUAAUUUAAUUGUGAUGCGCAAUUGCAAUUGCCGGGAAGUUAGCAAUUAAGUUGAUAGGCUUCUUCUGGUUUCACAUAUUUCUAAGUAACAACUUUGGUUUGAAGCUUGCAUACCUUAGGUAAGGUUGAUGUCUUUAGUUGGUCAAUAUCAAUUGGGAAAUAUAGCUAACCAGUGAAGACAGUGGGAAAAGGAUGAUGUGAGUUUGACAAAUGCUGGGAGGAGAUAGGGAAACUUAAUCUGAAAGAUUUCUUUUUUUUUCUUGGUUUAUUUAUUUAUUUACUCGUGUGACCUCUUCACAAUGCCAUUGAUUCCCAUAGUUCAUGUUGCUAGGUGAACUUAACAACAACCAUCUAUUAUGCCUUGUGGAUAACUGAGAAAAUUUAUUGCUUUGGACAAGUUGCUUUUUGAAAUAGAGUGCAAGUAGAUUGACUAAUAAUGAACUUAUUGUAUCAAGUUGUUACAUUUGAAUAUAUUAAGGUCAUAUAAAGCUUACUUGUUAUACUUCUUUUUUUCUUUUUUCCCUCCCCAUUUCCCUGUAUGGAGGGUUUCUUGGACGAUCAGUUUGGCUUAGGUCUAAUUUUCUCGAGCAGUUAAGGAAUUACUGUUAUCAAAAUAAAGUUUCCUCUCACUCACUAGCCAAUUGAGCAGCUCGUCACCGGUCGGAUUCAUUGCCGAUUGCAGCCCACCUCCAUCAUGUCAGUUCAGUAGCUUGUCGCUGCAGUCAUGAUCGGCCUCUUUGUUGUCGUUGAAGAACCAAUCAAUAAUGAUGAUGAUUGAUGAUGAUGAUGAUUACCAUUGUUGAUGAUUAAUAUUAUUGAUGAUGAUGAUGUAGAUGAUGUAAUUGCGGUGAGAUGAUGAAGAUGAAACUGAAUUGUGAUGUUGAUAAUGAAAUUGACAGAAGGAAGAAGAAGAUUGUGAAAAAUCUGACUUCUUCACUCGUAUUACAUUAGAGAAGAAUACAUAUUUAUAUACAUUACACCCUAGGAAUAAAAUGGUAAAAAAAAAACAGCUAAGAUAUUGCAAAUCAGUAUCCCUGAAAAUUAGGGAUUAUAUAUCCUAAAAUCUAGUAUUUAAGUCAACACAUAGCUGUAAAAUACAGCUAACAUCUACAACAAUAGUCAACACACAGCUGUAAAAUACAACUGACAUCUGCAACACUCCCCCUCAAGCUGGAGCAUAGAUAUUCUUCAUGCCUAGCUUGCAUACAAACUCUUCAAACUUGUGUCCAUGCAUUCCUUUUGUCAACAUAUCUGCAGUUUGUUGUCCUGUUAGAAUAUACACCAAACAGAUAACUCCAGUUUCCAAUUUCUCUUUAAUAAAAUGUCGGUCUACCUCCACAUGUUUUGUCCUGUCAUGAUGGACAGGAUUAUGGGCAAUAUUAAUUGCUGCCUUAUUGUCACAGUAAAGUUGCAUAGAACUAUUUUUUAUUAACUGUAGUUCUUUGAGAACACGUUCUAUCCACAUAAGCUCACAUACCGCAUGUGCUAGUGCUCGAAAUUCUGCUUCUGCACUGCUUCGUGCCACUACAGUUUGCUUCUUGCUUCUCCAAGUUACAAGGUUUCCCCACACCUUAGUACAAUAACCCGUUGUAGACUUCCUAUCCAUGAUGUUUCCAGCCCAAUCCGCAUCAACAAAAGCUUCUACAUUCCUUUUUUCUCCCUUCUCAAAAUAAAGUCCCUUUCCCGGUGUUGACUUCAGGUAUUGAAGUAUUCGGUUUACUGCCACUAAGUGAGCUUCUUUUGGGGCGUGCAUAAACUGGCUCACUAAGCUAACCGCAAAAGCAAUAUCAAGUCUAGUAUGGGAAAGAUAAAUUAAUCUCCCUACUAGCCUUUGAUAUCUCCCCCUCUCCACGGGUGCACUAUUUUCUUCAAGACCCAACUUGCUAUUUGGUUCAAUUGGUGUGGCAGCAGGUUUACAGCCAAUCAUACCAGUAUCCUUUAGCAAAUCUAGGGUGCAUUUCCGUUGUGUAACUAGAAUACCUUUAGCUGUUCUAGCUACCUCCAUUCCCAAAAAAUAACGUAGUGGUCCAAGAUCCUUGAUUUCAAACUCACCAGCUAAUUUUUCUUUUAAUCCUUCCAGCUCUUCUUUGUCAUCUCCUGUUAGUAUAAUGUCAUUAACAUACACGAUCAAAAUAGCUAACUUCCCUUCUUUAGACCGUUUGUAGAACAUAGUAUGAUCGGCUUGCCCUUAAGAAUAACCAUAGUUCUUCAAGACUUUCCAAAUCGAUCGAACCAAGCCCUAGGGGACUGUUUAAGGCCAUAGAGAGACCUUUUUAACCGACAAACUCUUCCAGCAGGUCCUUUUUCUUCAAAACCAGGCGGCAUAUCCAUGUAAACUUCCUCUUCCAAUUCUCCAUUCAAGAAUGCAUUCUUGAUAUCAAGUUGGUUGAGAGGCCAAUCUAAAUUUGCAGCAAGAGAGAGAAGGAUCCUUACAGUAUUAAGCUUUGCCACUGGAGCAAAAGUUUCUAGAUAGUCCACCCCAUAGGUUUGUGUGAAACCUUUCGCCACGAGUCUUGCUUUAUACCUGUCCACACUUCCAUCAACCUUAAAUUUGACUGUAAAUACCCACUUGCACCCCACAGUCCUCUUGUCUUUAGGUCUUGGUACAAGCUUCCAUGUGUUAUUCUUUAUUAAGGCUGCCAUUUCUUCUUAAACAGUUUUCUUCCACUCAUUUGACUCUAGGGCUUCAUGGAUGUUUCUUGGAAUAGUGGUAUUAGAUAGACUGGCCACAAAAUUCCUAUACUCCUUAGAUAGAUUUGCAUAUGACAAGAACUUGUUGAUAGGAUGUUUAGUGCAAUUUCUUACCCCUUUCCUUAUCGCAAUAGGCAAAUCUGUGGACUUCUGAGCUUCGUUCUCAGCAUAUUCAGUAGGUGGGUUUUGAUCCUCCCUUAGUUCAGAUCUCGGUUCUGCUUGGUCUAUAAGUGGCUGUACCUCUUGAGUUUUAUUCUUCUUUCGUGAAUAGACAUGAAACUCGCCUAUAGGUUCCUCCAAAUGUGAAUUGGUUUUUAUUCCUUCAUUCCUUGGUGACACUAUUGGUUGAUUAAGUUCUAUGGUGUUAGGUAGGUUAGGAUGAAUGUCUGGACUGAGGAAGGAGGUAUUUGGUAGAUUGAGUUCUAGGCUGGAAUUACUGGACAUAUUAGGUUCUAGGCUGGAACAUCUGGACAUAUUGGGUUCUAGGCUGGAACUACUGGACAUAUUGGGUUCUAGGCUGAAAUUACUAGGCAUCUUAGGUUCUAAAAUGCCAAGAAGAUCCCAGGAAUUAUCUUCUCUCAAAUUCUGCCCCUGAAGAGAAUUACUCGUGUAAAAAGGCUGAUUUCAAAGAACUUGACAUCCAUUGUGACGAAUAAUUUUUUGGUAAGAGGAUUAUAACACUUGAACCCUUUCUUGGUAGGAGAAUAUCCUAGAAAUAGGCACUUGAUGGCUCUAGGAGACAACUUUGUUCUUUGAAGACUCGGAAGAUAUACAAAGGCUGUACAACCAAAAGUUUUGAGUGCAAAAUUAGAGGUAACAAGGUGAUUUUGUGGGUAGCUGUCAAGAAAAACAAAAAUAGGUGUCUUGAAUUUAAGAACUCGAGAGGGCAUACGAUUUAUGAGAUAAGAUGCUGUAAGAAUGGCCUCUCCCCAAUAUAUUUUUGGUACAUUAGUUGUGAACAUAAUGACCCUAGCAACCUCUAAAAGGUGUCUGUUUUACGUUCUGCAACCCCAUUUUGUUGUGGUGUUUCGGAACAAGAACUUUGGUGGACAAUUCCUUGUUGUGAUAGGUAAUUCCCUAAAAUAGAAUUGAAAUACUCAGUUCCAUUAUCUGUACGGAGUACACGAUUUUCAGUUUGAAACUGAGUUUUUACCAUGACAUGGAAUUGUUUAAAAGUUUGUCCAGCUUCAGAUUUUUCCUUCAAAAGGUACACCCAAGUGGUCCUAGAGUGGUCAUCUAUGAAUGUUAUGAACCAUUUUGCUUUUGACAGGUUGUUAACCCUUGAGGGGCCCCAAAUAUCACUAUGAAUCAAAGAGAAAGGCUGGGAUGGUUUAUAAGUACGGGUAGGAAAUGAAACACGUGUUUGUUUAGCCAUUUAACAAAAGUCACAAUAUAAUAAACUCAAAUUUUGAUUUUUAAAUAAGGAAGGAAACAAGGUUUUUAGAUAUGGAAAGCUAGGGUGGCCUAACCUAUAGUGCCACAACAUUAUUUCAGAAGAAACAAAUUCACAUUGAGAGACCUGAGCAUGUCCUUUCACGAGUCUUUUAUUCUCGAGAUAGUACAGUCCCUCAUAUUCCUUUGCAUUCCUAGUCAUCCUCCCCAAGAUUGGAUCCUGAAAUAGACAUUUAGAACCACAGAAUUUAGCUACACAGUUUGUGUCUUUAGUAAGUUUACUAACUGAAAGAAGAUUGCAUUUAAGAUUUGGGACAUGUAAAACUGAAAAAGAGUCAAACAAUUUGAUAGUUUUACUGUUCCUUUUCCAGCAACAGUGGAUAAUGAUCCAUCAGCAAUCCUCACUUUAUAAUUACCUGGACAUGGAGUGUAACUAGAGAAAAAUUGAGAAGACCCUGUCAUAUGGUCUGAGGUCCCUGAAUCAACAAUCCAAGAACCUUUUUCAAGGGAUUGGAUGCUAAGGGCUGAUGGGUUACCUGUAUGGACUGCAUUACAACUAGAGGAGGUCAAGUCAUUUUUAUUUGCUUGCUGAUUUUGUAUAAGGAGCUGUUGCAGCAUCUCAAAUUGAUCUUUUGCGAGGGCAAACUGAUUAGUUUUCUCUGUCACCAUUCCCUUUGCUUCUUGCUGCCGUUUUGGUUUCCAAUCUGCUGGCUUUCCAUGAAGCCUCCAGCAUGAGUCUCGAGUAUGCCCUUUCUUGUGACAAUAGUCGCAAUAGGGACGUUCUCCAUGUUUUUGUCCCUUUUGGUUAGCUGACUGAUCUGUCUUUUUGGUCACCAGCGCUGAUCUCUCCGCCUCAGGUUCCUUCACCAGUCCCAUCAUGACUCUCUUUCGACUUUCUUCACGCCCCACCUCAACAAAAGCUUCUCGGAUGGAGGGUAGAGGAUUCUUUCCUAAUAUUCUGCCACGAACUUCAUCAAGUUCUUUGUUGAGUCCAUAAAGGAAAUCAAAGAGACGUUCUUUAUCCAACAUCCUCUUAUUUUGAUGGCAUCCUCAGAGCAAUGCCAUUGCGAUUCAUAGUAAAGGUCAAGUUCAUGCCAUAUAUUGUUUAGAGAAUUGAAAUAUUGAGUCACUGAAAGACUCCCUUGCUUUUGGUCACGUAAUUGUGACUUGAUUUCAAAGAGCUGAGCUGCAUUCCCCAGGUCAGAGUAAGUUUCUGUCACGGCUUCCCAAAGCUCCUUCGCAGAUGGUAGGAAGAGAUAAGUCCUACCAAUAUCCACGUCCAUCGAGUUGAUCAACCAAGUUUGCACCAUUGAAUUUUCAGCAUCCCACUGUGGAUAACCUGGAUCCAAGACAUCAGGGGCUUUGGUUUCCCCUGUAAUAUACCCUAAUCGGCCUUUGCCACGAAGAAAUAGGGUGACAGAUUGAGACCAUUGCAAAAAGUUUCUGCCAUUUAACUUGUGCAAAGUUAUUUGCAAAGAGGGGUUUUCGGUACCUAAGGAGACCGAAGAGAUGUCCUGCCUUGUUACAGAACUGGAGGAAAUCUCAGAUUCUUGUGUAGGGUUUGUUGUCUUCUCCAUUGGAUGGGUUGAGAGUUUAGAAUGAGAAAAAAAUUCAGAGGCUUAGUUUAAAAGAGUUGCUCUGAUACCAUGUGAAAAAUCAGACUUCUUCACUUGUAUUACAUUAGAGAAGAAUACAUAUUUAUAUACAUUACACCCUAGGAAUAAAAUGGUAAAAGAAAAAAAAGCUAAGAUAUUGCAAAUCAAUAUCCCUGAAAAUUAGGGAUUAUAUAUCCUAAAAUCUAGUAUUUAAGUCAACACAUAGCUGUAAAAUACAGCUAACAUCUACAACAAUAGUCAACACACAGCUGUAAAAUACAGCUGACAUCUGCAACAAAGAUAAUUGUGGUGAUGAUGAUGAUGUUGAUGGAGAAGAUGAAAUUGACAUGAUUGAUGAUGAAGUAACGAAGAAUUUGUAAAACACACACACACACACACACAGAGAGAGAGAGAGAGAGAGAGAGAGAGAGAGAGAGAGAGAGAGAGAGAGAGAGGAGAAGAGGAUAAAAAAAAAGAUAGAGAAAAACAGGAGAGAAAAUAAUAACAAAAACAAAAGAGGAAAAUAAUUAUUAUUGUUAUUAUUAUUAUUAACAAUAACUUUCUUAAUAACCAUAAUCAUAUAAUAGAUAAUAAAAAUAGAAGGUAAUAAUAACUAAGGGUAUUUUAAUAAUUUAAAUAAUUUAUUGUAAUUUCAAGGUAAAGUAAAUAUAUUAAUGAUAAUACAGUUUAUUUUAAUUUUGAUUCUUAUAAUUGAAGUAAAUAAUUUAUUUUAAUUUUUAUUUCACAUUUUAAUUUUAUUCUAUUCUGAAUUAGUAAACGCAUCAUAAAAUCAUGUGAUUCUACUCUAUAUGUGAGAUUGAUUUUUUUCUUUAAGGCCUACGACAUCCCAAUACAAGUCUAUAUAGGACCAAGCUACUAAGUGGACGGUCAUAAAAACUUAAAAAGGCAUAAAAUUGGAUGGCCGUCUAAUUAAUUUCCCGUGACCUACAACAAAAAUUUAAGAAGGAACUCCGAUACCAUCAAUUCUGCAUUUUAAUUUGAAGUUGGAAAACAGUGAAAACAGAAGGAUCGGGUGAUUUAAUUUUAUACAUAUUUAAUCAAGUAAAAAUGGCACGUGCGUUGUAAUUUGCCCAGUUAUCUUACUUUGAAUAAUAACAAAGUUCAAAUUUUGUAUUCAGUGAAAAAUCAAUUCUAUAGUGAAAAACACUAGCUAGAAAAAAAUCUAUGUCCUGAUGUCUUAGUUUAUAAGCUCAAACAAUGAAUAGUAUACAUACAACGCAUGAUAGAACACAAACUCAUAUAGAUUUUUAGUUUUGAAAUUCAUUUCAGAAAAUCUGUUCUGUUCAACAGGUUAUAGAUUAUCAACUAAACUCUGCCCACAUUCUUAGCUCUGCCAUUGGAAGUACGCAACUCAGCUGCCCAUCGACCGCCAAGCCAUCAAGACAAUACCAAGAUACAACAUCAAUAAUAAUAACAUCAAGAAUUACAUAGAGGCCGUCGCACGUUACACCCACUCCAACAGGAAACUAAUUAAUACCCUCCAAGCUCCUCUGUUUCAAAUCCAAAUCCACUGCUCGACCAUUUACUAUGACGUAAGGUAUAUGGAUUAAUUAACAAGUGCCGAUAUUGUCCUCCAUCCUUUUGUGUACCUUUCUUCUGGCAAGGCCUUUUCUGGAAAGUAUUUGAGCUCCAGACAAUUGCAGAAUUUCAAUUUGCUGAGGUUUUGAUGAUCAGCAAUUGAAGAAGACAGGUGUUAAUAAUUAUGAAGAACUGGUGUAAUUUAUAUCAUGUAGGAAGCCCUUCAGUUACUUUUUUGACCGUGCUCAAGCUCUUUUAAGGGCUAAUAUUAAAAUUUCGUGAUAUUGUGCCAAAAGAGCUUCGUACGUCAUUGUAAACUGUUCAUCGUUAUGUGCUGCUUCCCCAUUUAAUUACAUUUAUUUAACAUUUUAAAGAUGGAAGUAGAAAUUAAAACUCAGUUUUUCAGAUAUGGCUCAUAUACAAUGCAAGUAUCAAGAUUUAAUUAGAGUUCAAUAUACAUGCGUCUAGUUUUUAUUGAGAGAAACAAAUCAUAAAUACUCAGGUGUUUCUAAAUGAUUGAAUAACGAUAUUAUUGUUAUUUAUAAAUUUAUAAGGAUAAAUAACUAAUAGUCCACCAUAAAUACCGAAAAGGGUCCCCAGCAUAACUUGAACAACUUUACUUGUGUUUGCUCAUUGAAUAAUGUUAUAAGAAAGAAAUACAUAUGUCAGAAGAUUCAUAGUAUAUUGGAGUGUUUUUUGUACUUGAAUGAGAAUGAAUGAAGGUAUGUUAAUUUACUUUAAAUAAUUGUCUAAAAGGAAUAGAAAUGCUCUAUAACAUACCAAAUACUACCUUAAUCAAAAUUUAUUUGACAAAAAUUUUUAAAAAAUGGAAUAAUUAACCCUAAUUAAAUAAUUGUCUUAUAUCACCAAACUCUUUUUUUUUUAAUUAAGCCAUCACCAAACUCUGUAAAGCAUAAAAUAUAAUAGGCAAAUUUGAGUUAAAAAAAAAUGAAGUUAGGAAAAUGACUUGCAUAUUGUCUUUGAUGAGCGCAUAAUUUUCUUUUAAAAAAAAUGUUGAAAUGAACUCAAACUCGUUAGUGCAACUUGUCGGUUUUAAGUUGUAGAUACGAGUGACAUGUCAUUUUAGCUGAACUAGAUUCCAGAGCUCACAUUUGGGCAGUGUCAUCCAAGAACAUUAAAACUCACGUGACUAUUGCACGCAUGGUUUAAGCUGAAAUGACGUUGCUAGCAGUCGUUUAAGGAAGGCCUUUAAGUGUCACAUGAGUUGCUCGUGAUAGGAGGUUAAAAGCUGUUGGUUUUGGAGGGAAACCCCUGAAGCUGUUACGCCUGCAUCUUCUGGUAUAUAAACGAGCUGGUUCUGGUGUCAUAGUCAGUAAUCAAGGAAAGAGAGAUAAAGCAUCUGUACUGAGAGAAAAUCUUGACAGGGUGGUCUCUGUAUUGUGUAUAAUUUCUCUAUAACCUUGGAAGCUUAAUAAAACUGCUCUCUGUGUUGGUUUUCUCCAGUGGAUGUAGGCACCCUUCAACAGGUGCUGAACCACUUAAGCUCGGUGUGUUCUUUGUCUUUGGGUUAUGAUCUUUGAUCUGUGCAUUGUUCUUUGUUAACGUAAGAUUAGUUCUUGAAUCUUUGAGUCAGAGUUGGGUCUUGGGGUAAGGUUAAUCUAGUAACUAAAGGUUAAUUUCACAACAAUUGGUAUCAGAGCUCUAAACUCUGAUUUCAAGGUUCAAGAAUGGGUUCAAAAGUGGAUCUUGAGAAGUUUACGGGGCAGAAUGAUUUCAAUAUGUGGAAGAUCAAGAUGGAGGCUUUGUUGAUUACUCAAGAGCUGGGAGAAGCCAUAGAUCCAGUCACUAAGAUUGAAGAAGGUGAGGCUUCAUCAUCUAAGAUCCCAGAACAGGUAGCAGAGAUAGACAAGAAAGCCAGGAGCACAAUCAUACUAAGUCUUGGUGACUCUGUAAUUCGAGAAGUGGCCAAGGAAAGGACUGUUGCUGGUUUAUGGGCUAAGUUGGAGAACUUGUAUAUGACAAAGUCUUUGGCAAAUAGACUUUACAUUAAGAAGAAGAUGUUCUCACUGAAGAUGAUUGAAGGGGCAUCAUUAACAGAACAUGUUGAUGAAUUCAAUAAGGUUUGUGAUGAACUGGAGACUAUAGAUGAAGGGCUGAGUGAUGAGAGCAAAGCCUUGCUACUAAUCAGCUCUUUACCAAAGUCUUACGAGCACUUUGUGGAUGCACUGCUGUAUGAGAGGCAAACACUCUCCCUAGAAGAGGUUAAAUCUGCUCUUGGCACAAAGAAGCUGAAAGAUAAGCAAGAUAAUCCAGAAAGUGAAUCAAGUGAGGGAUUGAUGGCAAGAGGCAGGUCUGAGAAAAGAGAUAACAAUGAAAAAAGCAAGGCAGAUCAAAGUCUAAACAAAAGAAUUUGAAGUGUUUUCAUUGCCAUAAAGAAGGGCAUUUCAAGAGAGAUUGCCCUGAAAGAAAGAACAAGAAUAAAGAAACCAAAGAAAGAACAGGUAAUGCAGCCAUAGCCACAGAAGAAGAAUGUAACUUUGAAACAGCCGGAGUACUCAUUGCCACAAGUCAGAAACCUCAAGGUCAGUGGGUCCUUAACUCAGGUUGUACCUUUCAUAUGUGUCCAAAUAGGAGUUAUUUUACAACAUAUCAGCCAUGUGAUGGGGGUAUGGUUCUAAUGGGUAAUAACUCAAUGUGUAAGGUAGCUGGUAUUGGGACUGUUAGCCUUAGGAUGUUUGAUGGGGUGAUAAGGGAAUUGACACAAGUGAGAUUUGUCCCUGAUCUAAAAAGGAACUUAAUCUCAAUUGGCAUGCUAGAUCAAACAGGUUGUGUAAUUAAGGCUGAGAAAUGUGUAUUGAGGGUAAUUAAAGGAUCAAUGGUGAUCAUGAAAGGCAUAAAACAAAAUGGUCUAUAUGUGAUGGAUGGACAUACUGUUGUUGGGGAGGCAAGUGUGACUGACAGUAAAUGGAACAGAUCAAUGAUGUGGCAUUUAAGGAUGGGGCAUAUGAGUGAAAGAGGUUUGAGAGAGUUACAAAAACAAGGAGUGUUUGGGGAUGAUCAAAUAGGAGCUUUGGGGUUCUGUGAGGAUUGUAUUCUAGGAAAAUCCUCCAGGUUAAGGUUUGAGAUUGCAGCUCAUACCACCAAAGAGAAGCUUGAAUACAUACACUCUGAUUUGUGGGGGCCUGUACAAGUAAACUCACUAGGUGGAUGUAGAUAUUUUCUGACUUUUAUAGAUGAUUUUUCAAGGAUGGUUUGGGUCUUUGCACUCAAAAGCAAAGAUGAGGUUCUGGAAAAAUUCAAAAACUGGAAAACUUUUGUUGAGAACCAGACUGGUCUGAAGGUGAAAACUCUGAGGACAGACAAUGGCUUGGAGUAUUGCAACAAGCUGUUUGAAGAAUUCUGUGAAAAGAAUGGUAUUCAGAGGCACAAAACUGUCACCUACACCCCUUAACAGAAUGGCCUUGCUGAGAGGAUGAAUAGGACUCUGGUGGAGAAGGUGAGAUGCAUGUUAAUCUAUUCUAAGCUCCCAAAAACCCUUUGGGCAGAAGCUUUAAACACAGCAUGCUAUCUAGUCAACAGGAGCCCAUCAACUGCUAUAGAUUGUAAAACACCAAUGGAGCUUUGGUCAGGAAGAAGGGCUGACUAUACAAAACUCUGAAUCUUUGGGUGCACAACAUAUGCUCAUGUGAAGUAGGGUAAGCUGGAACCAAGGGCAUUAAAAUGCAGAUUUCUGGGGUAUCCGGAUGGGGUCAAGGGCUAUAGAUUAUAGUGUGUUGACACAAAACCACCACAGUGCAUCAUAAGCAGGGAUGUAAAAUUCCAUGAAGAAGAGCUAUUGAAUAAACCAAAGAGCUCAGAUAACAAUAUGGAAUCAAGCACUGAGACUGAUAUAGUGAAGUUUCAGGUGGAGCCUCAAAACUUGAAAGAACUUGAGCCUGAAAUUGAAGGUACUGAAGCAGAACCUGAAGCUGGUGUUGAACAUGAAUCAGCUGAAAGUGAAGAGAACACCUAUCAGUUGGCUAGAGACAGAAAGAAAAGGACAAUAAAGCCACCUAAAAGAUAUGCAGUAGUUGACUUGAUUGCAUAUGCUUUGAAUGUUGCUCAAGAGCUGAAUGAUGAUGAACCUAGGACCUAUCAAGAAGCUAUCACAGGCAAAAACAAGCUGGAAUGGAAGAGGGCAAUGGAUGAAGAGAUGACAUCCCUGAUUAAAAACAAGACCUGGACAUUGAUUGAAAAACCAGACAAGAGGAAAACAGCAAGCUGCAAAUGGAUCUUCAAAAUUAAAAAUGGUGUACCUGGAGCUGAACCUAGAAGAUUUAAAGCUAGAUUGGUGGCAAGGGGUUUUACACAGAAGGAGGGAAUUGACUUCACUGAAGUAUUUUCUCCUGUGGUGAGACAUGCUUCCAUCAGAGUUAUUCUUGCACUUGUGGCUGUGCAAGAUAUGCAUCUUGAGCAGAUGGAUGUAAAAACAACAUUUCUGCAUGGUGAGUUACAAAAAGAAAUUGUAAUGCAGCAGCCUGAAGGAUAUGUAGCAUCUGGAAAAGAAGACUAUGUUUGCUUACUUAAGAAGUCUCUGUAUGGGUUGAAGCAGUCACAUAGGCAAUGGUAUCUGAGUUUCAGAUAUUUUUGACAUGUCGGUUUAUAACCUUGAUUGUGCAUGCCCUGUCGGUUGCGUGAUGAAACAGGAGAAUAUUGACAUCUGUGUAUUAUCGUUUACUUCCUGCAAUUAAAUCACAUGUUGUUCAUUCCAUUUACACUAUACGGCACAUUUGGCAGUUGUUUUGGUCACUUAUUGAAGCACGGGUUAAGUACUUGAUUCAAGGUUGUUAACUGACCUUUACAAGGCGGGAAAAUUCUGGGUUUGUUAUAACAAACCCCGGAAUGCAGCUAGUGAGUGGGGACUUUUCUAGACUCUUCAUGAUAUGUAUAUAUAGUCUUAGAGGCUAUAGUUGAGACAUAUGAAAAGCUUCUUAAUGUUUGUAGUUUGAUCUCGGUGAUGGAGAUAAGAUUGCUGCCCUGUUCUUCAGUGGAUAUAGGCUAUCUCCAAGCCGAACCACUUAAAUUGUGCCUCUGUUUUGCUUGAUGACUACCAGUGGUGAGAAAACACCUACAGAACAAAUCAAGCUUGAUGACUCAAAUAUUAGGGAAGCCAUAGUCAAGGUAUCUGGUUUAUGCAUCAACAGUGGUUCGUGGACUAGAAUUCCUAUCUAUUGUCGCUUCACAAUUGCACUGGAAGAAAGCGAAUUUGAUCGAGCUUUGGAUCGCAUAGCUAAAUUCAAAAGCAUCGUACAAAUAGUUAACUAAAAGACGGUAUUGUCAUUUGUCAUGAUUUAUUUCUAUUGCCUGAUGAUGAUACCCAUCACGCCUUAGUUGUCGUGAAUAAAUCUAAAAUCAAAUUGAACUGGUUUUUACUGGUUAGCAACAAUUGUGACGUUUUGAGAUUAUAAUAUAUGACAACACUGAUUAGUGUUGUCUCCCAUGUGAAUUGAGACAAAAAUUAUUUUCCCAAUUGCGCUUUCAUUUGAACAAUUCCACUGUAGAUUUAUAAAAUAAUGAUCAAAUUGUGUUUUAUAUUAAGUUACGAGUAAUUGGUUAAACAUUAAUACAAAACUAUUUUAAGUAACAUGUGGCAUAUUCUAAUUCUAGCCAAGCUUCCAACUAAGAUUCCCAAAUCAAAAGAAUUUCAAUCUUCAGAACAUUCUGCAAAACGUUUAGUCUCUACGCAGUGCUAGAAUUUUCCCUAAGUUUCUAUUGCAAAGACUUCUAAAGAACUAUUCAGAUAUCGAGCUAUAAUCCAGUCUAAAGUGCAUAUAUCUCUCUAAUUCACCUCCCUCCAUUUCACCAGAAAAUCAAUAAACACUUAGCUUCAAACAAACACUCUCAAAAAGCUAGCUAGCUAUCCAGAUGGAAAAACCAAGAAUUCUUGCAAUGACAAUGUUGUUUCUUGUUAUGGCAGCAACAUUGAUAAACAUGGCAUCACAAGCAAUAGCUCUGAUGCCGUACACACAAUCACCUUUCUUUGACAUGAUGUUCCCAAUGACGGAAGAGCCUUUCAGGGUUCUUGAACAAACCCCUUUAACAAUCGCAAAAGGAGCUGAUCAUCAUCAAACUCUAGCCCUGGCGAGAGCAGACUGGAUGGAGACACCAACAGCCCACGUGAUCACGCUCGACAUUCCAGGGAUGAAGAAAGAUAAUAUGAAGAUUGAAGUUGAAGAGAACAGAGUACUGAGAGUGAGUGGGGAGAGGAAGAGUAAUGAUUAUUAUAAGGAGGGAGUUGAAGGAGAGAAAUGGCACAAAGCUGAGAGGACAUUUGGCAAGUUUUGGAGGCAGUUUAGGAUGCCAAUGAGUGUUGACUUGGAACAUGUUAAGGCUCACAUGAAAAAUGGGAUUCUGAGGGUCACAGUGCCAAAGCUUGCUGAGGAGAAGAAGAGGCAGCCUAAGGUUAUUAACAUUGAUGAAGAGUCUGGUAAUUCUUCCAAUGAAGAUAUUAAGGCUACCAAGGCUCAAAUGUAAUUAAUUAAAGAAAGAAGUGAUUGCUUUGCUUGAUGUGCUAUUUGUUUAUGAUCUUUUUUUGGUUUUGUUCCGAGAUGUUUCUAUUUGGAUGCUCUAUUUAAUGUAUGUUGAUGGGUUUUUGAGGAAGGCUUGUAUGUAUUGACAACCAUAAAAUACUUUUUAUAAAUCCUAGUCCUACAACACUAAAAGAAAACAAUACGUUUGGUUUAUAGUUAAUAAAAAUAUAUUUUUUUAAAAAAUUCUUUUUCUUUGGCAUAUAGUAUGCGUUUUGAGGGGAAAAAAAUUUAUCCCACUCCUAAUUUGUCAUCUGUGAUAUUAAUGUGUUAGCACGAAGAUUCAUUGUAAUUGCAACAAUUUUGAUGAAUCCAAACGUUCAAUAACUGUUAAAUUGUAUUUUAUAAAUACUAAUAGCGAAGGUACAGAAACGAUUAAUCCAAGAAGUUGCUUAAAGUGCAUUAAAUUAGGGAGUAUAAAUAAUUGUGUGAUACAGUCCAGCCUUUAUCUGCUUAUAAUUAGCAACCAAAAACCAUUUGCAACGCCAUUAAAAAAACAUUUUAACAUUAUUGCUGAGGGAAGAGGCAGCUUAGGCUUAUUAACUCGUAUUAUUAAUGCUGAUGACGCAGCUGGUAAUCCUUUUGGUGAAUAUAAUAAGGUAGCUGAAGCUUAUAAUUAUUUAAGCCCACUAAAGCUUAAAACUAAUUCUUCUAGUGACGAUGCUUUGCUUAGUUUGCUUUUUGUUUUUAAUUUUUUUGGGGCUAACAUUUUGCUUAUUUUGCUUUUAAAAUUCUAUUCGCGUUGCUGUGAAAUAUUGUUUGUCCUUCCAUUUUCUGUUUUUGUUGUUAUCGGAUUUGAUGAUGGUUUAUAUGUACGAAGAUUAUGUAAUAAAGUCUUUUUCUUUGGCCUUUAUUAUGCAUUUUAAUACGAAAAAAAAUUAUCCCACUCCAAUUCAUGAAGAUAUUCUCAUUUCUGUCAUAUUGAUGUGUUAAUAUAAAGAUCCAUUGCAGUUGGUGAAUUCAAAUAUUCAGUAACUGAUGAAAUUGUAUUUAUAAAUUCAUAGUAAUAGCAAUUGAAGAUUAUAAUUAAUUUUGUAAUAUGGUCAAGCCCUCGUGUGUUUAAUUAGCACUCAAAAACCACUUUACAAUAGUCAUUAAAAGAACAUUAUAACGUCAUUACUGAUGAGUUCUGGUGAAGAUAUUAAGUUAAGGCCACAAAAAUCGAAAUGUACGUGGCUUCGUUUGUUUUUUGUUUUGAUUUUUUUUGGGGGCAAAUGCUUGGCUUCGUUUUUGAUAUUUUAUUGGCUUUAUUGUGUGGCAUGUUCUUGUUUUCUUUUGAUUUUCUGUUUUUGUUUGUUAUGGGAUUUGAUGACGAUGUACAUGUACGAAGAUUAUGUAAUAAAAUGCUUUUGAUAAAUUGUGGUCGGUUUAGUAUUAAUUAACCAAAUUUAAUUUACUUGAUCAAUUGAUAUUUGUUAGUAUUGUUGUUAUACAAGCACAACAAAAGAAGAACACUAACGUACUAAUUAAUUACUAAUAAGAACAUUAACAAUUUUUGCCGAAGUCUGAUGAAGAGAAAUAUUACACAUACGUAACGGUACCGCGGAAGGAAAAAAUAAAAGAAACUGAAGUUUAUUUCAACAGCUACUCUUUCUUUACCUAAAUCCUGCACCUCUCAUACUACCAACAAGAUCGAAAACCUUAUCGAAUACUCCUACAUCCCAGACUCUGCCCAAAUCAGUGAAUCCACAUACCUCCAAUACAGUACCCCGUUGCUAAAAUAAAGCGAGCGUCUUACUCUACCUAACAUUUUUCUUUUUAUUAAUUUAAAACAGUUUUCAACUGAGAUUGGAAUUUUAAAAUUACGUACACAAACAUACCUGAUUUUAAAGAAAAAAAAUUCUAAUAAUAAAAUAUUUUACAUAUGUAACCAUACGGCGGAAGAACAAAUAUAAGAAACUGAAGUUUCAACAGCUGAGAAUGAGAUAAGCAUAAGAAAUUAAUUCAUUAAUUAAUUAAUAGAGUCCUCCUCCUUUGCUAAAUAAUGCGAGCCCAUUGUUCUUUUUAUUUCGAAAACCCAUUAAUCACCAACACAUAAUAUACGCCCAAUUUAAAAAAAAGAAACUAAUAAUAAAAUAUUUCAGUCCCUCUGUUGAGUCGUCCUCUGUGGAGUCGUCAUCAAAAACCCAUUUACUAGCUAUUUCAACAUAAGGUAAAUGGGUUAACAAGGCCCAAUAUUGUCCUCCAUCCUCUCUGCACUUCUCUUCUAUCAACGGACAAUCAUAGAUACUUAAUUUCAAAAGUGAGGAAGGCAGGCCCUUCUCCGGAAAGUAUUUGAGCUUGGGACAAUUCUUGAGAUACAAUGAAGUGAGGUUUUGAAGAUCAACAAUUGAAGAAGAUAGGCGUUCCAAAUUUGGAAAAUUGUAAAUCUCCAGAGACGUUAGAGAGGCAAGAAGAGGAAGCGCAGCCCCUAAUCUUUUGUCCUCUAGUGGAAUUGACACCAUGUCGUCAUCGCAUUCGCUGAUUUUAAAAUGUCGCAGAGAGGAGAAUCUGUGAAAUCCCCGGCCCCGCUCAAUCAUUGACUUCCAAAUCUCCAUAUUACCCCUGAUAUCAAGUGAAUGAAGGUUGGUGGGAAGGCCAUCUUCUUCAAGGCUUGGAAGCUCAACUCCUCUUCCUAUUGUUAAUUCUUGAAGAGAGGUCAGAUUGUGCAAUCCCUUGGGUAAGGCCUCUAGUCCCUUGCACCAACUGAUAUUGAACUUUAUUAGUUUCGCACAAGGCAAUCCCCCUUCGGGAAAGGACACCAGAUUUUUACAUUCCCAUAUUUCGAUCUCUUGAAGCUGGCGGAGAUUAUGUAAACCACUCGGUAAAAUCUUUAGAUUUUUACAAAAAUCAAUUCUGAUUAUUUCAAGCGAUGUGUUGUUGUCCAACCUUUCUGCUAUUGACUCCAGCUUUGAACAACUAAGAACUUCAAGGGACUUAAGAGACGGAGGUAGAUUGCCAACUUCAAGGGACUCAAGCGUGGCAGGUAACUCGUUUUUUGAAAAUAUACAUGUCAGAGAUGGACAUUCGCUAAUAUGCAAGCCCUCGAGAAGAGAUGAGGUGUACCUUCUGCUGCUGCUGCUGCUGCUACUCUGGAUGCCCUCUUCCACUGUCAAAGUCCUUAGAUUAUCACAAUUAUGGAUGUACAACAUCUUAAGGCUCGGUGGUAGCUGGACUCCAGCAAUAUAUGUCAACGAACGGCAACUCAAAAUCUCCAAGAUCUCGAGAGAUGAAUUGGUGUCGCACAUCCAUGCCUCUGGUAACAAUUUCAGUGCAUCACAAGAACUAAUAUGAAUUGUCUUCAACUUGGAAGGCAGAGCAACCUCAGGAAAGGAAACAAGGGAACUGCAUUGGUAGAUUUCUAUCUCUCUCAAGGAGCUAAGGCUGAGCGAUGAUUGUGGCAGCUUCACAAGGUCUUGGCAAUCUCUCAAUUCUAUAUAUUCGAGUCUGCAUGACAACUCGCAGAGCUGCUGUUGUUGGUCUUUCUCUUCCUCCGCCACCAAGGAUUGAAGUUUGGGACAGCUGCCAAUCGUCAAUCUUUUGAGAGAGCAAAUGUCUUGUAGUAAUCCAUCAUGACUCUUCCAUAUAUAUGUUUGCUCUUUUGUCGACAAAAUUAAUUCUUCCAAUUUCUGUAGUUGUGGUUUCAAUGGCCCCACAAGAAACACUUGAUUUGAUGCAUCUCUACAAACCACUGAAUUCUGUGAUCCGAGAUGACCAGUUGCACUUUCCCACACAACCUUUUUGCAUCCACCAAUUUCCAAUUUGCAAAGAGCUGGAAGACUCGAAACUGAAACUAACAAUUCUUCACAUCCUUCAAUAACAAGCAUCUCCAAUGCAGGAAGGUGCUCUGGAAAUGUUCCUUUCAGUUUAGAACAUUUUAAAAUGUGAAGUUCUCUCAAUUUAGGAAACCCUUCAACUCCUUGACUGGAUCCAUGAGGAAUCCAAUCUUCCCAUUCUUGCAUGUUUUCAAAAAGAAGAGUCUUCAAGCAUGGAAAUGGAAUUGGAGAAACAUUCCCAUAGAACUCUGAACCCAACCUCUUUACUCUGCUCAUUCCACAUACUACAAGAUGCUUUAAAGAGGGUAGUUGCCCGACUGACGGCAGGGCAGUACACAUGUCACAAUUUUUAAAUUUUAGGGUCACCAAAUUUGAGAAUGAGGAAUCUCCCAACCAAGUUGGAAAUUUCAUACCUCCAUAGCCUUUGAUACAAAAUUGCUCCAGAUUUGUAUGAGGUUUCAGCAUGUCAAGCAUGCCCAUUUCAGUUUCUGCCUCCCUUGAAGAAGAACCAUCGGUACUGCAAGUCCAUUUAAGCGAUAAUUCUUUCAGAUUCUUCUUUCCAUCCAUUUGAGCUACCAUGGCAUCACCAACGCAUUUUGCAUUCUCCAAUUUUGAAAUGUUAAGUGUCCCAUGAAGGUGCGUCAACAACUUUAGCUCUCGUAACCCGGAACCACUGCCUUUUCCCACAACAAAAUUACACAACGUCUGAAGACUAGUCAACCUACCAAUUCCUAGUGGCAUUUCCUCCAACGACUUCGUAUUUGAAUUCUUAAGAUGAUGCAAUUUGGCGAGGUUUCCCAUGUCUGCACACAACUUCUUCAGCCGAUCACAAUCUUCCAACAAAAGGCUAUGCAAAUUGUAAAGCUUGUUGACUGAGUCAGGCAGAGUUCUAAUCUCAGUUCCAGACAGGUUAAGGUACCUUAAAUACCUCAAAUCACCAACUGAAUCCGGUAGCUCGAAGAUGUGGUAUCCACGCAGAGAGAACGCCCUCAAGCGUUGGGGUUUGAGCAACUUAGGAAGAAUGCUAGGAGCCAAGUAGCCAGGCCCACUAUUUGUCAACAUUACUGGUAAAAAAGUUCUCAAAUGUUGGAUAUCAUACAAGUCCCCGAACCUUUGAACGCCAUCAUAAUCUCCACGAAUGUAUGAUAGGUGACGAAGAUUUCUGGAAAAACAUUGUUGCUUGUUAACCUCCGAGGUAUACUCCAGUGUGAAGUAUGUCUCCCCUGCAGCCCAACGGGCAAGGUCGUUGAUAAGAUCGUGCAUAACAAAUAGUGAUGCAUCGGUGGCCGAUUGCUGCAAAAAAGAUCUUGAACGUAGCUCCUUAAAGAAAUCACGACCUAAAUCUUCACUAGGAUUCUCAUCUUCUUUGUGAUCCAAAAAACCGGAGGCACACCAUAAUAAAAUUAUCUCCUCCUCUUCAAAUUCAUAAUCCUUUGGAAACAAUGAGCAGUAUGCAAAGCAUUGUUUCAAAGUUGGAGGAAGAUAAUAAUAGCUCACUGCAAGGGCUGGUAUAAUGCCACACCUCUUUUCUGAUAAUUCCCAUAUCUUGCUACAGAGCACACGUUCCCACUCACGUCUGUCAUGUUUUCCACGUAAAAGUCCUCCAAGUGUUUGUGCUGCCAAGGGCAAGCCAUCGCAUUUGGUCACUAUCUUCUUGCCGAUUUCCUCCAAUAACUUAUGUGACCCCAAAGAAUGUUGAGCGAAUACAGCCAGACAAUCAUUAUCUGACAACUUUUUUAAUUGAUAAGAUGGAACAGUACCCAUGAUUUCUGCAACCUCUUGAUUGCGAGUAGUGACAAUAAUUUUACUUCCUGGUGCACCAACUUCAAAUGGACGUCUGAGUUGAACCCAAUCAUCGUAAUUCCGGUUCCACACGUCAUCCAAAACAAGCAAAAAUUUCUUUCCAGACAGUUGCUUACUCAGUUCCUUUUGAAGUGAAUUCAAGCUGGGAUCACCCACGUUCUGGCUAGCAACAAUGGAUGUUAAGAUUGUUUUUGUUAGCCUCUUAACGUCGAAAUCAUCAGAGACACAAGUCCAUGCCUUGAGAUCAAAAUGAUCCUGCACUUGCUUAUCAUUGUAGACAAGCUGAGCAAGAGUGGUUUUGCCCAGCCCGCCCAUACCUAUAAUAGGAAUAACAGAGAAUCCACCAUCGUUGCUUAAAUCAUCCCUCAACAGCAGUUCAACAACAUCCUUCUUUUCUGUUUCCCUGCCAUAUACUUUGGCUUCAUCCACCAAAGAGGUUGUCUCUGGCCUUUGACUGGCUUUUUUGGAUCCCCCAGCUGAACUUUCUUUCAAAUCUAGCAAGUUUUUCUUUGUCACAAUUUCUUGAAAUCUGCUGUCGAUCUCUUUGAUUUUGGACAUCAAGUCAUAAUCGAACUGAGUCGAUUGUGGAGUAAAAAUGGUGAAGCAAGUAUGAAUGAACUUCCGAAGCUUACUUGGUCUCGUAUGACUGCUACUGGGUUGAUCAUGAGCAGCAGCUGGUUCUCCAUUUCCAAGCGGCAACCUCCUCCGGAAAGCCUCGGUUUGAAACUCAUCCAACAAGUCUUCAACAUCAUAAGCCAAGUUCUGAAGCUCGCCAAGCCACAAAUUCACAGACGGAGCCGUCCUCCUCUUCUCCUCAGCAUCAUCAAGCACUGCCUUGAUCAUCUCCAACAUAUUCGCCCACCUCAUCAGAUCGGCCUCGAUCUCCUUUUGGCGUGCAAAAAACAGAACCCCCUCUGAAGCUAACUUAUUGACCAGCAAAUCAACGGACGCCGUAAGGAUUGCCUCUCCGAUCAUUGACAUUUUUUUUUCCUUUUUUGGGGCAAAGGAAGAAAGGAGCAGAAUUAUGCGUUAUGGAAAGCAGAAUGAGAAAUUUGAACGGGUGAGAAAAUGGAUAAUUAAGCAGAAUGAGUUUGUGAUUGUGAAGGGUCUGGCCCAACAAGCUUAGUAGAAAUCACGCGUUUAUACUUUAUUGACCAAUGACUAAUAAUUUGCCAAUUCACUCAUCACCACCACUUGGUGAGCAAAAUGAAAAUGCUUAGUAAUUAAACGUGGCAAGUCUCCCCACUUGUUGUUCCUUGCAGCUAAGAAAAGAAAAAACAGAGCCGUAAUUAAUGACAGAAUUUUAAAAAUAAUAAUAAGAGAAAAACCUACACAUUUUCGACUUAGAGUGGAACCGUAAUUAAUGCUAAAAUUUACUCAGCUAAAAUUUUCAAAAUAUUGUUCUUUAUAAUUUUCAAAACCGUAAUUAAGGUUCAUCUCAAAUGUUUGAAGAGACUCUAUCAAUUCUUCUGCGCUAAGAAUAUUAAAAUUCUUAUUUUUUCUUCAAACGUUGAAUAAUGAAAAAAAAUGUUAAAUAUGGAGAAAAAUAGAAUGCAUCCAUCUUUGCUGUAGAAGUCUUCUACUUAUAAAAGCAAGUUAGAAUAAACGAUUUUAAUCUCUCUUUUUAUUCCUGUAAGUGCACUACAUUUUUUUUGUUUUAAUCUCAAUGUGAAGUCGUAUCAUAAUGUUAUGUUAAUGUUAUAUUCUUGUUGGAAAAUGAAAUUUUAGAUAAAACAAAUUCGACUCAUUUGUUGAAGGUAUAUAUUUAGUAGGUUGCUAACAUAAAGUAAAUGAACUAAAAGACAAUACUACCAGCGAUAAUUUAGCAAGUUUCGCAUGCUCGUCUUUCUUGAAAUAUUAUAUGGGAAUGGGAUCAAACAACAGUGAUACAAAGAGAAAAAUGGUAAUCCUCUGAUUGUAUUUUUUUUUUCUUUUUCAAAAGAGAUGGUGGGGUUGGGUUGUUUGCAAAGUUAUUAGUGUGGGUCUAUUUAAAAUGUUAAGAAAUUUUAUGUCCUUUUUUCAAAGUGAAUUUCCAUUUUUCAUUUCUCAUUAAGUAAAACCCACAGCAAAAUUAAAAAGAAAAAACAGAGCCCACUAUAAAUAUAAAAUCGAAGGAGCUCAUAAUUAUACCUUUGCUUUACAUACUAAAUUAAAUAAAAGCCGAACCAAGAAUCUUGCCUUUACUUAACAUGAUUAAUUAGACACUACUUCAGAGAGAAUACGAAAGCAAAGAACCCUUUUGUUAAUCUUAAAUGUUAGGAAAAUAAUUAGCUUGGAAUAAAGCUGCGUUAUUCUCCUCUUACCGUCUCUUCAGGUUCAUUUCAAAAGUUUGAAGAGAUUUUAUCAAUUCUUCUUAUAAAGGCAAGCUAAAUUAAAAGAUUUUAAUCUCUCUUCUUAUUACUAUAAGUGCACUGCUUUUUUUUUAUAAUCAACAAUGUCAAUUUGUAGUGUAAUAUUAUAUUCAUAUUCCUGUUGCGUCGAAAUAAGGUAAAAUGAAAUUUUAAAUCACACAAAUUCGACUCGUUUGUUAAAGGUAUAUAUUUAAUAAGCUAAUAACAUAAUUAACAUAACGCUAUUAUUACACUAAAUGAAAUAAAAGACGGUACCCUCCACCAAUAAUUACAUUAGCAAGCUUCGCAUGCUCGUGUUUCAGGACCUAGACAUUGGCGAAUUAAUCUAGGAUAACGAAACAAUUUCAAAAAGCAAAAUGGAUACUAUACAUUUUCUUUUUUUAAUUGUACAGAAAACGGGACUAAUUUUCAAAUAUUUUUAAAUUCACUUAUUUACAAAAGCUAUACAAAAUGAUUUCCUUUUUAUUUUUGAUGAGCAUAAUUUACAUACAUAUUUUACUAUUUAUUAUAUAAUUACUAGUUAUUUUUAUUUGUUAUUUUAAUUAAUUGAAUUAUUUUAUUUCAUAGGAAAUUAAUUGGAGAUUAUGGAUGAAAAGUGCGUAAAGAAUAACAAUUUGACAGCAUUGAAGAUCAAAUCAAUUUGCGGAAGGAAUUAAGCAAAUGUGCAAGAAAUUCUAUUCGAAGAAACCGAAGCCAAUAAAUUGAAUAUCCAUACUCGUGCAAACAAAGAAGAAGUUUAAAACUAAAGUGGGCAGCACAUUAAAAAAAGCUUUUAAUUAAGUCUUUGAAUGGAAAGUCAAAAUAGAAUAAAGGAAGGAAAUCAAUAGCUUUUGGCUUUUAUUGUUUUCAAUUACGUGGCAGGCUUAGAGCUUUAGCUUGUAAGAGUUGGUUUGGUUAUUAUCACAAUAGGAUUUGGUGGCCAAGCAAUAUAAAAGGGAGUUUUGCUUUUGAAUUAAAGGCUGGACGGAAACAAAAGGGAGGAGAAUUCGGCUUUGAACAGAGAGCAGCGGCAACGGCAAUAUUUCGGCUUCCAUGGCUGAAUUUAUUUCUUUUGUUGCUCACAAUUUAAGUAUGUCUAGCUAAUUUUCUUAUACUGAGGUUAAGGAUGAAACCCUAUUCAAUGAAAUAAUUAUCUUUUUAUUUAUUUAAUUCCCUAUAUAUGUGCUUUAAUGUUUAUGGUUUUUAUUUCACAUGAUUAAUUGGACGUUAUUAAAAUCUUUUCAUCAAUUCUGUCAUGCAUUAUUAAUUGUUAGGAUUAAUAUUCAAUUAAUUCUAUACUUGGAUCUAUAAAGUUUAUACAUGAUUAUCUUUGAUUUUAUGUCUUUCAUUAAAUUAUUUACAUAGAGUGCUUAGGAAAACUUUGACUCUUUGUUAUUUAAUAUGUUUACAUGAGAUGCUUACAUGUCAUACUAUUAAGUAGAAAAAGAACCUACAUUACAUUUAAUUUUAAUUGGGCUUAAUUGUUAUAUUUAUGAGAUGACAUAGAUUGAUUUUGAGUUGUCACUCUAAAAUUAGGGAUUCAUUAAUAUUUGGAUAAUUACAAAUUAAAUAGUGGUGGAUUCCGAAACCUUGAUAAUUUUUAUUUUAUUGAUUUCUCAUUUGCUUUAAUUGUUUUCUUAGUUUAAUAAGUUUAAUUUCUUUUAAAAAUUCAAAUUACUCAACUAAGUUAGGAUUAAUAUUAAUUUUAGAUUUAAAUUAGACUUUUCAAUUUAUAACAAUCCAUGUGGGAUUGACCUCGUUACUACUAUUCUAUUUCUAGAUUCAUGCGCUUGUAAGUAUAUUAAAACUUUCACAACAAUUUUGAAAGGAAUCAAAUAACAGUGAUACAAAGAGCGCAAAGUUGCAAUUCUCUUAUUAUAUUUUUUCUCUUUUUUAAAAGGAGAUAGUGGGGUUUGGUUGGUUGCUAAAUUAUUGGUGUGAGGGUCUAUUUGUUUUUGUUUUCACUUUAUUAAUUAUACCAAGCAAACAUGUAAUCAUUUGUAAAGGGGUCACUAGCAUUGGAUUAUGUAAGAUGAAUUCAUAAGACUUAUUAAUUUCGAUGAAAAUGUAGCGUUAUUAAGUUGUCAAUUCAUUAACUUGAGGUACUAAUAUUUACUAAUUGUGGUGAUUAAUUUAUUUAACUUGUCAUAAUUUUCAAUUGAGAAUGAAGUUCAAUCAAUGUAUGAAAAAAAUAAUUUUUUUAGAUUUUUAAUUCCUAUGAUUUAAUUUCCCCCUGUUUCGAUUAUUGACGUGUUAAAAGCUUGUAGAAUAUCAUGAAAUGCUUGUAUCUCACCUCGCAAAUUGACAAAUAUUGGUUGGUUUCUCCAAAGGCUACCAUAAUGAAUUGAAAGUAAAAACAACAACCAUUGAAAAUUAAUUUUAAAAUCAUUUUUACUUGAAAUUUUUUAAAAGAAAAAUUAAGCAAAUUAGAUUACAGAUAUCAAUCUUAAUAUUUUGUUGAUGAAAAUUAAUUAAUUUAUCUCAGUACUUUCUUAAUUUUGUGUUGUGCACCGCAUUGGUCACUUCUGAUUGUGUUGCAUAUUUGUUAAUUCAAAGAAAUAGAACUUCUUUAUCGAUCAAACUUAUUUUAUUAGUAUUCUUCAUCAUAUGGUUAAUGGCUUAGCCAAUGAAGGAGAAGGGGUCAGCCAAAACAAAUAAAGUACUUUCUCAUGCAUUAACCUUUAUUAAAAAGCUUUAUUAACUGUUGUAGUUAAAAUAAUUUUAAAACAAGUUAAAACAGUUCCAACUCAAAAUCAGUAGGCUGCAAUUGGGUUGUUACACAUAUUUCUAAAUUUCAGUCUAAUUUAAUUGUGUAUGGACAAACUAACUUUAUCACUUCUUUCAUAUUAAUACUCAUAAAUUUCAACCUUUUUUUAUGAUGAUGGACAAUCUAACUUAACAAAAAUAAUGUUCAAAUUAUCACAAAAUGUUCUUUUCUUAAAAAAGAAAAGAAAAUCAUAUAUAGUAGUUAAUUUUUCUUCUUCUGUACUCCAAGAUCCAACUCCGUACUCCACUUGUUCGUUGUUAUUAUACCCAGCCAUUAGAUUUUAAUUACGUUGAUUUAACGGUUUGGAUUCGUAAAUGAAUAACGACGUAAAGUUUGGCUACCAUCUGAACCCACCGCAUCUAAUUGGUUUUGUGAUUUUUUGCUUUCUUCACUGCAACGCUUGACUAGUUCUGGAAAUAUCGACCGCCAUCAACGGCAAAUCUGAACCAUGUAUUAUUUGCGAAUACAUUCAUUAAACUAUUAAACAUUCAGAGAAGAAAGCAAACCGUGGCAGUAUAACAAAAACUGCGAAUGGUCAUUCCCAACACGAACCCCUAUGGUUGUUUUCCUUUUAAUUUUCUUCUUUGAAUUCUCCUUUUAUUAAUCAUUAGAAAAACUCCAUUUUUUUUGUUUUAAAUCAUGUGUUAUUAACAUUUACAUGGUUAAUGUCAUCGAAAUCGAAUGGUUGUUAUCUACGAAAAGAGAAUUGCUAGAAAUUUUGUUAGUCCCAUUGCAACAAUAUAUUGUUAUAAAUUGCAUUGUUUUCCAUAUAACAAAUAUAAUAAAAUCUCAAUAAAUUAAUAGUUUUUGGGACCAUAAAAAAAUUAUUAAAAUUAAACAAAUAUCAAUUAAUCAGUAAAUUAAUAAAUUAUUAAUUUAUGAAAAUAUUCAUUAUUUUGGAAAAACAUGAUCACGCUUUUAAUAUUGAUUUACCUUGAGUUAGUAUCUAUUAGGUUUUAUUUGUCUAUUAGUUUUCUCUUGGGAAGAUUUUUUAAGAGUUAGCUGCUUUAUAUUAACAGUAAUAAAAUUAUUAUUUAACGGUUUUGUUUUUCCAUGCUAAAGACCGAUUAGUCGUCUUCUUCUCCUCAGCAUCAUCAAAACCAGGGUUUUUAACUCCUAAAACGUUUCUUUUUAGAAAUAUAUUACUUUAUUCAUCUAAUAUGUUAUCUAACAAAUAGACACAGAUGAAAUCACUCUAAAGUGAAGAUGAAAGGGGAAAAAAAACAUUCCAACCACCAAUAAUUUAGCAAGCUUCACUUUUAUUCCACCAAAGUGUAAAUAGUGCCAGCCCCCACCACCAUCAAUAAUUUAGCAAGCUUCACACGCUUGUUGUCUUCUCCUUGACGAACUGGACGUGGGUGGACCAAGAAUCAAUGAAAGAAUUUUAAAAAUAAUAAUAAAAGAAAAACAUAAACAUUUUGGACUCGGAGUAGAACCGUAAUUAAUGCUAAAAUUUACUCCGCUAACGUUUUCAAAAUAUUGUUCUUUAUAAUUGUACAGCAAAUAAGACUAAGUUUUGGACAUUUUCAUAUUCACUUACUUUCAAAAGCAGUAUUUCGAAACAUUUUACAGAAUCAAGUAACAGUUAUAUAACGAGAAAAGUGCAAAGUUGUGUAAUUCUAAUGUUUUUUUUUUUUUAUCACAGACACUCAGAUAAUUUUUUAUUUGGGUCGCCAACUCGCCAAUUAACCCAUGAUUGAAUGAGUGUUUAGAAAGAAAAUCAAUAAAAAACAGUUUUUUUUUUGGUCGUCGAAAUAUAGUAAGUGAGAAAGAUUAUUCUGUUUUUUUUGUUAAUUAGGUUAGUAAUUAUGAUUGAGUGACUCAGAACUAUAUUCUAGAUUGAGAAUCAACGGUUCUCCCACACUGAGAGGCUGUAAGUUUAAGAUUGUCGUUUGCUAUUUCAUCGACAAGAGAACACUUGAAUUUAUUAAAAGGAGAAGGCCAUAAAGAUUUUCCUUUAUGAGAAAUGUAUCUGAUCAUUCCUUUUUACUUGAAAAUUUCAUAUAUAAAAACUCAUUAAUAAAUGACAGAAUAUACAUAAAUUAUUAAUUCAUUUGAUAGUUGAUUAUCGAAGGACAUGUGACCCAUGGAAGCAUGCAGUCUAUAAAAUAAUUCUUUUUUUUUUUUAACAAAAAAUUGGUGAUGUUGAAAAGCAAAAUUAUUAUUUCUCUAAUUAGGGUGAACAUUCAUAAAAAGAAUGCCGUAUGAAACUAAAUUAUUAAUUCGUUUGACAUGUGACCCACAAUAAAUAGUUAAAUUUGGCGGCAACAAUAAUUACAAGACGAACUUAAAGCAGCGCAUAGGUUUUUCUUAAAAAUACAUAAACAAUUCGAUAUUUUUUAUUUGACAGUUUUUAAGAAAUGUCAAACAUAUAUGACAUUUUGUGAAAAACUGAGUAAUUGUGAAAUAUAAAUGAUAAUUUAUUUAAACGUCAAAUAAUUGUGACGUUUUAUCAAAUAAGUGAUAAAUAUCUUACAUAUUUAUUGAAUAAUUAUCAUUUACCUUUUCCUUUUAUUGACUCGAGCAAAAAAAACAAAAAAACUGACUAUACUGCUUUUAUUUUCGUUCUUAGAACAGAUUUUAGUUUCUUUUGAGAAAAUUCAAACUCAUUCCCAUUACUUUCUUUUCAAUAAUCACCUCUCAGUUUUUCAUCAAUCACUCAAUUCCGAAUUUCAUCUCCAUUCUCUUUUGAAGAAGAACGCACGAAGAAUUUUAGCUUGCUUUUGCUGCUUCUCGAAUAUUGGGUAUUGUUUCCUUUAAUUUAGAUAAUUGUUUUUUAUAUCUCUCUUUCUAGUUUGAUAAUUUAUGGUUAUACUUGAAUUAAUUGUAUUUUUAAUCAACCAAGGUUGAUUUAAUUGAUUCCAAGUCUCAAUUUCCUGUUCAACAAUUUUCAUACUCAAUUUUGAAAGAAUCAAUGUAUUUUAUCUUUGGUUAGUACACUUCUGUUCAAUUUUUGUUUAUUUAACUUAAGAUAUCUUUUUCUUUCUUUUCUUCAAGCAAAUUAUAGAUUAUAUUGAGAACAGAGUUUUCUCCUUAAUUCCGCCAAGAGCAACGUUGAUUUCAGGUGAUAAUUGAAUGUGUAAUAUUUUCAAUUGAAAUUAAUUGAGUCUCGUGAUAAUAAUAGGGAUUUGAGAUUUACAUCCUGUUGAAAUGAUUUUAGAGUGUUCUGUUAUUUGAAUGCGCAUUAAUUGUUUGAUUAAAUGUCUCUUUAAAAGAUUAUUUUUGUUUUUAGCAAACAUCUUAAUGCACUUUACAAAUUGAAUCCAACAAGGGAAAAUUAUAGAACUGCAGCAGUUUUCAAAUUGAUUGCAUAUUAGAAGUAAUGUUAAUUUAUGCUGCAACAGUUCAAUGGGCUGGGCACAAGUUUAGGACUUCAGUUGCUCAAUUAAUGAAUCCACCACUCAUCAGACUUGGAACUUAUAUCUAUUGAAUCAAUAAAAAUAGUUGAUGGAAUCAAUGCCGAAAGCUUCAUUUGAUAUUUAUUUAUAACAUCUGUUAGAUUCUGGACAAUCACAAAGAUAUAGUAGCAGAAACUAUGUUAGAGACACUAUAGUUGCUUAAUUAGUGAAAUUGUGCUCUCAUUGCCCCCUUUUUUUGGUUGAUUCUAUAAUUUUAUUAGUUGUUCUUGUGGUUGUAAACAAUAUCAAUUUCUAAUAUUAAUAAAACUGAAUGAAUAAAAUGCGAUGCAUUUGCAGGAAAGUUAAUAGUUUAAAUAUGGAUAAAUCUUGGAUGUUGAUGGAUAGAAGGUCUAUAGAAUAUGAGAACAUGGUAAAUGAGUUUCUCAAGUUUGCAGUACUUCAUGCUAGUCAUCUUGAGCUUUUGAGAUGUCCAUGCCAAGCAUGUCUUAGUUUAUAGGCUCAAACAAUUAACAGUAUAGAAAAUGCAUGAUAGAACACAGAACUCAUAUUUUAGCAACAAUCCUCAGCUCACUGGCCCUUAGUUCAGAAUGACAAUUCUUAUUAGCCAAAGGUUCAAAAUGAUUUUUAGUUGUUUAUAAGUAGAGAACUAGAUCAACAAAUAAUUGAAGACCUGCAGCUUGGCUAUUGAACUAUACGAUGAUGCCAAUUCGAAGACUACAACUUGGCUCUGCCAUUCGAAGUAAGCAACGCAGCUGCCCAAAGUCUGCCAAACCAAGAAAAAUAAAGACUUCUCCUUAGCAAUUAAGUUAAUAUAAGGAAUGUUGCAUGUCCACAAAACUAGGUAGACGCAACUGGGACUUCAAUAUAUAUAUAGAUAUAUAUAUAUAUAUAUAAGCAUUUCCUAGAUCAAUAUUAUUCUCAGUAACUGAAUAUUGAAGCUGACCAUCACAUUUAAUAAUAAAUCAAUAUCAGGAAUGUUGUUGAGGAGUAUUUUGAUAUUUACAAAAGUGUUCAAAGUAAAAAUUGAUUUCUUAAAACCCAUUAGCUAGCGCACAUAAUAAUGGGGAGAAAAUUUUAGACUACGAAUAGUCCCACCCAUUUAAUAAUAUUCUUCAAUCAAUUAUGUUUACUUCAAAAAAAAAAAACCAUCUCUUUAUUACUUUCUAACUAUUCAUAUUAAUGUGUUCAUAAUUAUGAAGAACCGGUGUAAUUUAUAUGAUGUAGGAAGCACAUUAGUCAAAAUCAUCAGAAUCUCAAAAUUUCGUGAUGUUGUGCCAAAUAUGCAAACCAAAGCUUCCUACAUUCUUUGUACGUUUGUGUUAGUUACAAGCAAUCACAGUGGUAAACGAAAAAAAACGAAUUAAAACACAUGAGGAGAUUUAAAUGAAAAUGUCUUAAUCAUAUAUCGCAUGUAAGACCUUUUGUACUCAAAACUGAUCAGCACCCAUUCUGCCCGCCGUGUGAUCACAUCUUGAAGGGAGUGUUGCUUCAGCAUUUUUAUCAUUUUUACUAUUUCUAGGAUCCAUUUUGUCACCUCCCUCCCUCCCCCCGGUUUCUAAAAUAAUUAUAUAAUAACCAUAUAAUUAUUGGUUGUUCUAGCAAAUAAAAAAAAUAUAUAUAUAUAUAUAUAUAUUAAUCUUUUAAUAACAUUAUCACUUUGUCAAAAUAAAAAAUCUCCUCAUUAAAUAAUUAUAUUAUAUAUAUUCAUUUAUUUAUCCAAAUAAAAAAGUAUGAAGUCAAAUAGUACACAAUAAUUUAACUAAUUUGAAUUGGUUUAUUUUUAAUGAAACAAAUAACAUUCCUAAAUGCUUCUCUUGAUCCUUAAUUUAUUGAUAAUUUUGUCAAUUUAAGGUCGGCUAUAUAUUGAUUAAAUUACAAGCUUAGACUAUCGAAAGCUGGUUACAGUUAUGGAGGCAGGAAAAAUUUUAUUGUACCAGAAAUUUUUUCUACAACAGUCCAUGCAAAGUAAACAUUUGUAAGGAAAUUGGAGAAUAAUUACAAAGCCAACUAAAUUUUAUGAGAAUCAAUUUGGAGUUUUUGUUAAUCGCCAUUUUGCGUUCAUACAAAGCAAGUGUAGAUACCGGCACAAUAAGCUAAAUGCAAAAUCCAAUGUAGGACAGUGGGGUUGGGACAACGAAAUGGGGAAAUGGGAAUCUAGGUAAUUGCACUGAACCUUAAACUGAGAGUACGGGCACUUAAAAUUUUUAAAGUGUCUAAUAAGUUUCAGCUAAAAAGGAAAUAGGCUGUAAAAUUGCUAAAUUCAUUUUGAUUUCUAAAUUCAUAAAUAACCUUAAAAGUUCUCUGAUACAACUUGUCAAUAAUGGUGAAAAUUCAAUUUCAGAAUGACAAUUCUUAUUAGUGAAAGAAUCAAAAUGAUUUUUAGUUGUUUAUAAAUAGAUCACUAGAUCAACAAAUAAUUGAAGACUGGCUUGGCUAUUGAACCAUACGCGGCAAUUCGAAGACUGAAACUUAACUCUGCCGUUCGAAGUAAGCAACUCAGGUGCCCAAAGGCUGUCAAGCCAUCAAGACAAUACGAAGAUACAACAUCAAUAAUAAUUACAUAUUACACCUACCCCAAUAAGAAAUUAGUUAAUACAGUCCUAGAAAGAAAUUUACAAACCCAUGCUGUAGGAAUAAUUAAUUAAUUUAUACAGUUCGGUACUCAUUCCUCUUCUGUUUCAAAUCCAUAUCCACUGCUCUGCCAUUUAUUACUACGCAAGGUAUAUGGGUUAGCAAGUGCCGACAUUGUCCUCCAUUCUUUAUGUGCCUUUCUUCUAUCAAGGGACAACCCAAGAUCUCUAAUCGCAAGAAAAAUAUUUCAAAGUAAAAAGUGAUUUCUUAAAAUCUAUUAGCUAGUGCACAUAAUAAAAGGCCAUUCAUGGUAAAUUUUAGAUUACAAGUAGUCCCAAUAAUAUUCUGCAAUCAAUUCCGUUUAUUUUAAAAUAAAAGAAAUCCAUCUCUUUAUUACUUUCUAAUUAGUCAUAUUAAUGUGUUAAUAAUUGUGAAGAACCAGCGUAAUUUAUAUGAUGUAGGAAACCCGUUAGGCAAAAUAACCUGAAUUUUUUAAAGUAGGGGCUAGACAUAUUGGGCAUAACCUCAGUUUCUGUUACUUCUUUGACCCUGCCUAAGCUCUUUUAUGGGCUAAUAUCAAAAUUUCGUGAUAUUGUGCCUAAAGAGCUUCCAAUUCAAGGAGCUCCCCUGUUUUUGACUGAAACAUAUGUAAUCCGAAAAAUUUAUAAUUAGAUAAAUCAUUCAAAAUCUCCCUGAAUCUAACCCACAUUUCUAUGGUUUAAUAACAUAUCACAAAGGUGCCUAAUAUAAUGAAAUUAGCACUAGUUCACGAGAUUGCCAUUAUAUAUUACAAGUCUUUUUAUGAUGUAGAUUAGAAGGGAAAAUACGAAGGACAUAUUAUAUAUUAUAUAUGAUUGAAUUUAAUCCAUGAUAAUUAGACAAAAUAACACUAAUCUAGCUAACUAAUCCACCCAUCAUAAUAAUUUGAUUUUCAUUAUUUUAUUGUGUCCAAUCAUGCUAAUUUAAUAAAAAAAAUACAGAACACUUGAGGAUUUAGAUAUUCAACAACUUUGGCCAAGUUUGAAAAAGAUUAGAGCUUCCUUCAUGCUUUGUGUUCUUAUGUUACACAUGAUCAUAUUAUGUUACAUUUGACAGAAAACUGAAAAUUAUUGAAAAAAAAAAAUCUUAGUUAGCACAUGAUCAAAAUGAGAGAUUAAUGCACACACAUCACAACAAUGUUUCAUUCAUUUUGAAUCUAUAUUUACAAAACUUGUAUCCGAUGGUUUACAUUUGUUUAAUCUAACUGCUAUGACAUGUGUACUGUCAAAACGCUACAGCUGCCAUCUCUGUUUGUCCUUGUUGCAUCCUUGAUCUUAUAUUAUCCUGGAGAUUAUUGAAUGUUCUUCUCAUUCUCAUGUGCUCGAGGGUCCUUUCUUGAGACAUUUCAGCAAACACCUGAUUCAUCCUAUUAAACAUUAGCAUCAUUAAUCAGUAAAUGAUGUAAGGUAGCCCUGUUUCGUGAAGUCAACAUAAAUCAGUCACCUUAGAUUUUCUGAGUCUCAGAGCACAAUGGGUGAUGAUUUGAUGAGAAAUAUUAAUAUGCCUUCAUCCCCUGAAUUAGCUAGAGCUGGUUGUCAUUUUCUUCUUUCUUUUGGUACGGUUUUAGAUUUUUAAUCAAUCAGAUUCAGCUGCAUGUUUGCUUUUAGUCCAAACCAAAAUAAGAUAUUAAGUACUUUUGCCAGAAUAGACGCAACCAAAAUUCUAUGGGAUCUGUAGUUCCUAGUUCAUGCAGAAGCGACCGAAUGCUUCCUGCAACUCAGGCAGAUAGAACCUUGGUUGAUUCGUUUUUCUUCAUCUGAAAUUCUACCUAAUGCCUAUCCUCUUAAUUGGUUUAAAUUCUUCUUUUUUUUCUUUGAAUUGUUGAUUUAUAAUGUCUUGUAUGCAACAUUUAUAAUUUCGGAUGAUGAUAAUCUUGUUUAAGAAGAGAUUUCUAGUUACGGCAGCAGCGUUCUUGAUCAUGGCAUCACAAGCACGUGCUCUGGUUUGCUUAGUUUCCUUUUUGUCUCUGAUAUUUUCUUGGCAUUGUGGGAUAUUGUUUCUCUUUUGAUUUUCUGUUUUUGUUUGCUUAGUUUCCUUUUUAUGUCUGAUAUUUUCUUGGCAUUCUUGUUCUCUCUUAUAAUAAAGUGCUUUUGAUAAAUUCGCCUGGUCGGUUUACUUCACUAACCAUUAAUGAGCAAAUCCUCCCAGUGACUCUCAAACUCUUCUACACAAUUAUAAUAAUUUCAGUUUUACAUAUACAAAAAUGAACAGCUCUCAAACAUAUCAUUUGAUAAUGACAAAAACAAUAAUUCACUCCAAUAAAUCUCAUAAUAAAUACAUGAUCUACAUUGCAAGUCUUUUUAGGACGCAUUCAAAGAGAAAACAUAAGGAAUGGCAAUGCAAGAAUAUGGAAUCAGAAUAACAGUGAUACAAAGAGAAAAAAAAAGGGGAUGGUCGGGUUGGGUUGCUUGCAAAAUUAUUGGUGCGGGGGUCUACUUGUUUUUGUGUCACUUUAUUAAUUAAUUACCGAAGCAAACACGUCAUCAUUUGAAAAAGAAUCACUAGCACCAGCUUAUGAAAAAUAAAUUUGUAAGACAUAUUAAUUUGAAAAUAUUUUGGAAUUUCAGUCUAAGUUGAUUUGUCUAAUUAUGUAUGCACAAACUAGCUUGACCACUUCUUUCAUAUUGAUACCUAUAAAUUGCAACCUUAUUUUACGUUGAUGCACAAUCUAACUUAACAAAAAAAAUAUUCAAAUUGUCACAAAAUAUUUUCUUCUUAAUAUAUAUAUAUAUAUAUAUACAUACACACAGUAGUUAAUUUUCCUUAUUCUUCACUCCAGGAUCCAGCUGCAUACCCCUCUUUUUUGUCGUUAUGUUGCUCAACCGUUAGAUUUUAAUAACGUUAAUCUAACGGUUGAGAUUUGUAAAUGAAUAAUGAAGUGGUGUUUGGCUACUAUCUGAAAAUAUCGGCAGCCAUCGACGGCGAAUCUGAACAAAGGCAACAGGAGGUGAUCGUGGUGAAAUUGUUUUUUGGCAUGCGAAUCUAACGACUUUCAAAUACGUUCAUUCAAAUAUUAAAUGCAAUUCAGGCAAAUAGAAACUUGGUUGAUUGAUUGCUUUUCAUGUGAAAUUCUACCUAAGGGCUAUCCUUUUAAUGGUUUGUACUGUCUUAUAUGCAAAUUAAAUUCGGAAUUCGGGUGAUAAUAAUCUUGAUUUAGAACAGAUUAGGUAACAUGUGGCAUUCUACAUUCUUGCAAUGCCAUUUCUUUUUAUGGCAGCACCAUUUUUUAUCAUUGUUUGUGUGGACCUAUUUGCUGAAUUCAAAACUUGGCGUGUUAAAACGGCAUCGUUUUGUCCAUUAAGAUGUUUCAAGUUGUCCCCGGCUGGACAUAUGACUCACUUAAUGAUACCAAAACGGCGAGGCAUGAAGGUGUUUCGGCUAAGGGCUUAAGUUCUGCAUGUGACAAGCACGUGAGAGAAGAAUCAAGUUAGUUAUAAGUUGUUAUACACGUGGCUGGAUCUGGUGCAAUCUGGGGUAAUGAACAGCCGUUAUAUAAGCUGAGCUUUCAGGCAGUUUCAGCAAGAUGUAAAGAGCUUCUAGAGAGAAUGAAGAGAGAGAAAAUGUAUCAUCUUAUUCCUUGUUAGUUUCUCCGUGUGAGCUCUGUAAAAUACUUUGAUUCAUAAAUAAAACUCAUUUUAGUCGAUUCUCCCUUGGAUGUAUGUUCUGCCUCAUUGCACAGCCGAACCACGUAAACAGUGCUGGUUUCUUUUUUUUUCAUUUGUGUCUAUCACUAAAAAGCAGAGCACUUGCUUGAUUGAAUAAUGUCAUAUUACAUCACAUAAACUCUCUCAAUUAUUGAAAAAGAAAAUCGUAAAAGAGAUGUGUUGAAUUGAUAACUGAAAAAAUCUUAAAAAAUCUUCAAAGUUUUCAAUUAUUGAUAACUGAAAAUUAUUGAAAAAAAAAAUCUUAAAAGAGAUGUGUUGAAUUGUGAAAUUAAAACUGAGUUUCAGACAUUUCUGACAUGUCGGUUUAUAUUCUUGAUUGUGCAUGCCCUGUCGGUUGCUUGAUGAAACAGGAGAAUAUUGACAUCUGUGUAUUAUCGUUUACUUCCUGCAAUUAAAUCACAUGUUGUUCACGUGAUUCCAUUUGCUCUAUGCGGCACAUUUGGCAGUCGUUUAGGUCACUUACUGAAGCACGGGUUAAGUACUUGAUUCAAGGUUGUUAACUGACCUUUACAAGGCGGGAAAAACAAACCCGGAAUGCAGCUAGUGAGUGGGGGACUUUUCUAGACUCUUCAUGAUAUGUAUAUAUAGUCUUAGAGGCUAUAGUUGAGACAUAUGAAAAGCUUGUAACUUCUUCUUAAUGUUUGUAGUUUGAUCUCGGUGAUGGAGAUAAGAUUGCUGCCCUGUUCUCCAGGCCGAACCACUUAAAAUGUGCCUCUGUUUUGCUUGAUGACUACCAGUGGUGAGAAAACAGCUACAGAACAAAUCAAGCUUGAUGACUCAAAUAUUAGGGAAGCCAUAGUCAAGGCAUCUGGUUUAUGCAUCAACAGUGGUUCGUGGACUAGAAUUCUUAGCUAUUGCCGCUUCACAAUUGCACUGGAAGAAAGCGAAUUUGAUCGAGCUUUGGAUCGCAUAGCUAAAUUCAAAAGCAUCGUACAAAUAGUUAACUCAAAAACGGUAUUGUCAUUUGUCAUGAUUUAUUUCUAUUGCCUGAUGAUGAUACCCAUCACGCCUUAGUUGUCGUGAAUAAAUCUAAAAUCAAAUUGAACUGGCUUUUACUGGUUAGCAACAUUUGUGACGUUUUGAGAUUAUAAUAUAUGACAACACUGAUUAGUGUUGUCUCCCAUGUGAAUUGAGACAAAAAUUAUUUUCCCAAUUGCGCUUUCAUUUGAACAAUUCCACUGUAGAUUUAUAAAAUAAUGAUCAAAUUGUGUUUUAUAUUAAGUUACGAGUAAUUGGUUAAAUAUUAAUACAAAACUAUUUUAAGUAACAUGUGGCAUAUUCUAAUUCUAGCCAAGCUUCCAACUAAGAUUCCCAAAUCAAAAGAAUUUCAAUCUUCAGAACAUUCUGCAAAACGUUUAGUUUCUACGCAGUGCUAGAAUUUUCCCUAAGUUUCUAUCGCAAAGACUUCUAAAGAACUAUUCAGAUAUCGAGCUAUAAUCCAGUCUAAAGUGUAUAUAUCCCUCUAAUUCACCUCCCUCCAUUUCACCAGAAAAUCAACAAACACUUAGCUUCAAACAAACACUCUAAAAAAGCUAGCUAGCUAUUCAGAUGGCAAAACCAAGAAUUCUUGCAAUGACAAUGUUGUUUCUUGUUAUGGCAGCAACAUUGAUGAACAUGGCAUCGCAAGCAAACGCUCUGAUGUCGUACACACAAUCACCUUUCAGGGUUCUUGAACAAACCCCUUUAACAAUCGCAAAACGAGCUGAUCAUCAUCAAACUCUAGCCCCGGCGAGAACAGACUAGAUGGAGACACCAACAGCCCACGUGAUCACGCUCGACAUUCCAGGGAUGAAGAAAGAUAAUGUAAAGAUUGAAGUUGAAGAGAACAGAGUACUGAGAGUGAGUGGGGAGAGGAAGAGUAAUGAUUAUUACAAGGAGGGAGUUGAAGGAGAGAAAUGGCACAGAGCUGAGAGGACAUUUGGCAAGUUUUGGAGGCAGUUUAGGAUGCAUAUGAGUGCUGACUUGGAUCAUAUUAAGGCUCACAUGGAAAAUGGGAUUCUGAGGGUCACAGUGCCAACGCUUGCUGAGGAGAAGAAGAGGCAGCCUAAGGUUAUUAACAUUGAUGAAGAGUCUGGUAAUUCUUCCAAUGAAGAUAUUAAGGCUACCAAGGCUCAAAUGUAAUUGAUUAAAGAAAGAAGUGAUUGCUUUGCUUGAUGUGCUAUUUGUUUAUGAUCUUUUCUUGGUUUUGUUGUGAGAUGUUUCUAUUUGGAUGCUCUAUUUAAUGUAUUUUGAUGGGUUUUUGAGGAAGGCUUGUAUGUAUUGACAACAAUAAAGUGCUUUUUAUAAAUCCUAGUCCUCCAACACUAAAAGAAAUUAAUACGCUUGGUUUAUAGUUAAUAAAAAUAUAUAUAUUUUUAAAAAAAGUCUUUUUCUUUGGCAUAUAGUAUGCGUUUUGAGGGAAAAAAAAUUAUCCCACUCCUAAUUCGUCCUCUUCUGCGAUAUUAAUGUGUUAACACGAAGAUUCAUUGUAAUUGCAACAAUUUUGACGAAUCCAAACGUUCAAUAACUGUUAAAUUGUAUUUAUAAAUACUAAUAGCGAAGGUACAGAAACGAUUAAUUCACGAAGUUGCUUAAAGUGCAUUAAAUUAGAGAGUAUAAAUAAUUGUGUGAUACAGUCCAGCCUUCAUCUGCUUAUAAUUAGCAACCAAAAACCACUUUGCAACACCAUUAAAAAAACAUUUUAACAUUAUUGCUGAGGGAAGAGGCAGCUUAGGCUUAUUAACUCGUAUUAUUAAUGCUGAUGACGCAGCUGGUAAUCCUUUUGGUGAAUAUAUUAAGGCAGCUGAAGCUUAAAAUUAAUUAAGCCCACUAAAGCUUAAAACUAAUUCUUCUGGUGACGAUACUUUGCUUAGUUCGCUUUUUGUUUUUAAUUUUUUUGGGGCUAACGUUUUGCUUAUUUUGCUUUUAAAAUUCUAUUCGCGUUGCUGUGGAAUAUUGUUUCUCCUUCGAUUUUCUGUUUUUGUUGUUAUCGGAUUUGAUGAUGGUUUAUAUGUACGAAGAUUAUGUAAUAAAGUGCUUUUGUAAAAAUACUAAGGUAAUAUACAUUACACAUUUGUACUCAAUAAGAAAUCAAUUCAUUAAUAUAAGCAUUAAUACCCCUGGUUUAUUGUUAAUGAAAAUUAAAAAAGAAAAAAAAAAGUCUUUUUCUUUGGCCUUUAUUAUGGAUUUUAAGAGGAAAAAAAUUUAUCCCACUCCAAUUCAUGAAGAUAUUCUCUUUUCUGUCAUAAAGAUCCAUUGCAGUUGGUGAAUUCAAAUAUUCAGUAACUGAUGAAAUUGUAUUUAUAAAUUCAUACUAAUAGCAAUUGAAGAUUAUAAUUAAUUUUGUAAUAUGAUCUAGCCCUCGUGUGUUUAAUUAGCACUCAAAAACCACUUUACAUAAAUGAGGUUUCAACAGCUGAGAAAGAGAUAGCCAUUAUACAUUACACAUUUGCACUUAAUAAGAAAUCAAUUCAUUAAUAUAGCCAUUAAUACGCCUGGUUUAUUGUUAAUGAAAAUUAAAAGAGAAAAAAAAAGGUCUUUUUCUUUGGCCUUUAUUAUGCAUUUUAAGAGGAAAAAAAUUUAUCCCACUCCAAUUCAUGAAGAUAUUCUCGUUUCUGUCAUAUUGAUGUGUUAAUAUGAAGAUCCAUUGCAGUUGGUGAAUUCAAAUAUUCAGUAACUGAUGAAAUGGUAUUUAUUUAUAAAUUCAUACUAAUAGCGAUUGAAGAUUAUAAUUAAUUUUGUAAUAUGGUCAAGCCCUCGUGUGUUUAAUUAGCACUCAAAAACCGCAUUACAAUAGGCAUUAAAAGAACAUUAUAACGUCAUUGCUGAUGAGUUCUGGUGAAGAUAUUAAGUUAAGGCCACAAAAAUCGAAAUGUACGUAGCUUCGUUUGUUUUUUGUUUUUGAUUUUUUUUGGGGGGCAAAUGCUUGGCUUCGUUUGCUUUUUCGUUUUUGAUAUUUUAUUGGCUUUAUUGUGUGGCAUGUUCUUGUUUUCUUUUGAUUUUCUGUUUUGGUUGUUAUGGGAUUUGAUGACGAUGUACAUGUACAAAGAUUAUGUAAUAAAAUGCUUUUGAUAAAUUGUGGAACAAAAGAAGAACACUAACGAACUAAUUAAUUACUAAUAAGAACAUUAACAAUUUUUGCCGAAGUCUGAUGAAGAGAAAUAUUACACAUAAGUAACGGUACCGCGGAAGGAAAAAAUAAAAGAAACUAAAGUUUAUUUCAACAGCUAAGAAUGAAAUAGGCAUAAGAAAUUAACCCAUCAAUUAAUUAAUUAAUACAGUCCCCUGCUACUAAAUAAUGCGAGCCCCUUACUGUACUUAACAUUUUUCUUUUUAAUAAUUUAAAACAGUUUUCAACUGAGAUUUGAAUUUUAAAACUACAUACACAAAUACACCUGAUUUUAAAGAAAAAAAAUUUCUAAUAAUAAAAUAUUUUACAUAUAUAACCAUAUGGCGAAAAAAUAAAUAUAAGAAACUGAAGUUUCAACAACUGAGAAUGAGAUAGGCAUAAGAAAUUAAUUCAUUAAUUAAUUAAUAGAGUCCUCCUUUGCUAAGCUAAAUAAUGCGAGCCCAUUGUUCUUUUUAUUUCGAAAACCCAUUAAUCACCAACACAUAAUACACGCCCAACUUUUUUUUUAAAAAAAACCUAAUAAUAAAAUAUUUCAGUCGUCCUCUGUUGAGUCGUCCUCUGUUGAGUCGUCAUAAAAAACCCAUUUACCAGCUAUGACAGCAAGAGGAAUAUGGGUUAACAAGUCCCAAUAUUGUCCUCCAUCCUUUCUGCACUUCUUUUCUAUCAACGGACAAUCCACGAUUCUUAAUUGCAAAAGUGAGGAAGGCAGGCCCUUCUCCGGAAAGUAUUUGAGCUUGGGACAAUGAUAGAGACCCAAGUGAGUGAGGUUUUGAAGAUCAACAAUUGAAGAAGAUAGGCGUUCCAGAUUUGGAAAAUUGUAAAUCCACAGAGAUGUUAGAGAGGCAGGAAGAGGAAGCGCGGUCCCUAAUCUUUUGUCCUCUAGUGGAAAUGACACCAUGUCGUCAUCGCAUCCUAUGAUUUCAAGAUGUCGCAGACAGGAGAAUCUGUGAAAUCCCCGGCCCCGCUCAAUCAUUGACUUCCAAAUCUCCAUAUUACCCUCAAUCCAAAGUGAAUGAAGGUUGAUGGGAAGGCCAUCUUCUUCUUCAAGGCUUGGAAGCUCACCUCCUUUUCCUAUUGUUAAUUGUUGAAGAGAGGUCAGAUUGUGCAAUCCCUUGGGUAAGGCCUCUAGUCUCUUACAAUCAAGUAUCGUCAGCCUCGUGAGUUUCGCACAAGGGAAUGCCCCUUGGGGAAAGGACACUAGAUUUCCACAAUACGCUAUGCUAAUCUCUUGAAGCUGGCGGAGAUUAUGUAAACCACUCGGUAAAAUUUUCAGAUUUCCACAAUUAGAAAUGUCGAUUGUUUCAAGAGAUGUGUUGUUGUCCAACCUUUCUGCUAUUGACUCCAGCUUUGAACAUCCGCGAACAGAAAGGGACUUAAGAGACGGAGGUAGAUUGCCAACUUCAAGGGACUCAAGCGUGGCAGGUAACUCAUUUUUUGAAAAUAUACAUGUCAGUGAUGGACAGCUGUUAAUACGCAACUGCUCAAGAAGAGAUGAGGUGUACCUUCUAUUGCUGCUGCUGCUGCUACACUGGAUGCCCUCUUCCACUGUCAAAGUCCUUAUAUUACUGCAAUUGUUAAUCACCAACUGCUUAAGGCUCGGUGGUAGCUGGACUCCAGCAAUAUAUGUCAACGAAUGGCAAAAGCAAAUCUCCAAGAUCUCGAGAGAUGAAUUGGUGUCGCACAUCCAUGCCUCUGGUAAUGAUUUCAGUGCAUCACAUUCCCUAAUCUCAAUUGUCUUCAACUUGGAAGGCAGAGCAACCUCAGGAAAGGAAACAAGGGAACUGCACUUGUAGAUUUCUAUCUCUCUCAAGGAACUGAGACUGAGAGAUGAUUGUGGCAGCUUCACAAGGCCUUCGCAAUAUCUCAAUCUUAGAUAUUCGAGUCUGCAUGACAACUCGCAGAGCUGCUGUUGUUGGCCUUUCUCUUCCUCCGCCACCAAGGAUUGAAGUUUGGGACACCGUCUAAUCGUCAGUCUUCUGAGAGAGCAAAUGUCUUGCAGUAAUUCGUUAUGACUCUUCCAUAUAUAUGUCUGCUCUUUCAUUUCAUUUAUCUUCAAUUCUUCCAAUUUUGGUAGUCGCGGCUUUAAUGGCCCUGCGAGAAACACUUGAUUUGAUCUAUCUCUACAAACCACUGAAUUCUGUGAGCCGAGAUGAUCAGUUGCACUUCUCCACACAACCUUUUUACAUCCACCACUCUGUAAUUUGCAAAGAGCUGGAAGACUCGAAACUGAAACUGACAAUUCUUCACAUCCUUUAAUAACAAGCUUCUCCAAUGCAGGAAGGCGUUCUGGAAAUGUUCCUUGCAGCUUAGAACAUCUUAAAAUGUGAAGCUCUCUCAAUUUAGGAAACCGUUCAACUCCCUGACUGGAUCCAUGAGGAAUCCAGUCUUCCCAUCCUUGCAUGUCUUCAAAAUGAAGAGUCUCCAAGCAUGGAAAAGGAAUUGGAGUAUCAUUCCCAUAGAACUCUGAACCCAACCUCUUUACACUAGUCAUUCCACAUACUGCAAGAUGCUUUAGAGAGGGUAGUUGCCCGACUGACGGCAGGGUAGGACACAUGCCACAAUAUUCAAAUUUUAAGGUCACCAACUUUGAGAAUGAGGAAUCUCCGAACCAAGUUGGAAAUUUUGCACCUCUAUAGCCGCUGAUACAAAAUUGUUCCAAAUUUUUAUUGGGUUCUAGCAUGUCAAGCACGUCCUUUUCAAUUUCCGCCUCCCUUGAAGACGAGCCAUCGGUACUGAGUGUCCAUCGAAGCAAUAAUUCUCUAAGAUUCUUCUUUCCAUCCAAUUGAGCCUCCUUUGCAUCACCAACGUCUUUUACAUUCUCCAAUUUUGAAAUGUUAAGUGUCCCAUGAAGGUGCGUCAACAACUUUAGCUCUCGUAACCCGGAACCACUGCCUUUUCCCACAACAAAAUUACACAACGUCUGAAGACUAGUCAACCUACCAAUUCCUACUGGCAUUUCCUCCAACGACUUCGUAUUUGAAUUCUUAAGAUGAUGCAAUUUGGCGAGGUUUCCCAUGUCUGCACACAACUUCUUCAGCCGAUCACAAUCUUCCAACAAAAGACUAUGCAAAUUGUAAAGCUUGUUGACUGAUUCAGGCAGAGUUCUAAUCUCAGUUGUAGACAGGUUAAGGUACCUUAAAUACCUCAAAUCACCAAUUGAAUCCGGCAGCUCAGGGAUGCAGUAUCCACGCAAAGAGAAGACCCUCAAGCGUCGGAGUUUGAGCAACUUAGGAAGAAUGCUAGGAGCCAAGAAGCCAGGCGAACUUUUUGUCAACAUUACUGGUAAAAAAGUUCUCAAAUGCUGGAUAUCAUACAAGUCCCCAAACCUUUUACCGCCAUCAAAAUAUUCAGGAAUGUAUGAUAGAUGACGAAGAUUUUCGGAAAAACUUUGCUGCUUGUAAAUUUCUGAGGUAUACUCCAUUGUGAAGUAUAUCUCCCCCGCAGCCCAACGGGCAAGGUCAUUGAUAAGAUCGUGCAUCACAAAUCGUGAUGUAUUGUUGCUUAAUUGCUGGAAAAAAGAUCUUGAACGUAGCUCUUGAAAGAACUUUCGACCUAGAACUUCGUUAGGAUUCCCACUCUCUUUAUGAACCAAGAAACCCGAAGCACUCCAUAAUAAAAUUAUCUCCUCCUCUUCAAAUUCAUAAUCCUUCGGAAACAACGAGCAGUAUGCAAAGCAUUGUUUCAAAAUUGGAGGAAGAUAAUAAUAGCUCACUGCAAGAGCUGGUAUAAUGGGACAUCUAUCUUCUGGUAAUUCCCAUAUCUUGCUACUGAGCACAUCUUCCCACACACCUCUGUCAUGUUCUCCACAUAAAAGUCCUCCCAGUGUUUUUGCUGCCAAGGGAAAGCCAUUGCAUUUGAUCACUAUCUUCUUACCAAUGUCCUCCAAUGACUUGUGUGAACUGAAAUCUCUUGUCCCCAAAGAGUGCUGAGCAAACACAGACAGACAAUCCUCAGUUGACAAGUUUUUCAAUUCAUAAGCUUGAUCCGGCCUCAUGAUUUUUGCAACCUGUUGAUUGCGAGUAGUGACAACAAUCUUACUUCCCUGUGCGCCAGCUUCAAACGGACGGCUCAUGUCAACCCAGUCAUUGUAAUUCUCAUUCCAAACGUCGUCUAAAACGAGCAAAAAUUUCUUUUGAGAUAACUUCUUCUUCAGCUCCUCUUGAAGCAAAUUUAAAUCACUGUCAUCAAUAGUCUGCUUGGUAAUGGAUCUUAGAAUUUUUUUUGUUAGCCCCUUAACGUCGAAAUCCUCAGAGACACAAGUCCAUGCCUUGAGAUCAAAAUGAUCCUGCACUCGCUUAUCAUUGUAGACAAGCUGAGCAAGAGUGGUUUUGCCCAGGCCGCCCAUACCUAUAAUAGGAAUAACAGAGAAUCCACCAUCGUUGCUUAAAUCAUCCCUCAACAGCAGUUCAACAACAUCCUUCUUUUCUGUUUCCCUGCCAUAUACUUUGGCUUCAGUCACUAAAGAGGUUGUCUCCAGCCUUUGACUGGCUUUGUUGGACCCUCCAGCUGAACUUUCUUUCAAAUCUAGCAAGUUUUUCUGUGUCACAAUUUCUUGAAAUCUGCUGUUGAUCUCUUUGAUUUUGGACAUCAAGCCAUAAUCGAACUGAAUCGAUUGUGGAGUAAAAGUGGUGCAGCAAGCAGGAAUGAGCUUCCGAAACUUACUUGUUCUGGCACGACUGCUACUGGGUUGAUCAUGAGCAGCAGCUGGUUCUCCAUUUCCAAGCAGCAACAUCCUCCGGAAAGCCUCAGUUUGAAACUCAUCCAACAAGUCUUCAACAUCAUAAGCCAAGUUCUGAAGCUUGCCAAGCCACUUCUUCACAGACCGAUUAGUUGUCUUCUUCUCCUCAGCAUCAUCAAGCACCGCCUUGAUCAUCUCCAACAUAUUCUCCCACUUCAUUAGAUAGUCUUGGAUCUUCUCUUGGCGUGCAAAAAACAGAAUCCCCUCUGAAGCUAACUUAUUGACCAGCAAAUCAACAGAUGCCGUAAGGAUUGCCUCUCCGAUGAUCGACAUUUUUUUUCUUUUUUUUGGGCAAAGGAAGAAAGGAGCAGAAUUAUGGGUUAUGGAAAGCAGAAUGAGAAUAUUGAACGGGUGAGAAAAUGGAUAAUUAAGCGGAAUGAGUUUGUGAUUGUGAAGGGUCUGGUACAGCAAGCUUAGUAGAAAUCACGCGUUUGUACUUUAUUGACCAAUGACUAAAUAAUUUGGCAAUGCACCCACCACCACCACUUGGUGAGCAAAAUGAAAAAGUUUAAUAAGUGGAGGGGUCCAGCAAAAUACGACGUAAAAUGUGGCAAGUCUCCCCACUUGUUGUUCGUUGCAGCUAAGAAAAGAAAAAACAGAGCCCACCACCCAUUAAUAAUUUAGCAAAUCACCAAUCAUCACAAAAUUCCAUUAGAUAUUCGUCGAUCAAGUAGUUAAUCCAGUGUCUGCUACGUAGAGCCUUCACUUUACAAAUCUUCAACUCAUAAACCAAGUUAAAUCAAGACGUUUCUCUCUCUGUAUAUAUAUUUUUUAACUCCUAAAACGUUUCUUUUUAGAAAUAUUUUACUUUAUUCAUCUAAUAUGUUAUCUAACAAAUAGACACAGAUGAAAUCACUCUAAAGUGAAGAUGAAAGGGGAAAAAAAAAACAUUCAACCACCAAUAAUUUAGCAAGCUUCACUUUUAUUCCACCAAAGUGUAAAUAAAGCCAGCCCCCACCACCAUCGAUAAUUUUGCAAGCUUCACACGCUUGUUGUCUUCUCCUUGACGAACUGGACGGGGUGGACCAAGAAUCAAUGAAAGAAUUUUAAAAAUAAUAAUAAAAGAAAAACAUAAACAUUUUGGACUCAGAGUAGAACCGUAAUUAAUGCUAAAAUUUACUCCGCUAACGUUUUCAAAAUAUUGUUCUUUACAAUUGUACAGCAAAUAAGACUAAGUUUUGGACAUUUUCGUAUUCACUUACUUUCAAAAGCAGUAUUUCGAAACAUUUUACAGAAUCAAGUAACAGUUAUAUAACGAGAAAAGUGCAAAGUUGUGUAAUUCAGAUCAUUUUUUAUUUGGGUCGCCAACUCGCCAAUGAACCCAUGAUUGAAUGAGUGUUUAGAAAGAAAAUCAAUAAAAAACAGUUUUUUUUUUGUCGUUGAAAUAUAGUAAGUGAGAAAGAUUAUUCUGUUUUUUUUGUUAAUUAGGUUAGUAAUUAUGAUUGAGUGACUCAGAACUAUAUUCUAGAUUGAGAAUCAAUGGUUCUCCCACACUGAGAGGCUGUAAGUUUAAGAUUGUCGUUUGCUAUUUCAUCAACAAGAGAACACUUGAAUUUAUUAAAAAGAGAAGGCCAUAAAAGUUUUCUUUUAUGAGAAAUGUAUCUGAUCAUUCCUUUUUACUUGAAAAUUUCAUAUAUAAAAACUCAUUAAUAAAUGACAGAAUAUACAUAAAUUAUUAAUUCAUUUGAUAGUUGAUUAUCGAAGGACAUGUGACCCAUGGGAGCAUGCAGACUAUAAAAUAAUUCUUUUUUUUAUUAAACAAAAAAUCGGUGAUGUUGAAAAGCAAUAUUAAUUCGACUGAUAAUUGGGGUGAACAUUCAUAAAAAGAAUGCCGUAUGAAACUAAAUUAUUAAUUCGUUUGACAUGUGACCCACAAUAAAUAGUUAAAUUUGGCGGCAACAAUAAUUACAAGACGAACUUAAAGCAGCGCAUAGGUUUUUCUUAAAAAUACAUAAACAAUUCGAUAUUUGAAAUUCUAAUAUCUCAAUAAUAUUGAUCAUGAUUCAGUUACCAAUUAGAUCCACUUACAAUUUCUUUUUUUCUUUUUUCUGGUUUCCAAUCUUUACCUAAAGAAAAUAUUUAGUGAUCCCUUUUAUCAACUUGGUUUUAUUGACUUUCUUCCAAUCAUAGAAGUGAAAAGAGAAACAGAGGCCAGCACCAAUCAGUGUUACCAGAUUCUGUAAAGGCAAAAUCAGUGCCCAGCAAAAAGAAGCUAUGUUUUCGUUAUAUGCUGCUUCCUAUUUAGUACAUGCAUAUAAAGAUAUACACGUGCACAUGCAGUACAUCUAUCUAAAAUUUAAAAAACGGAAUUAGAAAUACAGGAUUAAUGGUAGAAAUACAACAGGAAUAAAAGUGAAAUAAGCAGAAUGAGUUUGUGAUUCUGUCUAGCAAGCCUAGAAAUCAAGCAAAACCCACCAUAAAAGCGAAAAGCAAAACGGAGCCCACCACAAAUAUAAAAUCAGAGGAGCACAGAAUUUAAAAAAAAAACAAAAGAAAAGAAAAAGCCAAGCCAAGAAUCAUAUGCCUUUGCUUUACAUAUUAAAUUAACAUAAAAGCCAAGCGAGGAAUCCUGCCUUUGCUUGAUAUUUGACAAGAUUAAUUGGACAUUACACAUUAUUUCACAGAGAAUAAAACUUGUAUAGAACCAAACCCAUCAAACCCUUUCUUUAUCUUAAAUGUCAGAAAUAUAAUUAGCUUGGAAUAAAGCUAUACUCUUCUCCCUUUUCCAUUGCUACAGGUUCAUAUAGGCAUAUCAUAUGGAUUUUGUUUUAUGCUAGGUAAUUAUUAAUUUAUAUAAUAAUAUAUUUCCCUCAAAAUAUACUACUUGAAUUUGAAAUAAUUUUUUAAAAUAAUUUAAUAUCACAAUAAUAGUCAUGAUUCAAUUCGGUUUAGUUUAAUUUUUUUAGAGAAAAAAUUUGAGAAAAUAGACAAAUAAUGAAGACGCAAUUGAAGCACAACCAAUAAACAGGGUAAAGUGAAUUGCGUCCUGUCCUUGAGCACUCAAUUCUCUUCAAUCUCAAAUUUAUACGUACAUUUUUGUAAAUUCAUGUCAUAUACUAGAGUCUUUUGGGUUCUGUUAUAUCAAUUGUUUCGUGUUUAUCUUGUUUUAUUAAUUUAUGGAGCAAGAUUGCUAGUAGCGAUAAACCUGGAAUAAAACGAUUUAUUUAUUUUAUAUAUAUUUUGCGUUGUUAUCAGCAAAAAAUAUGAUGGGUUUCGUUUGUAACAACUAGCUAAUUGCUUAAUACAUUUUUGUACUUCUCGUCGUGAAGUCACGAGGAACUUGUAAAUAAGAUCAUAGACGUGGUACGAUGUGACGUGAUAAAUUUAAAUCAAAUCUAAACUAAGAUGGUUCAUAUAUAGUUAAAUCAAAUCUAAACUAAGAUGGUUCAUAUAUAGUUACAUACUGAAUAAAGAUAUUUAAACAUAAGCAUUCAAUUUUAUGAUAUACCUAAUAGUCAUUGGCUUAUAGUUAUUAAAGGAACUGAAUAGAAAUAGACGAAGAAAGUGAAAAAGAUGAAUUAGCGCACAUGAUGAUUUCUCAGAUAAAAAGUUAAAUUUAUAUUCUUUUUUUUAAUAAGUGUGAGAUGAUUUACACCCUAAAAUUUAUUUUGAGCACUCAUAUUUUUAUUACAAAAAACCCUAUAAUUCAAUUUACUGGUAUGGACAAUUCAAUAAAAGUAAAUAGAACAAUAAUACUUUCGACACCAUCAGGCUAUAGCGCGCACGCACGCACCCACAUAAAAAUGAUACAAAUUUAAAAGCAUAUUUAACAAGUUGGCUAUAGGCAACAAUAAUACUUUCGACACCAUCAGGCUAUAGCGCGCGCGCACCCACAUAAAAGUGCUUAAUACAGUGAAAUUAACGUUCAGCUCACGAAGUCGCCAUUAUAUUUAUUGAAAAAGAGAUUAGUACAAGACAUUGAAAAUUAAUUGACAUUGGAUUAGUUGUUAAUUAUGAUCUUGGUCUUUUAAUUAUCAUCUAGCCAACACAGGUCCACUAGUUUCAUUUGUGUCAAUCACUGAAAAGUAGAGCUUGAUUGAACAGCGCAUAUUACAUCACAUAAACUCACUCAAUUUUCAUUGCCAUACGUGUAGCUCAAAAGUACAUAUUAUAUCAGUGAACAUGGAACAUUCAGCUAACCUACACUAAUUAAUACAUACGACCAUCAGUUAAUAGUACCCAGCAACAUCCAUCCAUUAGAGUGGAACUCCCAGUGAUUUCGUACGUACAAAAGACAAUAUUUGACAAUCACAAAAACAAAAACAAUUUACUCCAAUAAACAACAUAACAAAUACAUGGUUGAUAUUGCAAGUUUUUUUUUUAUGAUUUUAGUUAAAACAGAAAGUAUGAAGGACAUAUUUAUAUAUAAUAGAAUGUUAUAUAUAAUGUUAUCCUUGAUAAUUAGAUAAAAUAAGACUAAUCUACCUAACUAAUCCAAUCAUCAUACUAAUCCAAUUUUCAAUAUUUAAUUAUGUCCAGUCACGCUAAUUUAAUAAAGAACACUGAACACUUGAAUAUUUAUAUAUUCAACAACAUUGGCCAUGGUUGAAAAAGACCAUAGCUGCAUCUAUGCUUUGUGUUGUAAAUUAGGACAUGAUCAUAUAAAUAUUGAUUGUUUCAAAUUAGAUUAUACAAAGAUGAAAAAAUGCUAAUCUAGAAAAUUCAAUCAUAAUAAUUUGAUUUCCAUUAUAUUAAUUAUGUUCAAUCAAGCUAGUUUAAUAAAGAACACUCGAGCAUUUAUAUAUACUCAACUUAUGAAAUUUAAUUACAAAACAAUCUUUAACAAAGUCUGAUGAAAAGAUCAUAUUAUAGGUACAAAGUUAGACUUCCCAAUCAAGCAACUAUCCAUCAAAUUGUGUGUUGUGUUACCGUUGAGCUCUUAUGUUAAUUACGGCCAGACCGCGCUUUGGCUAACAGUGAGACAUAUGCGGACAUAAGAUCUGCAAAUGAGGUGCUGCGAACGAGCGAUGUACUGUUUUUAUGCGACAUGCUAUGUACUCUGUUUUUAUGGUCUUUCUUUUUGUGGUUGUUGGACUAACUGUAAUGUGAAUUUCUAUCUAAUGAACAUCCUAAUCCUUUGAGUUAUUUUGGGAUUGUUGAUUUAUAUAUAAUGUUUAGUAUCCAAAAUUCAGAUGAUGAUAAUCUUCGCAGUAGUUUUGUCAAGUUUUCUUUUGUGUUGGUUUUGGUAUUUUAAUUUUGUACGUACCUAAUGUUAAGGUCAAUAGGGACCUAAUUUAAAAACUAUUAUAAUUUUACAUAUAUAGAUACAAAUUCAUGUUUAAGAAUCCUUUUAAUCAACCAUUCCAGUGUUUUAUAUUGAGUAAUUGGUUCAAUAUUAAUACAAACUAUUUUAAGUAACAUGUGGCAAAUUCUAGUGAGCUCCAACUCCGACGAUCGAUUUAUUUUUUUCUUUUUUUUAGGACAAAGAAAGAAACCAAAUUACGAGCUUGUGAAAAGCAGAAUGAGAAAAGUGAGUAAGCAGAGUUUGUGAUUGUGUCUAGUAAGCCUAGAAAUCAAGCAAAACCCACUAUAAAUAUAAAAUCAGAGGAGCACAGAAAUUCUAAGGAAAAAAAAAAGGAAAAAGCCAAGCCAAGAAUCAUAUGCCUUUGCUUUACAUAUUAAAUUAAAAUAAAAGCCAAGCCUGGAAUCCUGCCUUUGCUUGAUAUUUGACAAGAUUAAUUGGACAUUACACAGAGAAUAAAACUUGUAAAGAACCAAACCCAUCAAACCCUUUCUUUAUCUUAAAUGUCAGGAAUAUAAUUAGCUUGGAAUACAGUUAUACUCUUCUCCUUUCUCCAUUGGUACAGGUUAAUCUCAACUGUUUGAAGAGAGUCUAUCAAUUCUUCUUAGCUAAGAAUAUAAAAAAUGUAUAAACUUAACAGCUAAUGACAUAAUUAACAUAACACAAUUAUUACACUAAAUGAAAGAAAAGAAUUUAACAAGCUUCCGCACAGUCUUGUUUCAGGCUGGACAUUGGUGAAUUGACCAAAAGAUCAAUAAAAGAAUCUCAAAAAACCAAAUGGAAAUGGGACUAAUUUUCAGAUUUUUUCAAAUUACACUUAUUUACAAAAGCAAUACAAAAUGAUUUCCUUUUCAAAUUACACAUAUUUACUAAUAGUGGUGAUUAAUUUAUUUAGCUUGUCAUAGUUUUCAAUUAAGAAUGAAGUUCAAUCAAUUUAUUUGGGGGGGGCGGGGGGGGGCAAAGAUAUUUUUUAUUUUUUUGGGGCAAAAAAAAACAUAAUUUUAUUUUUUUUUCUUUUAGAUUUUAAUUCCUAGGAUCUAAUUUCACUAUGUUUCGAUUAUUGAUGUUGCUGAAGAGGGCAGUACAAGCUUGCUGAAAGUCAUCAAAUGCUUGCAUCUCAUCUCACAAAUUGGGCAAAUAUCGGUUGGUUUCUCUACGGUUUGCCAUCAUGAAUUGAAAGUGACAACAACCACCAACUUAAAAAUAAUUUCAAGUAUCUUUUUUACUUGAAAUCCUUGAAAAGAAAAAUUAAUCAGAUUGAAUUAUACAUAUAUGUUUGAGGGAAAGAUAGGAAAGGUAAUAGAGCGCCACGUGUCUGCCAAUGGAAUGAUAUCAGCACAAUCGGAGGUACCCUGCAUAAUCCGAGGUGCCCGACAUGACUUGAGGUACCCCGUAUAAAUAGAGGUACCCUGCACAAUUAGAGGUAUCCCACACAAAUAGAGGUACCCCAUACAAAUAGAGGUACCCCAUACAGAUAGGGGUACCCUGUGUAAUAGGGGUACCCUGCGUAAUAGGGGGUACCCCAUGUAAUUCGAGGUACCAGGCAAAGCGGAUGCAAGAGAAUCCACCGAAAAUACCCGCCAUGAGAAACGUCUCCGCCUCCUAAAAGAUAUCAUUUGAUUUUUUCAGAAUUAGGAAUCAAAAGCGACGUGCUAAAAGGAGGGACAGCCGCCUGCUACCUCUGCCAAAAGUGAAGGACACUGUCCCAAGGACAGUGGUCCCUAGCCGCCUACCUGACAGCUACUGCAGAGGUACCCUGGACCACUCUCCAGCGCGCGCCACGUUUCCAAAAGAUGAGAUACGCCGCGAAUAUGCAAAUAACGGCCCAAAAAUAAUUAUAAAGAGGUAAAAGGACGUUAGCCAAAAAGGGUACGCCACGUGGCAGCUGAGGUACUCCAUAUAUAAAGGUGCCUAGAUUUCAUUCUCCAGGAUGCUCUCAUUCGCCCAAAAAUACUCACACUCCAAAAAAGAGGUUUUCUUCAACCUUAAACCCUAAUUUACAGAGGGCUAGCUAGCUCUCUUUGCCAUAAAAGCUUGAGUUUGCUAACUUGAGCGUCGGAGUGUGAACGCCGAGGUACCCCGGCUUCACCUCUAACCUCCAUUUCACUGUUUUGCAGGCGUGAAGCUCAUUUUGAAGGACACCUCUCUUGUUUCUGACCUUCCACCAUUGUUACCACUCUCUCUCCCCUUCUCACCUCCCACGAAUUUCAGAUACACCGCACCGCGCACAACAAACCAGUGAGGUACCCCAUCUCCCCUCAAAAUAACAAAUUUAUUGUUCUAGAUUGGUUUGGUUUUUCUUACCCCAAAAUCAGUUGAAAACAAUAUACAUAAAUUCGAUACCAGUUGAAAAUGUGAGUAUGAUUAAUUAAUAAGAGAGAACAAGAAUUGAUCAUGUCCCAAAACAGAGAAAACUAGAUUGUGCAAACUUGCGUGCGCAUAUCAUAUGUUAAUCUUAAUAUUUUGUUGCUGAAAAUUAAUUAAUUAGUUCCACUACUCCCUUUCUUAAUUUUGUGUUAUGUACCCCAUUGGCAACUUCUGAAAUAUGUUGCAUAUUUGUUAAUUCAAAGAAAUAGAACUUUUGUAUCAAUCAGACUUUACUUUAUUAACAUUCUUCAUCAUUAUGAUUAAUGGCUUAGCAAAUGUAGGAGGAGGGUCAGCCAAAAUAAAUAAAGUACUUUCUCAUGCAUUAACCUUUAUUAAAAGGCCUUAUUAAUUGUUGCAGUUAAAAAAAAAANNNNNNNNNNNNNNNNNNNNNNNNNNNNNNNNNNNNNNNNNNNNNNNNNNNNNNNNNNNNNNNNNNNNNNNNNNNNNNNNNNNNNNNNNNNNNNNNNNNNUACUCUAUUUUUUUGUCGUUAUUCAGCCGAGCCGUUAGAUUUUACUUACGUUGAUCUAACAGUUGGGAUUUGUAAAUGAAUAACGAAGUGGCGUUUGGCUACCGUCUGAACCCACAACGUCUAGUUGGUUUUGUGAUUUUUUACUAUCUUCUCUGUAACGCUUGACUAGUUCUGGAAUUGUCGACCGCUAUCGACAGCAAAUCUGAAGCAUGCAUUAUUUUUGGGCAUCGAUUUUUCUUCUUUGAAUCUGAUAUUCAUUUCUUUUCUGUGGCAAUAAUAUCAUAAACUAAUAUUUCCUAUUUUAUUACGAAGGUUUAAAGUUCACCUUUCACACUAAUGUCAUUCAGUUCUUGAAUUCUUGAUAGGUUAAAGUUUUUGUGAAGCGCUAAUCAAAUAUGUCAUACAUCAAAAUGCAGGUCUUGCAUUUCAAUCGUUGAAUACUGCCCCUUCUCUUACUAAUUUUCAAAUUCGUACUAUCUUAUAAUUGGAUCAUCGAUAUUUUAAGCGCCAGACCUUAAUAAAACUAAAAUUGUCCUUAAUAUUAAUAAUAUUAAUCACUUAUAUAAUAUUGGCUUAAAUUUUUUAGUAGAUAAUUAAAUUAACUUUUACUAAUUUACUAACAACCCCUUAAAUUAAUUAUGUAGUUCGCGACCUAUUUUCCUCAUAAAUAAGAGUAGAUGAUUAAAGCCUCCUUUAGUCGAUGGGCCAUAAUCAUUUGAAAUUUGCGUUGCUUUUUCUAUGUAGGACUAAGAGAUGUACCUCAAUUCUUUUGAACGCAUGUAAAGUAAAUUCAUAAGCUUCGAAGAAGUAAAUUAGUCAAACUAAUCAAAACAUCCAUUAAGCUGGUCAGAGGAUCAGACCGCUCUCUAUCCACCCUUAUCACCGCCUGGUCCAAACUCAUUUUUCUUUGAAAAUAGACAAAUAAUAAAGCCACUACAAGUUAAGCAGAUCAAAUAAACAGAGGAAAUAGCUGAUCAAUUCUUUGUGCAAUGGCCACAGCAACAACAAAAAUAUGUCUACAUGACUACAUUAAUCCGACUGGCGUGGUACCAUCGCCAUGCAGCAUUACAGCAACAUUUGAUCAUCUAUCAAUUUUCAUGAUAUGAGAUUAGAAACAUUGAGUUUAUAAUUUUAUGUAAUUUCAUAGAAAAGAUAUAAUUGAUUUGAGUUAGUUUAACAUAUAAGGAAGGAGUAAUGAGGAAUGAUAUCGCUGUGGCAUGUGCUGAGUAAAGAUAGACAACAAAUAUUGAUCAUGUAAUAGUGAAAUAUGUAUUUAUAGAAAAAUAUUUGGCAAUAAAAUGAUGCUAUAAGAAUUUAAUAUUAGUUGCAAGAAAAUAAAUUGACAAUUAAAUUAAUAGAUAUAUAUGCAAUGCUUCGAGUUUAUCUUAUCAAUUUGAUAACCAUUUUGUAACUACAUAUUAAUUAGAAGUUCAAUUAAUUUUGACCAAAGACUCCAGAGAAUGUGGAGAAGAGAUUUGAUUUUGGUAUUAAUAAAAAUAGAAAUGAAAUAAGUCAAAAACAAUUACAAGAACAACAAUAAAAGCAUAUUUUAUAAAAGCCACAAAUACAUAAUAUAAAUUUGAUUUUGAAUUACGCAAUUACUAAUUUAUAUAGUAAGAGGGUCUUAUAGAAAAAUAGGAAUUUUUUAAAAGAGAUUUGUUAAAGGAAAAAGUUUAGUUUGGUCUAGUUCGUGAAGGCUCAAGUAAUUGAAUGCAAUGCAAGUGAAAGAAACACAAACUUCUAAUUUUUACGAAGUAAUCGCUAAAAUAUUUGACAAGUUUGAGAUUUUAAAAAGGCUGGGAAAAUAGACCAAUAAUAAAGACCCUACAAGUUAGCAUAACAAAUAAACAGAUGAAAACAGGGUAGAUAUUUACCAUUAUACAUAGAUAUAUAACGAAUGUUGCGAAUUUUUUAUAAUAGAGAACAUAACUCAUGGUUUAGCAAUAAUCAUCGGCUCACUGGCCGUUAGUUCAGAACGACAAUUCUUAUUAGUCAAAGAAUCAAAAUGAUUUUUAGUUGUUUAUAAGUAGAGCACUAGAUCAACAAAUAAUUGAAGACUUGCUUUUGCUAUUGAACCAUGGGAUGGCAAUUCGAAGACUAGAGCUUAAGUCUGCCAUUCGAAGUAAGCAACUCAGCUGCCCAAAGACUGCCAAGCCACCAAGACAAUGCGAAGAUACGACAUCAAGAAUUACAUACAGGCCAUCUCAUAUUACAUCUCUCCUCUGUUUUAAGAGAGAUUUACGAACCCACGCACUAGGAGUAAUUCAUUAAUCUAUACAGUUCAGUACUCAUUCCUCCUCUAUUUCGAAUCCAAACCAUUUAUUAUGACGCAAGGUACAUGGGUUAGCAGGUGCCGAUAUUGUCCUCCAUCCUUUUGUAUACGUUUCUUCUAUCGGAACAAUUUACAAUUAAAUAAAUCAUUCAAAAUCUCCUUUAGUCGAACCCCCAUUUAUAUGGUUUAAUUAAAUAUCACAAAGUUGCCUAAUACAGAGAAAUUAACAAAUUCAGCCCAUGAGAGUGCCGUUUUAAUGCAAGAAAUUGAAAGUUAAUUAACACUGGAUUAUGUUGGAUUGUUACUUGUUAAUUACGAUGGGAAUAUAAUCUUGGUCCUUUUAUUAUCAUCUAGCCAACCCAUGCGCAAUAGCUUCAUUUGUGUUUGUCACUAAAGAGUAAAGUUGCUUGAUUGAACGGUAUCAUAUGACAGAAACUCAAAACUCUAUCAUUGUCCGAGUAUACCAUGCCACAUAUGUAGCUCAAAGGUACAAUAACAUUGAACAUUCAGCUAGCUAGCUCAUACUAAUUAAUUUAUAGGAUUGUUAGUUCUUUAUGAUUAACUAAAAGUGAAAAAAAAUUGACAAUCACGAAAACAAUAACAAUUCACUCCCAUAAAUAACAAAAUAAAUGCAUAGUCUAUAUUGCAAGUCUUUUUAUGAUUUUAAUUAAAAGAGAAACUACGAAGGACAUAUUAUAUAUAAUUGAAUGUUCUCCUUGAUAAUUAGACAAAAUAACAUCAAUCUGGCUAGCUAAUCUGAUCAUCAUAAUAAUUCGAUUUUCAAUAUUUAAUUAUGUCCAAUCAUGCUAAUUUAAUAAAGAACACUAAAAACUUGAGUAUUUAUAUUUUCAACAACUUUGGCUAAGUUAAAAAAAAAAUAUUAGAGCUGCAUUUAUGCUUUCUGUUAUUAAGUAGGCCAUGAACAUAUUAUGUUGCAUUUGUUUGAAAAUUAUUGAAAAAAAAUCUUAAAAGAGGUGUGUUGAAUUGUGAGCCGGAAACUGAGUUGUACACGUUUCUGAGAUGUCGGUUUACAGCCCUGAUUGUGCAUGCCCUGUCGGUUUCUGGAUAAAACAAAAGAAUAUUGACAUCUAUGUAUUGUCGUUUACUUCCUGUAAGUAAAUCACAUGUUCUUCACGUGAUUUCACUUACUCUAUACGGCACAUUUGGCAGUCAUUUUGGUCACUUACCGAAGCGCGAGUUAGUACUUGAUUCAAGGUUGUUAACUGACCUUUACAAGGUGGGAAAAUUCUGGGUUUGUUAAUGUAGCUGGUGAGUGCGGGACCUUUCUAUAUUCUUCAUGAUCUGUAUAUAUAGUCUUAGAGGCUAUAUUUGAGACAUAUGAAAAGCUUGUAACUUCUUGGUGAUGGAGAUAAGAUUGCUACCUUGUUCUUCAGUGGAUAAGAUCGUCCAAGCCGAACCACUUAAAUUGUGCCUCUGUUUUGCUUGUUUCUGUUCUUAUUCUUGGGAGGUGUGUGAUUUGCUAGCAAUUAGAGAGUUUAGUGAGAUCUUUCUGGUUUUAGGUUGAGUUUAAUGGAUCAAGAAUCAACAAGAUGUAAUGAAAACAAAAUGAGAGAAUAAUGCACACACAUCACAGCAAUGCUUCAUUCAUUUUGAAUCUAUAUAUACAAAAUUUGUAUCGGAUGGUUUACGUUUGUUUAAUCCAAUGGCUAUAACAUGUGUACCAUCAAAAGCUACAGUAGCCGUCUUUGUUUGUCCUCGUGGCAUCCUUGAUCUUAUAUUAUCCUGGUGGUUCUUGAAAGUUCUUCUCAUUCCCAAGUGCUGAGUUGCUUGCUGAGAUGAUGAAUACUUGAUGGUCCUUCCUUGAGACAUUUGAUGAGAAAUGAUGUAAUCAAUAUAGAUCUAUUUUGAAAAAUCAAUAUAAAUCAAUCCCCUUAGAUUCUCUUUGUCUCGUAGCACAAUGGGUGGUGAUUUGAUGAGAAAUAUUAGUAUGCAUGCAUCCCCUGCAUUCGUAAGAGCUGCUCGUCUUUUUCUUCUUUCUUUUGGGUACUUUUUUAUUUUCAUUCAGUCAAAUUCAGUUGCAAUCAGAUAUUAAGUAUAUUUGCCAGAAUGGAUGCAACAAAAAUUCUAUCUGAUCUGUAGUUCAUGAAAAGCGGCCGAAUGCUUCCGGCAAUUCAAGCAGAUAGAAGCUUGGUUGAUUGAUUGCUCUUCAUGUGAAAUUCUACCUAAUGGCUAUACUUUUAAUGGUUUAAAUUCUUCUUUUUUUCUUUUAAUUGUUGAUUUAUACUGUCUUGUUUGCAAAUUAAAUUCGAAAUUUCGGAUGAUGAUAAUCUUGAUUUAGAACAGAUUAGGUAACAUGUGGCAUUCUACAAUCUUGCAAUGCCAUUUCUUGUUAUGGCAGCAGCAUUUUUUUCUCAAUUGUUUGUGUGGACUAAUUUUCUGAAUUCAAAACUUGGCGUAUUAAAACGGCAUCGUUUUGUCUAUUAAGAUUUUUCAACUGUUCAUGAAUGUGUUUUUGCUAAGGACAGCCUAAGUUUUAAGUUCUGCACGUGACAAGCACGUGAGAGAAGAAUCAAGUUAGUUAUAAGUUGUUAUACACGUGGCUGGAUCUGGUGCAAUCUGGUGUUAUGAACAGCCGUUAUAUAAGCUGAGCUUUUCAGGCAGUUUCAGCAAGAUGUAAAGAGCUUUCUAGAGAGAAUGAAGAGAGAGAGAAACUAUCAUCUUAUUCCUUGUUAGUUUCUCCGUGUGAUCUCUGUAAAAUUACUUUGAAUCAUAAAUAAAACUCAUUUUGGUCGAUUCUCCCUUGGAUGUAAGUUGUGCCUAAUUGCACAGCUGAACCACGUAAACAGUGCUGGUUUCUGCGUGUGAUUGUUUGUUAAUCUUGCUUAUUUCUUGUUUCCUAAUGGCUGAAAUCUUGCUUUAAGUUCUCAACUCAUCUAUUGAGUUCAUCGAGGUCAUUCAAUUGUUCAUAUGUAGCUAGUUUGAUCUUGAACAAGGUCUUGGGCAGUGUUUUGAUAGCUUGAUUAGCGGCUAUCUUGACAGUACAAUUGGUAUCAGAACUAGUUCUUCAGAUCAAGAUCCAAGUAUGGCUACAUCAAAGAUUGAUCUUGAGCUUGUAGACUCAGUGAUAAGGGAAGUGGCAAAAGAAUCCACGCUUGCUGACUUAUGGGCUAAGUUGGAGAGUAUGUACAUGAGAAAAUCCCUUGCUAACAGAUUGUACAUAAAGAAGGGGAUGUUUACCUUAAAGAUGAUUGAAGGCUCAUCUCUUGAUGAUCAUAUUGAUGGGUUCAACAAAGUCUGUGACACUUUGAAAAGCAUUGAUGCAGAAUUAAAUGAUGAAGAUAAAGCCUUGCUAUUAAUGAGCUCUCUUCCCAAAGUCCUAUGAGCAUUUUGUUGAUGGCUUGAUGUGUGCAUAUAUGCAUAUCAUAAAUUUUAUUUUAUGAUCGCGGCUAAUCCGACGACUUUCGAGUACAUUCAUUCAAAUAUUAAACGUACCAAGUCUACAGAUUUACGUUUUGCCAUUUGUGGCAGGAUAGCAAAAAUUACAAAUGGUCAUUCCCAGCACGAACACCUAUGGCUCUUUUCCUUUAAUUUUCUUCUUAGAAUUUUCCUUUGAUUAAUCAUUAGAAAAACUGCUUUCUUUUUUUUUUUCUUUUUUUAAACAUGUGCCGUUAACAUUUACAUGGUUAAUCUCAUCGAAAUCAAAUGGUUGUUAUUCCCAUUGCAACCAUAUAUUGUUAUAAAUUGCAUUGUUUCCUAUAACAAAUAUAAUAAAAUCUCAAUAAAUUAAUAGUUCUGGGACCAAUGAAAAAUUAGUUAAAAUUUAACGAAUAUCAAUUAGUCGAUAAGUUAAUAAAUUAUUAAUUUAUGAAAAUAUUCAUUAUUUUGGGAAAAAAAUGAUUACGUUUAUAGUAUUGAUUUACCUUGAGUUAGAAGCUAUUACGUUUUAUUUGAAUAGUAGUUUUCUUUUAAGAAGAUUUUUUAAUUAUAAAGACUAUUGUAUGAUUUUUAUUUUUCCAUGUUAGAGAUGAUAGUUCUGCUAUACAAGCUGUUUCGAUCAAAGGAUUAGAUGAUAUUGACAUUGAAUAAUUUUUUGUUGCAAAAUGACAACACCAAUUAGAAUUUCUUUUCGCAUUACAAAAGUAAAAAAUGAAAUCCAAUUCUAAAUUAAUUUACAAAGAAAUAAACUAUGCUGAGAAUAUAUUUUACACAAGCCAUAUAGACAUAUCAUAUGGAUUUUAUUUUAUACUAGGUAAUUAUUAAUCUAUGUAGUAAUAUAUUUCCUUCAAAAUGUACUAUUUGAUUUUGAAAUUAUUUUUUAAAAAUUUAAUAUCACAAUAAUAGUCAUGAUUCCAUCGGUUUGAGGUUUUUUUCUUUUUUUUGUUUAAGAAAAAAGAUGGGAAAAUAGCCAAAUGAUGAAAACACAAGCUAAGCAGAGCCAAUAAAUAGUGGAAAGUGAAUUACUGUCCUUGAACACGUUCUCUAAUAAUCUCAAUAUUCUACAUACAUUUUUGUAAAUUCGUGUCGCAUACAAAAGUCUUAUGGGUUUUGUUGCAUCAAUUCUUUGGUGAUUUAUCUUGUUUUAUUAUUUUACGACGCAAGAGUCCUCGAAGCAAUACAUUUGGAAUAAAACGAUUUAAUUUAUUUUUUGUUGUUAUUAACAAAAACUAUAUAUUAUUAAUUAAUCAACUCAUCGAGAUAUUGGUUUCAUUUGUAACAAGUAGCUAAUUGCUUAGUACAUUGUUGUACUUACUCGUUAUCAUAUCAAGAAGAACUUGUAAAUAAGAACAUAGACGUGGUACGCUGUGAUGUGAUAAAUUUAAUUCAAAUCUAAAUUAAGAGAUGAUUCAUAUAUAUAGGUACAUACCGAACAAAGAUAUUCAAACAUAAGCACUCCAUUUUAUGAUAUACCUAAUGAUAAUCGGUUUAUUGUCCAUAGGAAAUUGAGUGAAUAGAAACAGAUGUAGAAAGUCAAAAAGACGAAAAAGCGCACAUGACGAUUUAUAAAAUAAUAAAUUAAAUUUAUAUCGUUUUUAAUAAGUGUGAGAUUAUUUGCAUUUUAAAAUUUAUUUUGAAUGCUCUUAUUUUUUAUUACAAAACCUCAUAAUUCAAUUUACUAUUAAGAACAAUUCAAUAUAAAUAAAUAGAACAAUAAUACCUUUGACACCCACCUAGAGCGCACACACCCAUGUAAAAUUAUUAAACCUUAAACCGAAGAACGUUCUUCCUCAACAUUAAAACUCGUGCAUUAUUUAAAAGUAUAUUUAACAAAUUUUCACAAAGAGACUCCAUGAUUCUAAUUUCUUUGACUUACAUUUCAAUUUUUGUGGAAUAUAUAUCUAUUCCAUAUUAAGAGAUUCUGAAUUUUUCACUCGGCUGUCAAGGAGAUUGCACUGAAUAAACAACAGCAGAAAAACAAAUAAAAAACCUGAUACACAUGUAGAAUAUACUCAUUAAAUUUUAAUUUUCGGCACAAUUAUGAGCUGCAUAUUUACACACACACACAAAUAACUGUUCUGCAAAUAUGUACAAAGCAAUUUCAGCCAUCCAACUUUUUUUGGAAUUUUAAUGAAUAUAAAUUUUAUAAGUUGGACAACUAUGAAACAUAAAAUUAGCAAAAUGAUAUUAUUAACAAAUAAGGAGAGGAAAAGGUAAUUAUAUCUUGGUGUGCUAAAUAUUUUUAUGGGUGUAGUGAAAAAACUAAAGAUAAUGGAAGAAAUGUUAUUGAGGAGUAUUUUGAUAUUUACAAAAGUGUUCAAAGUGAAAAGUGAUUUCCUAAAAUCUAUUAACUAGUGCGCAUAAUAGAAGGGCAUUUUGAGAAAAUUUUAGAUUACAAAUAGUCCCAUCCUUUUAAUAAUAUUCUUCAAUCAAUCUGUUUAUUUCAAAAUAAAAAAUCCAUCUCAUUUUUACUUUCUAAUUAGUCAUAUUAAUGUGUUAAUAAUUACGAAGAACCAGUAUUAUUUGUAUGAUGUAGGAAGCCCUUUCGACACAAUAACCCAAAUUUCUAAGAGUAGCGGCUGGACUUGAUUGGGAACAACCUCGAUUCAGUUUAAAAGGUUAAUCUCAAAAUUUCGUGAUAUUGUGCCUAAACAGCUUCCUGCAUCCGUAUAACAGUUUCCAAAACUUAAUGAGUCCAAAUAUCCAAUGGUGAUGACACAUACGCAUGGAAGUCCCCUGAUUUGAGUUUGACUAAAAUAAUCUGAAUAAUUUAAAACAACACAUCAGGCCAAAGUCCUUAAGAGAUGAACUGGAUUUCGGUGCAUCACAUUCCGAAAUUGAUACUAACCUUAAUUGGGAAGGCAGAACAGCCUCUCUUUCCUACUAUUGCACAAAAUGGCAAGUCAAGCCAAUGCAAGGAACUUCCCUGUUUUUUUACUGAAAAAUACAUAAUCUGAACAAUUUGUAAUCAAAUAAAUCAUUCAAAAUAUCCUUUAAUCGAACCCCCGUUUCUAUGGUUUAAUAAAAUAUCACAAAGGUGCCUAAUACAGUGGAAUUAACACUCAGCUCAUGGGAUUGAAAUUAUAUAUAUUGAAACAGAAAUUAAUACAAGAAAUUGAAAAUUAGUUGACACUAGAUCACGUUGGAUCGUUAGUUGUUAAUUAUGAUGGAAAUAUAAUCUUGGUCUCUUAAUUAUCAUCUAGCUAACGCAUGUGCACUAGUUUCAAUUGUGUCUAUCACUGUAAACAGUAGAGUUGCUUGGUUGAAUAGUAUCAUAUUACAUCACAGAAACUCACUCAAUUUUCAUUGCCAUAUGUAUCUCAAAAGUGCAUGAACAUUGAACAUUCAGCUAACUUAUACCCAACAACAUCCAUCAGUCAAAGUGAAAACCCAAUUGAUUUCAUAAAUACAAAAGAGCAAGUUUCACACAUGCAUGCAUGUGUCUGACCAACACAACAUGGCUUGUGGCAAGGAUCAAUCAAAGAAAUAUAAACUUACAAUUUUAUAAAUGUUAAGUAGAUAAGAGCACCAGCUCGGCCAUGUCGUCAUCCCCACGCUGAGGUGGACCACCUCAGCCGAGUGGUACGAGCCGAACACUGGUAAUGAGCCUUCUACAAAUGGGCCGACCAGAGACGAGUACCAGCCAGAAGAGUAUACCGAUCAGAGACAUAUACCGAGCCGGUGCCCAUCCCCCAAAGAGCGGGAACACGAUCUCACAGAAUCACGCCAGUUGCGCUUUUCCCAGAACCGUUGAGGGAGACGCGAGAUCCCACGUUUGCCCACAAUGUAGCAGUUAGAAUCCCAUGAGGGGCUGCCACUACCCGAAAAAAGGGGACGGAGGGUGAAUGAAAACGUGGGACAGCGGCUAUAAAAGGGGAAGAAAUCGAUGAAGAAAAGGACAGAAAAAAGGAGAGAGGGGAAAACUCUGCCAAAUUGUAUCCAGACCCUUUUUUAGUACCAAUAGUGAGUCAAUUCUAGGCAAUUAUUUGAACCUUAAUUGCACCGUUUUCCCGUAAAUACUUUGUGCUAACUUAGGCAUCGGAGGGUUUACGCCGGCAAAACCACCGGCGUCUCUGACCCAUUUUUGUGAACGCAGGCUUAGUGAGAAAAAGAAGGAGAAGUCUAACUCUAGCAACUAGAGCGAUCGUUGAAGCAAGGAGAAAUUGACAUCCUCAUUGCUGAUAUUACAAACGUUGGUGUAAAGAUCUGGUCGGGCAUAGGACGAGCAGAUUUCGGCAUCAACAAUAAAGUAAGCAUCAAAAUGUUUGAGAAGUUUUAGAUUUGUAGAAUAUUGGGAAAACAGACAAAUAAUCAAUGAAGAAACUGCAAGUUAAGCAGAUCAAUUAAACAGAGGAAAUAACUGAUCAAUUCUUUGUGCAAUGGCCACAGCAAAUGUGAGGUUAUAAGUUGCUGAUGUGUUGGGCUUAAAUCCAAGAUUCGAAGAGUUCUGUGUGAAGACUGACUUCAGUUGGAGGGGUCUUAUUGUAAAUUUUAUGCUGAUGUGGCAGAGUUCGUUGAGAAUUCGUUAUGCCUUUUCCAGAAAUAUCAGAAUAAAAGGCGCUGGUGAUUAGCCCCUGAUCUGAGAUCAAUAUCUUCUUCAUUUCUUGUUCAUUUUGUUGGAAAUUUGGUUCUCUGUGAUCCUUGUAAUUGCCUCUUCGUAAUCAACCUGUAUCUCGAUUGUUAUGAUCAACAAAAGAGCAGUUUUUUCCUUCAUUGACUUGUGUACUUGAAACAGUGCUCUGUGUUCUAUUCUUGGAAUUGCUUUCGUGUUUGGUUGAUCUGGUUUGAUUCUUUCAAGUCCGAUUCAUCAAGUUCUUCACGAACUAACUUGUGUAGCCAUUAAAGUUUCAACAGCAACAGAUUAAAUCUGUCUACAAGGCUACAUUAAUCCUAAUGGCGUGGUACUAUCUUCAUGCAACAUUACAUUAACAUUUCAUCAUCAAUCAAUUUUGAAGAUAUGAUAUUAAAAACAUUGACUUCAUAAUUUUAUGUAAUUUCAUAUAAAAGAUGUAAUUGAUUUUGAGUUAGUUUAACAUAUAAAGAAAAAGUAAUAAGGAUUGAUAUCAAUGUGGCGUGUGAUGAGUAAUAAUAGACAGUAAAUAUUAAUCAUGCAAUAAUGAAACAUGUAUUUAUAGAAAAAUAUUUGGCAAUAAAAUGAUGCUAUAAAGUUUAAUAUUAGUUGCAAGAAAAAAAAAUUGGCAAUUAAGAUUAACAGAUACAUGUGCAAUGUUUCGAAACAUGUAUUUAUAGAAAAAAAAAAUUUCUUGCCAAUUAAGAUUAACAGAUUCAUAUGCAAUUAAGAUUAACAGAUACAUAUACAUAUGCUUCGAAACAUGUAUUUAUAGAAAAACAUUUGGCAAUAAAAUGAUGCUAUAAAGUUUAAUAUUAGUUGCAAGAAAAAAAAUUGCCCAUUAAGAUUAACAGAUACAUAUGCAAUGCUUCGAGUUUAUUUUAUCACUUCGGUAACGAUUUUGUAACUACAUAUUGAUUAGAAGUUCAAUUAAUUUUGACAAAAAACUCUGGAGAAAGUCGAAAAGAGAUUUGAUUUUUGUAUACAAAAAAAAAGUAAGAAAUGAAAAAGCCAAAAUCAAUUACAAGGACAACAAUGAAAGCAUAUUUUAUAAAAGGCACAGAUACAUAAUAUAAAUUUAGUUUUGAAUUACGUAAUUAUUAAUUUAUAUGGUAAGAGAGUCUUAUAGAAAAAUAGGAAUUUUUAAAAUAGAUUUGCUAAAGGAAAAAGUUUGGUAUAUUUUGUGAAGGCUCAAGUAAUUGAAAGCAAUACAAGUGAAGGAAACAUAAACUUCUAACUUUUACAAAGUAAUCGCUAAAAUAUUUGACAAGUUUGAGAUUUUAAAAAGGCCAGAAAAAUAGACAAUAAUGAAGACCCUACAAAUUGGCAGAACAAAUAAACAGAGGAAAACGGAGCAAAUAUUUACAUAUAUAUAUAUAUAUAUUUUCCAAAACCAAUGUUGCGAUUUCUUUUUGUAGAGCAAGUGAAUCCAAACACAAGCCAGAAUAAACGACAGCGUUUAGAGCAAGGGUUAAGAUUCGUUAUGAAGCCACGUGAGUAAGCUCGUGAUCUCCAUAAGUAAAACGACGCUCAGCCUUGCGUUUUGCUCAUAACAGACUUAACAGAGUUGCUCGUGCCAGUCACGUGUUCAUUUAAACUCUUCUGAAUCGGUUUAACGGCUGGACACGUGGGAAGCAGCUUUGCGUUCUGGGUUCGAAGUUUGUUAUUCUUCUGUUAUAUAAGCUCGUUGUAGUGUGAUUUCGAGGGUAUUCUAGAGUGUUGUUCAGUUAAGAGGAAGGUGAUCCUUGUGCUCUGUAAACUCAUCUCUGGAUACUUUGUUUUUUCUUGUUCACGAAUCAAUAAAAGCAAGCUGAACCACAUUAUCUCUGUGAUUUUGUCUCUGAUUCAUCUCUUUCUUUCUUCUUGAUUCUAUUUCUUGGAAGUUUAAGUCUGGUUUGUUGAAUAUUGAGUUGAUUCAGAUUCGGUUCUGUGCUUGUGCAUCUUGUGUUGGUCUCAUUCAAGAUCUUGGGCAGAGUCUUUGGUUUGACAAGUUAAUUAGAUCGUCCAAAGCUCUACGUUUUUUUUUUUUUUAACAAAAAAGAAGCACAGUCUGCUAUUAAUACUGUAGCAUGUUAGCUACUAUGAAAGCUCGUGUCUAAUUACCAAAUAAAUUCCACUUUAACAAAGAAUAGAAGCUAAUUUUAUUUUUUUCUUUUUGUUAUUGAAGUUACCUCGCAAACUGCUCGGAAGCUUAUUACAAAAUUUCCUUUUACUCUAGGAUCUCUUGAAUGGUCCUGCAAUUUGUAUUCUUUUAUGUGGGAUUGGUUUUUUCUUUAAACAAAACUUCACGGAUCAGAAACCUUACCCAUCGAAUACCAACUUUGAAAUUUAUUAUUAUUCAAACUUAGAAAACUGCAGAAACAAAGUGCCUUUAAACAAAUUUCAAGGAUAAGACAAAAUUAAAUAAGUUAAUUUCAUUGUUACUACAGAAACAAAGUGCCCUCAUAGCACCAGUUAAGCUGUGUCUUGCUACCAUGCUGGUUCUAUUUUUAGUUUAUUAAAUAUAUACAAAAUUAAAUCACCUGAGCCUCUAGUUUCACUAGUUUCCAACUUGAAAUUAAAACGCGAAAUUAAUGGUAUUGGAGUUCGUUAUUUAAUUUUGCUUUGGUUCAUGGGGAAUCAGAUGGCCAUCCAAUUUUAUGUCUAUUUUAUGUACUAUUGGCCACUAAGUAGCUUGCUUAUAUAUGUGUAUUGGGAUGUCAUAGGCCUUAAAGCUGAAAAUCAAUCCCCAAUCUAAAGUGAAAAACAGUAGCUAGAACAGAUUCUAUGUUUUGAUGUCUUUGUUUAUAAGCUCAAACAAAUUAGUAGUGUAUAGAAAAUGCAUGAUAGAACCCAAAACUCAUAUUGAUUUUUAGUUUCGAAAUUCAUUUCAGAAAAUCUGUUCCGUUCAACAGAUUUAACUAAAUUAUCAACUAAACUCUAGCCAUGUACUUGCUUAUCUAUGGGUAGAGCACUAGGUCAACAAAGGAGUCCAUCUUUAAGGCCUUGUCUAAGACUGUGGUUGCCUUUUUCAUGAGCUUCUGGCUUUCCAGCUUGCUGAGCGACGUACACAUAAAGAGGUUAUCCUUCUCUUUUUUUCUUUGUUUUCAUAUCACAGAAUCCAUUUUUGAAUAUAUGUAUUUAGGUACACACACACAUGAAUAUAUAUGCAUGUUUUUAUGAGGAUAUUCAAGUAUAUUAUUUGACAAUCACAAAAACAACGAUCCACUCCAAUAAAUCUCAUAACAAAUACAUGCUCUAUCUUUUUAGGACUAAUUCAAAGAGAAAAUACGAAGGACACAUAAUUGAAUUUUGUCCAUGAUAAAGAACUCUAAACAAAUUCAUAAACUUAUUGCAGUACCUGUUAAAAAUUCAUUUGUUUCUUCUUUUCCUUUGAUCAACAGCUAAAUACAGCCUUGAAAUUUCAUUUAGUUUUGGUUAAUUUUCUGUGGAGUUGUGUUGUGUGUAAUAGUUUUGUUUCACGAAAUCGGUAGGGGAAGAGAAUUUUUAAAAGCAUAUCAAUGUAAUGAUCAAAGAGACGAAAUCAAUACAAAUAUUGAUUGUCUCAAGUUAGAUUAUACAAAGAAGAAAGAAGCUAAUCUAGCAAUUCAAUCAUAAUAAUUUGAUUUCCAUUAUAUUAAUUAUGUGCAAUCAUGCUAUUUUAAUAAAGAACACUCGAGCAUUUAUAAAUAGUCAACUUAUGAAAUUAAUUACAAAACAAUCUUUCGCAGAGUUUGAUGAAAAGACUGUGUAUUGUGUUAUCUUGAGGUCUUAUAUCAAUUAAAGCCAGGCUGCGCUUUGGCUGACAGCGAGAUAUAUCCAAACAUAAGUGCUGCGAAUGAACUGGGAAGACGGUAGGAAGAUUAAGCUGCUGAGGAGAAGAUAUAUGCAAAAGAAAUAAAGCUAAUCUGUUUUUAUGUAACAAGCUAUGUACUCUGCUUUUAUGGUCUUUCUCUUUGCGGUUGUUAGACAAACUUGAACGUAAGUUUCUAUCUUAUGUGUGUCCUAAUCCUUUUAGAUAGCUUGAGAUUGUUGAUUUAUAUAUGACGUUUGGUAUCCAAAAUUCAGAUGAUGAUAAUCUUGGCAGUACUUUUAUAAAAUUUUCUUUUGUGUUGGUGUUGACUUAAUAAAAUAUUACAAAGGUGCCUAAUAUAGUGAAAUUAACAUGAGCUCAUGAGAUUGCCGUUAGAUAUAUUGAAAAAGAAAUUAAUGCAAGAAACUGAAAAUUAAUUGAUACUAGAUCAGGUUGGAUAGUUAGUUGUUAAUUAUUGUUAAGUGUGAACCAGAAUUCAGUGUGCAGGGCAAACAACAAUGUCGACCAUCAGACUUGGCAGAAGACUACAUGUCCAAUAAAAGCUGAUCAGGGCUGUACGACAACCUUCCCAUGUCAAUCAGAAUUCGUAAAGUAAUGCACGUGUGUAACACGUGAUCUCCUAAUAACAUAUUAACUGAAACGGCAACUUUUUUUUUUGAAAAGGCUGAAACGGCAACUUACUACUGUCGUUUUGGGAUAUAUAUGUUACGCACACGCUCAGCACAAGGGGGAUUGGUUACCAGUUAAAAGAAGCGGGAAAAUUCUGGGGUUAACUACUUAACUGUAACAAACCCAGAAUGAUUUGCAGGCUUCUGAGAUAGGUUUCUAGGAGCUUCAAAGCUUGUAUAAAAAGGGUCCUGAUGACUGAAGUUGAGAGUGGUUUUUUCCUUGUAAUCUCUGAAAAGGCUUGAGCCUUGUUUCCUGCAUUAAUAAAUAAUCAUAGCCCUGUUUCUCAAAGAGGAUGUAGGCUGUAAUGGCUGAACCUCUAUAAAUCCUUUCUGUGUUUUUUCUUUCUCUGUUGUGUGUUUCUAUUCUUGUUUUAGAUUGUAUUGAUUCCUAAUAAAACUGUUAAUCAUUCUUCAUACUGAAUUUUAUUAAAUCUCUUCUUCUCUUUUGAAUAAAAUUUCUUUAAAAUUCAAUUCAUAAAAAAGAAAAUCUCCUUAUAAUUUAAUAUGUUUCAGUUGUCUCAGUGGAAUGAUGCUAUUUGUUUCAAUCAAAGUUUUGAAGCAUCCUAAAAUUUUGAGAUCCAAAUGAAAAUAAAUUAAUUUAAUUCGUGGUGUACUCUAAAUUUUCAGCUAUAAAAAAAUAGCGAAAUUGAAGUGCACUUGGGCAAGAAGAAACAGAGACUGCGAUUAUACAAUUUCAGUGUUUGACUCUAUCGGCAAAAAAAGAAAAUAAAAAAGAACUCCCAUUGUUCCAUUGUUUUUCCCAUAAAUAAUAAUAUACAGAGAAUUUUGUUUAACGAGAGAUAUAAUAGGUAUUUAGGUGAGUUUAUAGCGUAAAUUUUAAAAUUUUAAAAUUUAAUAAUGGAUUUAAUAAGUAAUUGGGUUCAAAUAGUAUUUUAGUGGUUUUAAAUAGCCCCACCCUUUUUAUUUUUAAAAAAGAUUUAAUUACAAAAAUAUUACUUCCAAUCGACAGCAUUUUAUAUUUUAUUUUAUUAAAUAUUAUUUUAUUUUUGAAUUACUAAUAAUGCACAAAACGGCAUCAUUUAUUGAUAUUUUUAAAUUGUUUAAGAUUUGUUUAAUUAGAAAAUUUCCAUUGUUGAUAUUUAAAUAAUUUUAAAAAAUAAAAUAAUAAAAUUGGUGUCGUUUAGUUUUGUUAAAUAUACUAAGGGCUCGUUUGGUAUGCCGGAUUGGAUUGGAUCAGAUUGGAUAAGAUAAAAUUGGAUUGGAUAAUAAUGGAUUAUAUAUAAUACUAUAUUGGGUUUGGUCCAAUUUUAGAUUGAACUAUAAAUAAUCAUCUCUUAUAUUAUAAUAUUAUAAUUUACAAGUUAUUAUUAUUAUUAUUAAUAAUAUAAACUAAAAUUUUGUAUUAUUAAUUAUACAAAUCAACCUCAAUGAUAUUAAUGAAAUAUAAAUCAUAAUUUAAAUAAUUUUUAUUUUUUUAAAUAUAUUUAUGAUAUUUUUAUUAUUUUUAUUCAAUAAUCUAUUAUUUUAUAAAAAUUUAUAUUUGUGAAUAUUAAUUUAAUAAUAAUUUAUAAUGUAAAUUUGAAAUUAUAAAAAUAUUUAAUAAAUAAAUAAAUUAAAAUAAAAUUUUCAUUCAAUGUGAAAUUAAUAAUGAUUUUUAGUAUAAUUUAUUAUUAAAAUUAUUAAAAUCAAUAUUUUUUAUUACAUUUAUCACAUAUUACUAUAAUUUUAAUAUUUAUAAAUUAUUAUGUUUAAUUGAAUUAUUAAUAUAAUCUAAUACUAACUAAUCCCAUAGUCCCCUUGAAAUAAUUUCUUUUACAAAAUUGAAAUUAGCUUUGGGGCUCACGAUAAAUAAAUUCUAAUACUUUUGACAGAACUAAAUAUAGGAAUAGGAUAAAAUUUUAACAAAGAGUUUAAUCUCCACUUUUAAUCCUCCUCCAACCAAACAUGCCCUAAGCUAACGGAUCAUGGCAAAUUUGUAGUAAGUGAUGAACGAUUUGAUAAGCUCUACUCCAUCAGUUCCUUAAUUGAGAAAAUUCCCAAGCCCGUGCAGCCUCACAAUUGAUAGAGACCCGAAGCCACCAAACUCGACAAUCAUCACUCAACGUCGUUGCAGGCUACCGGUCGCUCAACAAGCACCAGUUCCUCACUCUACAGCCAUCACUCAAGCGCUGCCAUUUCCUGUUAAUUAUUCGCUCGAAUUAGGGUUCUGAUAUUUGGGGAUUUUUUCUUAAUUGUGGAAUUAUGAAGUAAUGAUGAUGACGACGAAGAUGUGGUGGUUGACGACGGCAAAGGCAACGUUGAAUAUUGAGGCACUGGAGAAACAAGCAUUGGCUAUUAUCUUGGUCGAUUUGCCUCGAAUUGAUCACUAAAAAUGGGGAUAUCGUGGGCCGAGCUUCAACGCAGUCGCAAAUUUCAUUUGGAUAACUGAAUUUUAUUUUAUUUUUGUGUUUAAUUUGUUUAAAGUUUAAUUGUUUAGAUCUAGGCUAAAUUUUAAUGAUCAUUUUUAUGAUUAAAUGACAUGAGUAUGCUUAAGUUUUUUUCCUUCAAAUUGAUUUUCUGAUGUUACAUUUUGUUAGCAAAAAGUUAAAAAAUAGUAGAAACUGUCUGAAUUUUUGUUAUGAAGAUGUUGUUUUAGUUUGAUAUUGGGAAAAUAUCAUUAUACAUAUUGCCAUCAUAUUCAUGGGAGACCAAAAUGGGAAUGAUGGCAGGCUAUGCAUUGCUCACAACUAAUUUAAAACUCACUAUUUCUGUUUUUGGUGUUUUAGUAAUUCUGGGGGCAUUCCAACUAUAAUUAAUAAGCUAUAAACUUGUUUAGUAAUUACUAAUCAACUUGCUAGAAAGAGUCACAAACUAAUUAGCUUUCUCUUGUAAUUUUUACAGAUCAUCAGUGGAUAAGAACUACAAGGAGUUGAAGACUUAAAGAUAAGAACUACAAGGAGUGAAAACGNNNNNNNNNNNNNNNNNNNNNNNNNNNNNNNNNNNNNNNNNNNNNNNNNNNNNNNNNNNNNNNNNNNNNNNNNNNNNNNNNNNNNNNNNNNNNNNNNNNNNNNNNNNNNNNNNNNNNNNNNNNNNNNNNNNNNNNNNNNNNNNNNNNNNNNNNNNNNNNNNNNNNNNNNNNNNNNNNNNNNNNNNNNNNNNNNNNNNNNNNNNNNNNNNNNNNNNNNNNNNNNNNNNNNNNNNNNNNNNNNNNNNNNNNNNNNNNNNNNNNNNNNNNNNNNNNNNNNNNNNNNNNNNNNNNNNNNNNNNNNNNNNNNNNNNNNNNNNNNNNNNNNNNNNNNNNNNNNNNNNNNNNNNNNNNNNNNNNNNNNNNNNNNNNNNNNNNNNNNNNNNNNNNNNNNNNNNNNNNNNNNNNNNNNNNNNNNNNNNNNNNNNNNNNNNNNNNNNNNNNNNNNNNNNNNNNNNNNNNNNNNNNNNNNNNNNNNNNNNNNNNNNNNNNNNNNNNNNNNNNNNNNNNNNNNNNNNNNNNNNNNNNNNNNNNNNNNNNNNNNNNNNNNNNNNNNNNNNNNNNNNNNNNNNNNNNNNNNNNNNNNNNNNNNNNNNNNNNNNNNNNNNNNNNNNNNNNNNNNNNNNNNNNNNNNNNNNNNNNNNNNNNNNNNNNNNNNNNNNNNNNNNNNNNNNNNNNNNNNNNNNNNNNNNNNNNNNNNNNNNNNNNNNNNNNNNNNNNNNNNNNNNNNNNNNNNNNNNNNNNNNNNNNNNNNNNNNNNNNNNNNNNNNNNNNNNNNNNNNNNNNNNNNNNNNNNNNNNNNNNNNNNNNNNNNNNNNNNNNNNNNNNNNNNNNNNNNNNNNNNNNNNNNNNNNNNNNNNNNNNNNNNNNNNNNNNNNNNNNNNNNNNNNNNNNNNNNNNNNNNNNNNNNNNNNNNNNNNNNNNNNNNNNNNNNNNNNNNNNNNNNNNNNNNNNNNNNNNNNNNNNNNNNNNNNNNNNNNNNNNNNNNNNNNNNNNNNNNNNNAAACCUUUAACCCCUAAACUUUUUUUUUUUUUUUAAAAGGCCAAGGGGGUUUCCCCCCAAUUUGGGGGAAAGAGUUUUCUUUUUUUUUUUUUGGGUUUCCCCCCCCCCCCCCCCCCCCCCCGCCCCCCCAAAGUCAUUUUUUGUUCUCUACUCCAUUGUAAAUUUGUAUUCAAAAGUCUUUUUCUUUGUCUUUAGUUUUUAAAUUUAUGGAGAUGAUCUUAUGAGGUCUUAAAUAAAUAGUUGUAGAGCUUUACUAAAACUAUGUACAAUCUUAUUGAGAUUUGGGUGUGAUUUUGUAAGAUUGCUAAAAAAUUCAUAUUUGGUAUUUGUUUUAUUUUCCUAGUCGAAUUUCUUGCUUGUAGAAGAUAAAAGAAAAGUGCAAUUUCAUGUUGCAAUAAUUUUUUUUCCUUCCCUCUUUUUCUUCCCAUAUAGUCUGGCUCUGGAUUUGGUGCAGUUGAUGGUUUUAAUACAGUGAACCAAUUUCGUCAGAAUCAUCUUAAAGGAUUAAAGUGGCUUCCUUUUGCAACUGGGUAAGUCAAUGUUACUUCCUGAAUUCAGUUUGGAGUUCUUUCGGAAUAGAUUUCCUUCCCUUACAUUACUUAGCUUCUAGUUGCAUCUUCUUGGCCUUCUCCAGCUGACUUUCCUAUUGGCAAAUUCCUUCGCUUCUAUUGUUUUCAGGUGCCAGUGCUGGAUUUGGAGGUAUGAAUCAUGCCUUCAUUUUUACUUUUUAUGAUUAUUUUUUUAAGGUGUAUGGUACUGUAAUAUAGUUCUUUGUAUAGCUAGUACAAAGUAGUUCUUUAACUUCUUACGUUCGGCUAUAAUGGUCUUGACAUAUGAUAGGGCAGCUCUAUCACCAAUUGACGUGGAAUGAGAAAUAGGAGACAAAUGGGAUUAGAAAAAUAAGAAACAUGACAAAAAUAAAAAUCUAAUCUACUCAUAUAAGCAACUCAUCAAAUAAGUGUAUCACAUACUUAAGUGAAUAACAAUCUGUAAUUUCCACGAAUCAAAGUAAAAUUAUAAUAUUCUUUAAAUAAGACUCAUAAGCUUGUUAGGUGUUAUAUUGAAUCAUCUAAGUUGAAUAAUCUUUUGGGUCGAAUAUUUAAUUUCUUAUUCCAUACGUUUCAGUCUCUCAAUAGUUGAAUUAGCAAUGAAAAUUUGAAAAUGGAAAAAUCCAAUGCAAUUAUUUUAGCUGCUUAUCAUAGAUAAGAAUUUCAAAUUUGACACUUUAUUGUCUGUUGUCAAAUUCAUAAAGUAUGAACCUGCAUUAGUUUAGUUCUCUAAUAUUUAUAAAUAAGUAAUACUUGAAUUAAGAUGAAAGAAAAUUGAAAAGUAGAGUUGCUUGAUUGAAUAGCGUCAUAUUUUACAUCACAGAAACUCAAUUUUCAUUGCCAUACGUAGCUCAAAAGUGCAUGAACAUUUAAAAUUCAGCUAACUUAUACUAAUUAAUUAAUACGAGUCUCAGUUCUUACUUCUUAGUACUUGGCAACAUCCAUCCAUAAGAGUGAAACUCCUAUUGAUUUCAUAUAUACAAAAUAAAUAACUUACAAAGGCAAUAUAUACAAUCACGACAAAAACACCAAUUCACUCCAAUAAACAACAUAGCAAAUACAUGGUCUAUAUUGCAAGUCUUUUUACUAUUUUAAUUAAAAGAGAAAAUACGAAGGACAUAUUAUAUAUAAUUGAAUAUUAUCCUUGAUAAUUAGACAAAAUAACACUAAUCUAGCUAACUAAUCCAGUCAUCAUAAUAAUCCGAUUUCCUUUAUUUAAUUAUGUCCAUUGAUGCUAUUUUAAUAAAGAAUACUGAACACUUAAGUAUUUAUAUGCUCAACAACUUCGGCCACGUUUGAAAAGAUCAUAUUAAUUAUUAAUAUAAAGAAAAUAACCCUACAAGGUACAUAUUACAUAUGCAUGUAGUUGCAAUAAAUACAUAAUAAUAAAGAUUGUAAAAGUUCAGGGCCAUUAAUUCAACAAUUACUAAACCAAUAUCCCAAUAAUUGUUUGAUUACUAAUCUUAGCAUUAAAAGAUCUGCAAAUUUUAUUCGGCCAAAACAAAUGCUUCCUUAUUGCUUCCUUGAUCUUAUCCUGCCUGGUGAUUCCUGAAUGUCCUUCCCAUUCUGAUAUGCUGAGUUGUUUGCUGAUUAUAAAUACAAAUCACCUUAAAUUUUCUUAGUCUUGUUCUUCAUGCGAAAUUCUACGUAAUGGCUUAGUUGGUUUAAAUUCUUCUUUUUUCUUUGAAUUGUUGAUUUGUAAUGUUCUUCUCGCUCUCACAUGUGGCAUUCUGCACUCUUCCAAUGCUAUUUCUUGUUAUGGCAGCAGAAUUCUAUAUUUUCUCCCAGUUUCUUUUGUAAAGACUUCUAAAGAACCAUCCAAUGGAAGUUAGAUUAUACAUGGAAGAAUAAAUAAUGCUAAUCUAGCAAGUCCAAUGGUAAAAAUUUGAUUUUCAUUAUAUUAACCGUGUCCAAUCAUGCUAUUUUAAUAAAGAACACUUGAAUAAUAUUUUCAUGUCCAGCAUGUAAAAUUUCAAAACAAUUUUUGCCAAAGUCCUCCUCGGCUAAAUUAAUUUAUGCAUUAAUAAAGUCCUCCUCUUCUAAAUAAUACAAAACCUGUUACGUUGUUCUACCAUUUUUUUUUUUAAAAGCAUUCUACUAUUUAAUAAAAGAAUUCGAAAACUCGUUCUAGACAUACACCGAACCAUAUUAAUUUAAAACAGUUUUCAACUGAGAUUUGAAAUUACACACACAAACACACCGAGUCCUUUAUAUAAAGUGCUUUUAAUAAAUUAUGGUCGGUUUACUAUUAAUUAAUCAAAUUUAAUUUACUCAAAUUACUCCUGUACACGAUCAAAAUAAUAUCAAUUCUAUGAUAUAUAUAUACGUGCACAUACAUACAAAAUGUAAAUAACUUUCAAAUAUAAAAUAUUUAAAAUAGACGAAAUAACUUUCAAAUGUUUAUUGUAUUUUGAUGGGUUUUUGAGGAUGGUUGUAUGUAUUAGCAACAACAAGGUGCUUUUUAUAAAUCCGGGUCCUAAUUUUGUAAAAGAAAUUAAUACUCUCGGUUUAUUGUUAAUAAAAAAGAAAAAAGAAAAAGCAUUUUUCUGUGGCAUAUAUUAAGCAUUUUAAGAAAAGAAAAAAUUACAUUCCAAUUCAUGAAAGACAUUCCUUCUGUCAUAUUGAUGUGUUAAUAGAAAGAUCUAUGUAAAUUAUAACAAUUUUGAUGAAUCUAAAUAUUUAAUAACCGAUAAAUUAUAUUUAUAAAUAUUAAUACCGGUGGCACAUAAGCACUUAAUUCAAGAACUCGCCUAUAGUGCAUUAAUUUAAAGAGUAGAAAUAUUUAAUAAAUCAUGCCCGCUUUACUAUUAAUUAAUAAAAUUUAAUUUACUCAAAUUACUCCUCUACAUGAUCAAAGUAAUUUCAAAUAUACAACACACAAAAUGUAAAUGAUUGAAAUAUAAAAUAUUUAAAAUAAUCACCCCACUAACAAUUCACCACAAAGAUUAUAAAUAGUCGAAAUAAUGAUAAUCUAAGGGGUCCGGUCAUAAUAAUUUAAGUUUUAUUUAUAUUAAUUAUAUAAAAAAGAGUACUCGAGAUUAUAUAUAUCCAACAGCUAAAAUUUCAAAACAAUAUUUGCCAAAGUCUGAUGAAGAGAAUACAUAUAUAUAACAUGCACUUGCACACAUUCUAUUGUUUAAUUAAAAAAUUCGAAAGCCCAUUAUAUACAUGAUAAAGACUUACCGACACCGAACCAUAUUCAUUUAAAGGAAUUGUUUUCAACUGAGAUUUGAAAUUUUUUUUUUUGAAAAGAAACUUCUAUUAAUUCUGAGAUGAUAACAGAUACAUGACUUGUAGAGGGUAUGAACCCUUCCAUACAACAGUUUCGCAUUUCUCUAAAGCUAGUUUAGCUAGAGAAUGGGCAAUGGCAUUGCAAGAUCUAUGUGUAUACACACAACUAACAUGAUCGAAGCUUUCUUUCAAUUUCUGAAUUUCCAAUACUACCCAAUAGAUCUCGGAUCUGCUGCCCUGACUGUUGUUUACUAAACAAACUACUUCUUGCGAGUCUGACUCCAAAAUUACAUCUGUCACAUGUGCAUCUUUUGCCACCUGCAAGCCCCAUUCCAUAGCUUCUGCCUCGGCAUAAGCUACACUUCCAUGGAAUUUUGAGACCUUGAUCGCAGCUGCUGUCACUUGCCCCGUUUCAUCUCUAAUCACAGCCCCCAGCCCAGCAAGAUUCUUUUCUGAGUUGGUAGCGGCAUCAGUGUUGAUCUUAACAAAACCUUCUUGAGGGGGAUUCCAUCCCAGCUGCGCCACUUUCUGCUGCUUUCCAUGGCUUACAGCAACUGAAGGCUGCACUCUCUUAUAAGCCUCCAUCACAGCUUCAGCUUUAGCCACAACAGAUUGGGGGUUCUCUCGCUUGCCUUUGAACAGCCAUUGGUUCCUUGCAUUCCACUUUGCCCAGAGAAUCGCGGCAAACAAAUCUACAUCAGCUUUGCUUCUCAAUCUUUUCACGCCAUGCAACAAGCUCAAAACAUCCUGCCCAGGGGCUGCUUGAAUAUCAUUAUCAAAAAGGGAUAGUCUCCAAACCUUCUUGGCUGCUUUACAAUCAACUAAGGCAUGAAACAAAUUCUCUAUUCCCAUUUUACAAAGCUGGCAGGUAGGCUCUUGGACAAUCUUCCUCUUCCACAAAUUCUCAGCUGAAGGAAGUAAGUUUUUGGCUGCCCUCCAAACAAAAAUUCUGAUCUUCUUCGGCAAAGCAAGAGACCCAAUUUUUUCUUUUUUAAAAAAAUUACUAAUAAUAAAAUAUUUCAGUCGUCCUCUGUUCGGCUGUCAAAAACCCAUUAAGAUCGAUUUGAACAGAAGGUAUAUGGGUUAACAAUCCUCCAUCCUUUCUGCACUUCUCUUCCAUCAACGGACAGCGAUAGAUACUUAAUUGCAAAAGUGAGGAAGGCAGGCCCUUCUCCGGAAAGUAUUUGAGCUUGGGACAAUCCACGAGAUUCAAGUGGGUGAGGUUUUGAAGAUCAACAAUUGAAGAAGAUAGGCGUUCCAGAUUUGGAAAAUCUACAAUCCUCAGAGAUGUUAGAGAGGUAGGAAGAGGAAGCGCGGUCCCUAAUCUUUUGUCCUCUAGUGGAAAUGACACCAUGUCGUCAUCACAUCCUUCGAUUGUAAGAUGUCGCAGAGAGGAGAAUCUAUGAAAUCCCCGACCCCGCUCAAUCAUUGACUUCCAAAUCUCCAUAUUACCCCAAAUAUGAAGUGAAUGAAGGUUGGUGGGAAGGCCAUCUUCUUCAAGGCUUGGAAGCUCAACUCCUCUUCCUAUUGUUAAUUCUUGAAGAGAGGUCAGAUUGUGCAAUCCCUUGGGUAAGGCCUCCAGUCUCUCACACCCAUAGAUCCUGAGCUUACUCAGUUUCGCACAAGGCAAUCCCCCUUCGGGAAAGGACACCAGAUUUUCACAUUCCCAUAUUUCGAUCUCUUGAAGCUGGCCGAGAUUAUGUAAACCACUCGGUAAAAUUUUCAGAUUUUCACACCCAGAAAUAUUGAUUGUUUCAAGAGAUGUGUUGUUGUCCAACCUUUCUGCUAUUGACUCCAGCUUUGGACAAUACCAAACAAAAAGGGACUUAAGAGACGGAGGUAGAUUGCCAACUUCAAGGGACUCAAGCGUGGCAGGUAACUCGUUUUGUGAAAAUAUACAUGUCAGUGAUGGACAAUCCCUAAUUUCUAACUUCUCAAGAAGAGAUGAGGUGUACCUUCUAUUGCUGCUGCUGCUGCUACUCUGGAUGCCCUCUUCCACUGUCAAAGUCCUUAUAUUAUCACAACUAAGGAUGUCCAACCUCUUAAGGCUCCGUGGUAGCUGGACUCCAGCAAGAUAUGUCAACGUACGACAAUGCUCAAUAUACAAGGUCUCGAGAGAUGAAUUGGUGUCGCACAUCCAUGCCUCUGGUAAUGAUUUCAGUGCGUCACAACCUUCAAUCUCAAUUAUCUUCAACUUGGAAGGCAGAGCAACCUCAGGAAAGGAAACAAGGGAACUGCACUUGUAGAUUUCUAUCUCUCUCAAGGAACUGAGGCUGAGAGAUGAUUGUGGCAGCUUCACAAGGCCUUCGCAAUAACUCAAUCUUAGAUAUUCGAGUCUGCAUGACAACUCGCAGAGCUGCUGUUGUUGGUCUUUCUCUUCCUCCGCCACCAAGGAUUGAAGUUUGGGACAGCUUGUAAUCGUCAGUCUUCUGAGAGAGCAAAUGUCUUGCAGUAAUUCGUUAUGACUCUUCCAAAUAUAUGUCUGCUCUUUCAUAUCAUUUAUCUUCAAUUCUUCCAAUUUUGGCAGUCGCGGCUUUAAUGGCCCUGCGAGAAACAGUUGAUUUGAUGUAUCUCUACAAACCACUGAAUUCUGUGAGCCGAGAUGAUCAGCUGCACUUCUCCACACAACCUUUUUACAUCCACCAAUUUCAAAUUUGCAAAGAGCUGGAAGACUUGUAACUGAAACUGACAAUUCUUCACAUCCUUUAAUAACAAGCUUCUCCAAUGCAGGAAGGUGCUCUGGAAGUGUUCCUUGCAGUUUAGAACAUCUUAAAAUGUGAAGCUCUCUCAAUUUAGGAAACCCUUCAACUCCUUGACCGGAUCCAUGAGGAAUCCAGUCUUCCCAUUCUUCCAUGUCUUCAAAACAAAGAGUCUCCAAGCAUGGAAAAGGAAUUGAAGCAACCUUCCCAUAGAACUCUGGAUCAAAUCUCCUUACGCUGCUCAUUCCACAUACUACAAGAUGCUUUAGAGAGGGUAGUUGCCCGACCAACGGCAGGGCAGUACACAUGCUACAAUAUUCAAAUUUAAGUGUUACUAAAUUUGACAAUGAGGAAUUUCCUAACCAAGUUGAAAAAUUUGUGCCUCCAUAGCCGCUGAUACAAAAUUGUUCCAGAUUUUUAUGGGGUUUUAGCAUGUCAAGCACGCCCUCUUCAGCUUCUGCCUCCCUUGAAGAUGAACCAUUAGUAUUGCGAGUCCAUCGAAGCCAUAAUUCUUUAAGAUUCUCCUUUCUAUCCAAUUGAGCGUCCUCGGCAUCAAUAAUGUGUUUUACAUUCUCCAAAUUUGAAAUGCAAAGUGUCCCCCCAAGUUGUGUCAAGGACUUUAGCUCUCGUAACCGGGAACCACUGUCUUUUCCCACAACAAAAUUACACAACGUCUGAAGACAAGUCAGCCUACCAAUUCCGACUGGCAUUUCCUCCAACGAAGAUGUAUUUGAAUUAUUGAGAUGAUGCAAUUUGAUGAGGUUUCCCAUGGCUGCACACAACUUUUUCAGUCGCCAACAGCCCUCCAACAGAAGGGUGUGCAAAUUGUAAAGCUUGUUGACUGAUUCAGGCAGAGUUCUAAUCUCAGUUCCAGAUAGGUUAAGGUACCUUAAAUACCUCAAAUCACCAACUGAAUCCGGCAGCUUGGGGAUGAAAUAUCCACACAGAGAGAAGACCCUCAAUCGUUGGAGUUUGAACAACUUAGGAAGAAUGCUAAGAGCAAAGUAUCCACGCGACCUAUUUGACCGCCUUACUGGUAGAAAAGUUCGCAAAUGCUGGAUAUUGUACAAGUCUUCAAACCUUUUACCGCCUUCAUAAUAUUCAGGAAUGUAUGACAGAUGACGAAGAUUUCUGGAAAAACUUUGUUGCUUGUUAACCUCCGAGGUAUACUCCAUUGUGAAGUAUAUCUCCCCCGCAGCCCAUUGAGCAAGGUCAUUGACGAGGUCGUGCAUCACAAAUCGUGAUAUACCGUUGCUUGAUUGCUGGAAAAAAGAUCUUGCACGUAGCUCU